GAAGCAUCAUUAUUGACAAAAAUGCAGCAACAAGCAACUCCAAUCCAUUCACUAUCUUUCCGAAGGUAGAUAGGUAGGAGUAUCUUAAUAGUAUCAAUUGAAGAGUCGCUUUUUUGUUGACUAAACAAUUCAGAAAUUCCACUUCCGGACAUAAUACUAUCAAACCAUUCUGGGAUUUCACUUCUAGGCAUAAUAAUAUCGAACCUUUUCCUUGAAUUUGCAAAUGCCUGCAAAAUAAAACACAAGUCGUUUGGUAACUGAACCAUAAAUUCUCAAGGAUGAGAUUUUGUAAGGGAGAAGAGAGAGAUUAAUCAACCUUAAGAAGUUUUUUCAGCAGUAUUAAUGCAUUCAUAUUCUCAGUCAAUUUGAAGCAGUUAAUGGCUCUAAUGAAAGCAGAAUCCAGUAAAUUGCAUACUUCUGAUGGACUUGCAACUACUUCAAGUGAACCACAGUCAUCUAUCGACACCCAUUCUAUACUUGUUGGAAGCUCAAGCAACGAUUUAAGCUUCAUGCAAUUUGACAAUGUAAGAAACUCAAGCUUGUAGAGUCGAGUAAGGGAUGCAGGUAUGCUGAUGAAAUUGUUAUUACUAAGAUCAAAAUGUAUCAAAAAGGAUAGACCAGAAAUGUCAUGUGGAAUAUCUCCUUCACAAAGAUGACAGUCCCUUAGUUUUAGCUCUCUUAAUGAAGUCAAACCUGACAACAAACGCAACACCGGAGCCAUGGGAGUCGUCCUCCUUCCUUGGAUUACCUUGAAAAGGGAAGACAAAUUUGGUCGUAACUUAGCUUGCUGCAAAUUCUCCUAUAAAUUUUCAACUCUAUAACAACCGGAAAGAUCUAGAGUUUUUAGAUGUUUCAUUUUCUCAUCAAUCUCCGGAAACCUUACAAGAUUUGAACAACCCGAAAGAAUUAAUGUUUCAAGAGAUUCCAUUCUAAUUUUGGUCGGAAAACUCCUAAGACUUUUGCAAUUUCUUAAAUUCAAAAGUUUAAGGCUCUUAAGCACUCCAAUUGAUGGAUGAACAUCCACUAAUUUGGUACAGCAAGAUUUGAUGCUGUUGUGAAGUCUAGUGUCUUGAUCAGGUUUUGGGACCCUUCAAGGUUCAUCAUUUUCAACUUAUACAAUGGCUGUUAAAAAUAUUAACAAAUUAGAGAGAAAGAGAAAACAUAAUAUUAAUGCUUAUUUUUUUAUCUUAAUCAAAAUUUAAUAUUUAUAUUAAAAUGAGCUAAAACACAAAGCUAAGAUGACUUAAUUCUUACUUUAUUCCCUUCCAUAGUUGUUUAACGUGACUAUAUGGUAAAAGAAGUGCAACAAGGUUGUCCGACUGGAAGCUUGAAGGCAACAAUAUUAAAGGGUAUCCUUUUCAAUCUAAAAGUCGUAGCUCAUUAGAAAGAAAUUUGAGAUCAUCACAAUCUGAGAGGCAAAGCACUUUGAGCAAUCUCAAUUUUUUUCAUUUUUGAGAAAACGUCGACACUCAAGUUGAGCAUCUUACUCGAUUCCCUAAUAACCAUGAACAAAACGAAAAUUAGCUUCAUAAUAUACAAAAGCAUUCAAUAUCUAAAAGCUAUGUUGCAUCGAUAUUGUUUUUGUAAGUAUCAUUAUCCCAUACUUUUAUCUAAUGCAUAUCUGAAUACCGGUAUUAAGAUUUGAUCUUUUAAGAACUCUUUAAAUACAUUAAAAAAAACAUUUAAAAAAAUUAUACAUACCCAUAUUGAAGAUAUACUUGUAUCUAACAACCACAUCUAACGUCAUAUUACCUAAUCCUAAAAAAUUGAAUUAAUAUUUUGAUUUAUAUUUAGUCUACAAACAAUGCAUAAUUCUAUACAAGUUAAUGAACUAAACAAUGAGAUAUAAUUAGAAAGGAAACCAUUUUCAUUUUAAAAAAAAAACUUUUACAAUCUAAUUCAUUGAUAUACGCUAUUAGUGCAUUAAAUUUAUACCAUUAAUAUUGCAGAAAGAUAUACACAUUUCACAUUUCACUAUUGAUUCUUUUAAAAGAGUAAUAUGUUGCUAGAUAAAUUUAAUAGUUAAACAUUGAAAAUAUUUAGUGUCAAAGGUUUUGCUAUAGUUUCUUAUCAUAUUUAAAAUAAAUAAAACCAUUAUUUAUAAUACAUAAAGAUAUAAGUUUAUAUGUAUCUUCUUACCUUUUAUUAUCGAUGAACAUUCCUUCAAUUAUUUCUGUAGCUUAAAAAAAAUUAAGAAUAGAAAAUAAGAAAACAAAAUAAAUAGUGUAUAAUGUAAGAUAAAACUUUUAAAAAGUUACAUUUUUAUUUAGCAUUAUUAUGCUCGAAAUAUAAUAAAUAAAGCAUUUUAAACAAAGUUAAACAGUUCCUAAUAAUGCGAUAAAAUUAAAUAUUUGUUUCUAUAAAUUUUUGUUAAUAUUUGUAAACAUCAAACAUAAUUUAUCUCAAAAGUACUAAAUACCACUUUUUAAGGAUGUUGUAUCAAUCAAUUAGACUAAGCUUUGAAUUUAUAUCAUAUAUUGAUUAGAUAUUAUAUACAUAAAUAAGAAAUAGUAUAUAUAACUUUUGUUGAAUGACUUACGGUAUUUUUUGUUAGGAUAUGAUAGAUGUCCGUUUCCUCCCACAAUAUACAACAUUUUCCAGGUUCAUCAAUACAUUUUUCUAUAAUAAUUUUUCUUCCCAUUUCUUGCAACAAAUCAUGCAUCCACAAAUAUUGGUUGCCAUAAUAGACUUUUAUGAGAGAUUUCUUAAUGAGAACAUCAAUUCCAAUAUCCGGGAAAAACUCACAACCAUCCAAUACUUUCAUUACAAAAUCUUUCUUCUCCCCAUUGAAAAAGCAUGCUAUAUCUACAAAUAUAUUCUUCUCCCUUUCUUCUAACCCAUCAAAACUUAUUCGAAGUUUAUCGAAAAUUUCUUUAUUAGAAUCUCUUUUAAGUCUUUCAAUCGCACUUCUCCAUUGAGUCACAUCUCUUCUUCACAAAAAAGAACCCAAAACUUCAAGAGCUAAAGGGAGCCCACCAGCAAAAUUUACAACAUGGUAAGAAAGAUCAAUGAAAUCAUCUUUUGGCACUAUAUCACGAUGGAAAGCUUUUAAAUUGAAAAGUUGAAGCGCAUCUUUGGUAUUCAAUGUUGUGGGCAUAUACACAUCAUCAACUUGGCAACAUCGAAGUAAAUGUUCAUCUCUUGUUGUUACAAUGAUUCUACUCCCUAAUCCGAACCAGGCAGCAUAUACAUCAGCAACUUGGCAACAUCGAAGUAAAUGUUCAUCUCUUGUUGUUACAAUGAUUCUACUCCCUAAUCCGAACCAGUCAUGCCUUCCAACCAAGUAUUUUAAGUGUUGUAUGUUAUCAACAUCACCAAGAACAACAAGAACCCUUUUGCGAGACAAUGUACGACUAAUUAUUUUAUUCCCUUCAUGAACAUUGAAAAAGUUGAAGCAUUCAUCAUGAAUGAUUUGUGAAAGAAGUUGUUUCUGUAAAGAAACUAGUCCACAUUUGUCUGAAACUUCUCGAAUAUCAGCGAAAAAGCUUCUGCCUUCAAAACGAGGUGCCAUUUGAUUGUAAGCAACUCUUGCAAGUUUUGUCUUACCGAUGCCGCCCAUUCCACAAAUCCCUAUAAUGCGGACAUCAUCUUUCCCCAUGUUUAUUUUCAAAUAUAAAUCCUCCAAGCGUACACUAAUUCCAACCAAGCCACUAUGAGUAACUUGAUAUAUCUAACAUAGUUUUGCUGAUAUCUUCCGAACAAUCUCCCUAAUAAAGUCUGAUUCAUGCCUAAAAAAAAUUCAAUUUUUUUUGAAUAAAAUUUUGUUGAUAUCUUUCAAAUGCACUUUGUUUUUCCAUGAAUCAUGAAACAUAAUAUAGUUAGGAAAAAAACAAGAACCAAGAACAAGAAAGCAAGAUCUGUUGCAGAACCAGAAUACAAUAUUUGCUCUUUUAUUGAAAUAUACCCGGAAACCUAGAAAUAGAGACGACAAGAAAGAAUUACCUGUUAUUUAAAUGUCAUCCCUUGAUAACAGCCACUUGAAUUAUAGCAUUUCGCCACCUUUGGAUCUUCUCACUUUCUUCUUUGUAUCUCUCUUCAUGUCUGGCAAAGGCUUCUUCCACUUUCCCUUUUUGUUUUCUUAAAUCAGAUGGAUCAACAUUGUAAAAAAUUGGAAACACUUUAUGGCCAUCGUUGUUAUGUUGUUUAACAAUCUCAGCAAGCUCCUCCAAGCACCAACUUGAAAAGGCAUAAGUUUCUAAAAAAACGAUUACCGAGCACCAUGAUUGCUGAAUUGCUGUAAAGAGUUCUGGCACGAUCUCUUGGCCGGCCUCCAUCUUUGGAUCAUCCCUGAAAGUGAGGAUCCCGCUCCUACUUAGAGCAUGAUUGUUGGUGUUAGACACACUUUAACCGGAUGAAGUAAGAACUUCAAUCUGGACUUUAACAGCAACGUAUUUUACCCGGAUAAAAUAUGAAGGAAAAAUGCUUGAAGUUCAAGCUUUCAGCUACUGUCAAGAAUGGAGAACAGAACUUAGAAGGCAAAGAAAGAUAGAGCAUAUGGAAGAAAAUCUGAUGAUUUCAUUCAAAAAGAAACUUUGGCUCAAAGCCAUUACAUAUACCAGACUUUGGCUGGUCAAAAAUAAUAAAUUCAUGACCUAAACACUACCUAACUCCACUUAUUACAUUGGAACUAGGUGAUAUUACUUGCACACUUAAACAAAGCUGGUAACCAGCUCUUUGACCAUCAAGUUACAUCAACUUGUCAUCCAAACAUAAUUCAAAAUGAACUAAAUUACAAAAACAUUAUUAAAAGGUAACAAAAUGAAACUGAGAUGAAGCAGUAGCAUUAGCAUCUUCAGUUGCACGUACUUUACCCGGGAAACUUAUGUGCAUGGAUUUUUGCACGUACUUUACCCGGACAACUUAUGUGCAUGAAUUCUUGUGUGCAUGAAUUUGUAUGAGCUGCAUGGAGGCCAACUUUUCUGGUUCAAGAUGCAUACUUCAACCGGUAAUAAUACAACAGUUUGAUCUCUUUUCUUCACAGCUGCAUGCAUGGCUCCGGCUGCUUCUUGACAUGUUGGAAAUUCACAUGCUGCAUGCAGGCCAAUUUCCAACACUCUUCCUUGGCUUGCAUACUGCAAACUCUUGUUCAUUAAGCAUUCUUUGAUGAUUUGGUUCACUAAAUCAUUUUUCUCAUCUCCUUUUGCUUCCAAAUCUCUUUGAAGGUCCUCGACCAUUUGCUUCAACUCCAAUUUUUGAUUCUCCAUUUCAUUCGAUCUUUUAGAUGACUUUUUUUUGUUUCUCUCAAACUGCAAUUCUAGUUUUGUCUUCUGGAUAUGAAGAGAUUCCAACUGCUGCUGCAAUGUGUUUGCCUCAUCCAUUAACCUUUGUAUUUGAUUUGAUGCUUCAUCACUUUCAAAUGCAAAAUUUUCUUUCAACAGAGCUUUCUCAGCUUGCAACGUCUCCUUCUCUAAUAGCAGAUUAUUUUCCUGAGCAGUCAAGUUCUUCACACCAGACAAUGAUUCACUGCUAUCAUCCUCAAGUUCCUUCGUGAGAAUAAAAAUUUCUUUUUCUCUCUUUUCUAACAUUAUUUUGAGUUCUAAAAUGCGGGAUUGAAGUCCUAUAUUUUGUUCUCCCAGUUUUUCUGCUUCAUUUACUUUGUUCUCUAACUGAUCCGCCAUAUCUCUGUUAGUUGCCUGUAAUGAUUUCAACUCAAGUUCCAAGCUAGUUACAUGUGCCUUUAAUUCUUUUAUCUGAGGAGAUGAUUGGUUCCCAUGCAUAUCAUGCACCUCUUUGAGUGUCAAAAGUUUCCUUUCUUUCUCAACUGAAUUAGUGAAAUUUUCAACCAAAUCUUCUUUGGUUAGCUGAGCCAUUGACAUGCAGUUGGCAUGGCUAAGCCUCUUGUGACACAGCUUGGAUUCAUCUGCAGCAGCUGUGUAGGCACUAUCUGGACUCUUAUUCCAGUCCACAAUGAAACUUUUUUCUGUCAUAGCUACUAUCAUGAGCUUGGAUCCACUAGGAUCACUAAUCAGGCAUUUUUUGCCUUUGAAUACAACUGAAUAGCCCUUCUCAAGUAGUUGAGCAAUGCUAAGCAAAUUUCUAUCAAUUUCAGGCACUAACAAGACAUUUGUAACAAGUUUAGUACUUGUAGGAGUGUUUAUCAGCACAUCUCCUUUCCCUUCAACUUUGAUAAAGUGUCCAUUUCCGACUUUCACAUUUGUUUUGAAGCUUCUGUCAAUUGACUUAAAAUUGUGAGCAUCAGGGGUCAUGUAGUUUGUGCAACCACUGUCUAUCAACCAUCCAUUUGUGGCUUUUCCUUUUGCAGCUGAGUAAGAAACUGUAAAAACUUGUUCUUCUUGGUCAUUGUCUUCUUCUACUACUUGAGCUUCAGCUCUUGGCUGCUGGGGUUUGUUGUAUCUUGGUCUGCCCUUAUUUUUGCAAACCCUUUUUACAUGACCCAUCUUCUUGCAGAAUCUGCACUGCACAUCAGGCCUGAACCAACAUACUUUACCCUGAUGACUUGCCCUUUUACAGUGUGGGCAGGGUGGAUAGCUUCCUGCACCACCUACUUUAGGCUCGUUUGACCAGGUAUUCUUGCCUUUGUAGGCAGAGGUGCUCGAGGCAAACUUGGCUUUAGUUUGAAAGGCACCUACUUGGUGCUCCUCCGAUCUGCUGGCCCUCCUUUGCUCUUGCGUAUACAGAGCAUUGAUCAGCUCUGUUAAAGAGAUGCUGGUCAGGUCCCUUGAAUCUUCAAGAGAUGAGAUUUUUUCCCCAUACCUUUUUGGUAAGGUAGAGAGCACUUUCUCCACAAUCCUUGCCUCAUCGAUUACUCACCAAGGAGCCUUAUGCUGUUAAAUACAGCCAUGAUUCUGUCAGAAUACUUCUUGACAGUUUCUUCUUCCUUCAUCUUCAAGUUCUCGAACUCCCUUCUCAGAUUCAACAACUGCUGCUAUCUUGUCCUCUCUGUGCCUUGGAACUCCUCCUUGAGUUUGUCCCAGGCUUGUUUUGGUGUUUCACAAGCCAUGAUUCUAGUAAAAAUUACAUCAGAAACACAGUUCUGAAUGCAAGACAUGGCCUUGUGCUUUUUACUUUUUUUAUUCAGAGUACUGCUUCAUUUGAGCCACUAUUGGAUUUGCUCUCAAUGGUUCUGGUUCAACAUCUGAGUUAACUACCUCCCAUAGAUCAAAUGCCUGGAGGUAGGUUCUCAUCUUGACUACCCAAAUGUGAUAUCCUUCUCCAUUGAAAACUGGAGGUGCAGCUGGUGAGAAGCUUGAUGAAGCCAUCUUGUUUUAUAUUGAAUAUGAAACAGGUCCUCUAAGAAAUGAGCUCUUGAUACCAAUUGUUGGUGUUAGACACACUUUAACCGGAUGAAGUAAGAACUUCAAUCUGGACUUUAACAGCAACGUAUUUUACCCGGAUAAAAUAUGAAAGAAAAAUGCUUGAAGUUCAAGCUUUCAGCUCCUGUCAAGAAUGGAGAACAUAACUUAGAAGGCAAAGAAAGAUGGAGCAUAUGGAAGAAAAUCUGAUGAUUUCAUUCAAAAAGAAACUUUGGCUCAAAGCCAUUACAUAUACCAGACUUUGGCUGGUCAAAAACAAUAAAUUCAUCACCUAAACACUACCUAACUCCACUUAUUACAUUGGAACUAAGUGAUAUUACUUGCACACUUAAACAAAGCUGGUAACCAGCUCUUUGACCAUCAAGUUACAUCAACUUGUCAUCCAAACAUAAUUCAAAAUGAACUAAAUUACAAAAACAUUGUUAAAAGGUAACAAAAUGAAACUGAGAUGAAGUAGUAGCAUUAGCAUCUUCAGUUGCACGUACUUUACCCGGGAAACUUAUGUACAUGGAUUCUUGCACGUACUUUACCCGGACAACUUAUGUGCAUGAAUUGUUGUGUGCAUGAAUCUGUAUGAGCUGCAUGGAGGCCAACUUUUCUGGUUCAAGAUGCAUACUUCACCCGGUAAUAAUACAAUAGUUUGAUCUCUUUUCUUCACAGCUGCAUGCAUGGCUCCGGCUGCUUCUUGACAUGUUGGAAAUUCACAUGCUGCAUGCAGGCCAAUUUCCAACAAUGAUAGAGAUAAUCGGUAAAGUUGUUGCGGGUAUCUUCACCUCUAAAACUCAAGAAAACAUUUUAUUUCUUUCUAGUAUUGGAUGAAGAAGUUAAAGGUAAUGACGACAUGACGAUGUAGUGUUCAAAAUCAGAAAAUUGAUCGCUCAAUACGCCAGAAAGAAACUAGAACAAUAAGUAUACGAGAGUGAAGAAGGAGAAAAAGGGAUCAAAUUUCCAGGGAAGAAUGAAGGUCGUUUCUAAGCAAUUUCUCUAUAACCUUUUUCUUUUUCCAAAUGAAUGCUCGUAGGUGUGGAAAUUGUGUGAUGCAUGUUCUUUCCAGGAAGAAUCCAAGAAGGUGGGAGUUCACAAUAUGGAGCCUACAAUAAUUAUAAGUAAAGUGUUGGGACGGUUUGUCUUUUACUUUCUUUUCCAUUAUCAUAUCUACUUUAUAAUUAUUAAGCAUUAAAAUUAUGUUUUACGUGCUCAGCUAGUUUGUAUUUAUAUAUCUAAUUAUAAAUUUAAUUUUAGUUGUUUUUGUAUAACUGAAAUACUAAUUAAUGCUUAAUAAUUGUGUUUUACAUGCUUAACUAGUUUGUAUUUAUAUAUCUAAUUAUAAAUUUAGUUUUAGCUUAUUUAUAUAACUGUAGUAUUAAUUAAGUGAUAAUUAUUACUUUAAAAUAAUAAGUAUAAUCUAUAAAAAAUAAUCUAAUUAAGUACAUUGAUGUAUUAAUUAUUGUUUCAUUAUAGUACUAUAUAAGUGUUGAUACAUUAUUAUGGUUUUAUAAAAAUUACUAUCUUUUUUAUUAAUUCAUCACAUUAAUUGGAACUAAUUAAUUAAGCAUUAUAAGUGUUAUUUAAAUGUUAAAAGACUUGCUUUUUUUGAUACAAUGUCGAAAAUUACACAUAGUUCUCUUCAAUCCUUAAAUAGAAGAAUAAUGCACUUCAGCGUACUCGAAUUCACAUCUUCUUGCAUUGACAAUAAUAUCAAUAUCAAUCAAGCUAAUACUCAAUCCAAAUAUAUUGUAGUUAUUAAAUUUAAUAGUCUCAAGAAUUGAAUUACUUUUCAUACAUUAAUCAUUGGAAACGUUGAUAGCUUGUAUCAACACCUCUACCACCGACAAUGAAUUAGGCAACAAAACGUGCACAUUGAAGCAAAAAGGAAUUGUGUAAUAAAUGAUGUCACCUUCACCAUUUAUUUUUAUUAUCACAAACCCAAAUCAAUUUCCUUUCACUGAAUAUAGAUAAGCCAUAAUUAUUUUUUGAGCCCUCUAACUUAAAAAAAAAUUAUUUUAACUCUUAAUAAAAAGGAUCCUAAUUUUUUAUUUUAUUACUAGUACAAAUCCAGACUGUCACCUUCGAUUCACCAUCAAGCUAGCUCCAAGAAUGACAAUUAUGUAAUAUGUUCGUCAAACCCAAAAUAAUUCAUAGUCAUUCAAUCUACUUUUACACCUUAUAUUACUUGGGAAAAGUAAAGAAGUUAGUGGGAGUGAAACUGAUAGGGAUUAAUGUGAAUAUGAGUGAUCAAGUCAAUAAGAGCUUUGUAUAGCAUGGGGAAUUACAAAUGUAUACUAUAUAUAUCUGUAAACAUUUCACCCUUUGUAAUUUUCGUAUUCUGCUUUUUGAAUAAUUAAAAAUAGUUUUUUAUACUCAACAUUUAACUUGAGCUCGAUUAAACUUAUAUGUGUUCGAGCUUGAGCUCAACUCAAUAAUUAAAUUUAAAGUUAAUAAUAUAUAUCAAGGAAAUAAUGUAACUUAACAAUAUAAAAAUAUUUAAAAUAUAUGUUAAAAUUGAAAAGUUCGAUACGAUUUGUGAACUAUUCGAACGGAGUAUUACUAAGUUCGUAUUCAGCUCAACUAAUAACUCGAGUUUGUCUAUUAAUUACACUUCUCCGGCUUUUUAUUCUUUUCUUGAGACACUUGAUCUCGUUGGUUUUAAUCUUGAAGCAAUGAUUUUAAGCAAGGGUGAAAUCAUGAAUUUUUUGGAGCCGAAAUUAUAUUUUUAUAAUUUUUGACGGAUUAAAUUAUUUUUUUUAUUUUUAAGAGGUCUAAAUAUUAUUUUAAUUUUAUUAAUUAAAAAUUUUAAAUACCUUAAAUAAAAAAAAUUCUAUUUUUGGAGAAACUGGACCUGCCAUACCCACUAAUUUCGCCCCUGUUCUUAAAUUUAUAUAUAUUACGUUUCCAAUUAUGUGAAAAGAAAUGCAUACUUUAAAUCAAAUAAAACUGUAAAUAACAUAGCUAAAAAUGUCUGAACAGGACGAAGCUAGUUAAGCACUUUACCACAAUUAAUGCUUGUUCUUCGAUCAGCCAAUUAUAAAAUUGAAGAAUUUUUGCAUCCGUUUUGGUUGUAGCCCUUCUUCCUCUGUCUCCUUACAGAUAUUACGUUUGCGUUUUAUAAGGGAAGUACUACCUAUUGAUCCAUCAUUGUGAGAAGAGUGUUGGUGGAUAUGUUCAAAUUUUGGAGAAGAUGGAGUGCUAUGGCACUGCAGCUCUUUUAUUUCUUCCAAAUCCUUCUUAUACACUAUUCUAGCACCACACUUCUUCACUUUAAGACUGUGACCAAUUGGGUUGUGAAAGACAACUUAAGCCUAUUACAACCAGCUUCUCCAACAUUUCUCCAAUGAAUAUUGGCUCUAAAAAGGAUAGCCUCCAUAUACUUGGAAGCAUCAUCAAUGUCAAAAAUGCCACGUGAAGCAACUCUAUUCCAUUUAUUAUCUUUCUGAAUAGUGAGAGGUAAAGUUAUCCUAAUUCAAGAAUAAUUUAUGUGUUUGUUAAACCAUUCAGGGAUUUAAUUGAUGAUGAUAUGUUUUAUUGUGAUUACCAUCACGUUAUAUCCACUUAUAAUUAAAUUUUUUUAUAUAAAAAUUUAAAAAAAAACUUAAUCUAUAGUGUUUAUAUAGCGAUGACCUAAGUGUAAUUAAAAUAGAUACUAUAUAUAAAAUAGCUUAAAAUAUGCUUUUAAAUCCUUAUACUUUUUGUAUAUUUGUAAUUUAGUCUUUUUAUUUUUCAUGUUUUAAAAUUUAGAUUCAAUUGUUAAUUCCAUCUAAUUUUUCUAGAUAUUUUAAAAUAAAAAACAUACUCACUUAAUAGUGAUGUAUAACAUUACACAUUAGACCAAAAUUUGUGCAUAAUUUUGAGUUUUGUCCCUUUUGUUAGUAGCAACUAAUUUUAAAAUAAAAAAUCAAGCACUUUUUUGAAAAACAUUAAUGUUGGUGUUAUCAUUAAUGAUUUUACAUAUCAAAAUGUUCGUAGAACCCAUUUUAUGAUUUUUUGUGUUUUUAUAGUUGAUGAUAUAGGAGUAGAUUGAAUGAAAAAUAUUUUUGGUUUUUAUUUUUGUUAGAAAAAUAUAUUAUUCGCUUAAUGCCAUAGAUAUUAUUUUAAUGAAAUUAUUAUUAUAUAAUUUUAUUUUAUUAUAUUACAUUUUAUAAUUUUUUUAAAAGGGCUUGAUUUAUUAUUUUGUCUAAGGCCCAAAAAUGUCAAGAAUGGGCCUGAGGGUACAUUACUCCUUUUUGCUUAAUUAUGAUGUUUUAUGUUCUUUAAUUAUUGUAAUUGUACUGUAUUCGUUACACUUUAAAAAAUAAAAUUUAAGAACAUAUUUAUAAAAUGGUUGUUCAUUUUUAUAUUUUGUGCUAAUUCUAUGCUUGAUAUAUGAGCACCGAUGUGCAAGAUUAAGUUGUUGGCGUCAUUUCUAGGGAACUUUGUGUGUGAUAAGUUGAAUCACGUUGACUUUUGCAUGUUUGGGUAACGAGUUAGCCCCAUGUCAUCUCGAGCUGGAAAGGAUUUUAACCAACGCGAGACUUGGGUAACUUCCAAAAGAAGACCCACUGCAAGUCAAAUCAUCAAUUUCCGAUUUGUCGUGUAAUAGUCCUCUCUUUGAAAAUCCACCUUUUAAGUCUUUCAAAUCUAGAGGAGCUAGAACCUCUUAUCUGACCGAGACAAUGGCAAAUCGUACGUCGAGAGAUUACGCCAUGCUGACACUUAGAUGUUGUGCGAGGUAGGAUCAAUUGGCUCACCAUUAAUGCCAACAAUUUUGAGAUCAAGUCUGCGAUGUUUCAAAUAAUUGAAAGUAAUAUUCAAUUAAGGGAAUCAAAUUUGCUCCUAAUUUUUGUUUAUGUGAUAUUUUGUUAUUAUUAUUUAAAAUAUUUUUAUUGCGUAAGUGUUGAGUGCAUGACAUAACACAUUACAUUUAAAAAUAUAUAUUUAAAUUUAAAUUUUAGAGAUAAAUAUUAUUAUAAAGAAUAAUUAUUUUUAAUUAUUAUUUAAAUUUCACAAUAUUUAUUUUGCUAUUUUAUUUAGCUCAAUAAACCUAUUUUUAUCUAUAUUCACCUAAAGAAUCAGAAAUGUGAAGGUAUAUUUUCAACUAUAUAUUUCCCUAAAUCUUUUAUAGGAGUUGUUUUUAUAUAUUAUAUAGAUCAACAUAUAAAAUAAAUUUAAUUUUAAAUUUUUGAAAAGUUUGAACAAAAAUAAUAAAUUUAAAAAUCGGAUUUAAAUAAAAAAAUUUGAUCUCAUUUAAAAUGUAAGCAUGACUUGAACAAUUUUGUAACUAAUAUUUUGGGCCAAAUUGGGCUUGAGCAAGCAUGCAUUCUGCUAAUACUAUACAUAUGCUUGAACCUGACCCCUUUUGCGCAUUUACCCAAUACUAGUGUUAAUUAAAGAUUUUAUAUCAAGUCGUUUAUCACUUCAACAAUAAUUUUAUCUGACUUGUUAGGUUUUUUUAUUUUUAUUGUGGAGUUAUAUCUCAAAGUUAUGAUUAAUUUGGAAAUAAACUUAUUUAAGAGUGGAUAUAUUCAUCCAACCUCAAAUUCUCUGGGAGGAUUUGAAUAAAAGUACAAGACCUAACAAAUAUUAAAAUGCUAAUAAAACAUUUAAAUUGUCACAACAUCCGUUGAUGUUUAAAAUUCUAAUAAAAGAAAAUAAAUAAGAUUAUUAAAUAUUAAAUAUUAAAUAAAAAUAUUAUUUUUUAAAAAAUAAUAUGAAUUUUGUAAAGAAAUAAUAAUAUGAACAAACUUAAAACGAAUUUAAAUUUGCCAUUUAUAAAUGUAAAUGGGCUUGAACAAAAUUUGAAGCCUCUAUUUUGGAUCAAACCGAGCUUGAGUAAGCAAUAAAAUGUGCUAGUCAAGACUUGGCUCGCCUCAUAAAUUCUUUGCUUGCGUAAGGGUGAGAAUUGACUGAAUCUAGUCCAAUCGAGUAAAAAAAAUUUAAUUUAGUCAAGUUGAAGAGUCCUAUUUUUUCAUCUUAAUUUGAUUUGAAAUUUUUUUGAAUUAAAUAAAGUGAAAUGAAAUGGUAGUCGAGUUGAAUCGAAUAAAUUUGUAGUGAAUAUUAAUAACAUUGGACUACCAAGAAAGGGUGAAAAGCUCACCUUAUUACCCAGUGUCAUUUUUACUGCCAUCACAGCUUCACUUGUUAGUAUUUGCUCUUUGAUACUCAGGCACUUUUAGUAGUGCGACUGUGGAAGGGAUUUCGUUAUGCAAACUACUUCUUCAUGGAAGUGCUAGUCAAUAGACAUGAUUAACGUGAAAGCUCCUCUUACCAUGUACUGGGAAUGAGUGACUAUUGCCUCUGUUUAGCUUCAUUCACCCUGGAAAGGAAUUAUUGAGCUAAUUAGUGGGUGUUUCGAGCUAAGUUUUUUGAGUUCAAGGUUGUAUACUGGGUUUUAAGAUGUUUCUUGUGAGAUCCCUUGGUUGGGAACUAUCAAAUUAUUUCCUUUCGAUUGAAAAGCUUUAUGCUUUGUUUGCUCGUGGCUUUUUGAACUUCGAGCGCGUGUUCAGCAAUGGGUGCAAGUCAUCAUUCGCAGAGAUAUCAAGCCUGCCAAUAUGCUGAUAGACAGUGACAUGAAUGCCGAUUGGGGGAUUUUGGGCUUGCAAAGCUAUGCGACCUUGGAAAUGAUUCUCUCAAACCUCGCAUGUAAACUUGGUUACAUGGCUCUUGAGCUUGCAAGAAUUCGGAAAACAAACACAAGCACUGAUAUUUAUGCAUUUGGUGAAGUUGAUCGGUGAAGUUGAAUUAAAGAAUUUGUUUCAUCUUAAGAUUUAUGAUCCAAAUUCAAAACAUUUGUUGAUAGAGUGUUUUACAGCUUCAAAGGCCAAGAGUACUUUGCAGGGUGGAAACUGGUUCAUAAGCCCUGAAUGCCCCCUUGUUCUUGUUGGAGUUUGAAGAUCGUCUUAUUCAUUCUAUUAUUAUGUAUUCAAAGGACAAAUCCACUUUAAAAUAUAACUUGAGAUUUAGUUAUUUGGUCCAUUUGUCUUUAAGAACAUCAAUUGUUUGAAUCUCAAUAGAGGUGAACAUUUGAUAAUUUCAUUUUACUGGUUUUUAAUCUGAAUAGUUAAAUCAUUUAAAACAAUCAUAAUUGUGCACGGAUCAAAUGGAAUUUUCUUCACUUUUAUCUUCUCUUUGAGUUAGAGGAAAAGAAGUCUAAUUGAGACAAGACUUAAAAGUUUAAUGUUGAAUUGUAAUGAAUUCACUAUUCAAGUCACGGCAACACUAUUAAAUAAAUUAACAGUUCAAUCAAACACAUUUUAGGUUAAAAAAUUCAUAAUAUGACUCAAAAUAAAAUGUUUGGGACCCAAAUAGCUAAUAAAAAAAGAGACUUAAGUGUCAAAUUUUAUAAACGCUAAGAACUUUUUUUGUCAUUAUGCCUUAUUUAAAAGGUAUUAUUGACAUUACUAUUUGAAUUUACCUUUUACAAAUAGCAAAUUCAAAAUGUUGAUUUAAAAUACUAUAAAUUACAUUACAUUACUUGUAAAAAAACAAUUAAUUAUAUAAUAACAUAAUCUAUUUCUCGAAAUCCUAAUUCUUAUCCGCUUCCGUUUCAUCUUGAUGACUUUUGAUAGUCCUUCACUUGCAUGAUCCGUUGAGCAGACUCUCAUGCUUCUAUUGGUUUAAGGACAAACAUGAAACACCAAGAUUAUUUUCAUUGCAUUGAGAUCAUAUAUAUAUAUAUAUAUAGUACUGGUACAUUAAUUUACCUCAAAUCGAAAAUCAUUUAUUGAUAUAUAAUGGAAACAUAACUGUUGAAAAUAUUACUCACAUCAACCAAAAACUAUAUCUCUAUUUCUCUAAACCCUAAUUUUAGAUAAGAACAAAAAAUGAAUCUAUUGAAUUUUAAAAAAAAAUAUUGGAUAUGAAUCUGUCUCUCACACGAAAAAUAUUUUCCAAUAAAAUAAAAGAGCAUACUUUAUUCAUAUUUGAAUAGGUGUAAAAAAGUAAAUGCAUAAACAUAAAUACUUUAUAAAAAAUAUAAACUCAAGAUUUGAAAUAAUAUUAUUUGUAGUUAACUCCAUGAAAUUUAAAUCGUACUUUUAUUAGAAGGAAUUAAUGACUUAUAUUUAAUCUCCAAAAUAUAUAAAAGUAAUUUUGAUUGAUUAAAUUAAACAAAUAAAUUGGUCUUAAAUAAAAAUUAUUAUUUUUAACUUAGACGAAAUUAUGAUCUAUUCCUCAUUAAAGGAUGUUCACGUACGUUAUUAUGACCUGUUUCGUCACGGAAGUUAUUCUUUUUUUUCUACAUUUCGGUUUCAAGUUGAUUAUAUUUACUUCAACCUAUAAAAAAAUAUAAAUAUAAGUGAAUAUUUAAUGAAAAUAAAAUUUUAAUAAAUAAAAAAAAUAAACCAAUCAAAAUGUGUGCAAUAUGAAUUGACUAAAAUUUUAAAUGGUAUAAGAAAACAGUGUUAUCGACAUUUGGGAUAUGUAAUGUUUAAUAUGAAUAUGAAUAAAUUUUUUUAAAUUUUUUAGUAUAUAAUGAAAUGAUUAUAUCUCUAUAAUGAUUACUUUAAACGAAAUACAAGAUGUAAAGAAUGUAGAUGUGUAAAGGAAAAAUUAAUAGUUUACCACAGCUAAUGCUUCUUACUCGAUUGGCCCGUUAUAAAAUUGAUCACUUUUUGCAUCCGUUUUUGUUGCGGCUCUUCUUCCUCCUUUUCCUCGUAGAUAUUACGUUUUCGUUUUAUGUGAGAAGUGCUACGUACUGAUCCAUCGUUGUGAGCAAAGUGUUGGUGGAUGUGAGAAGAUCGAGUGGUAUGGCAUUGCAACUCUUUUAUAUCUUCCAAAUCUUUCUCAUACACUAUUCUAAUACCACACUUCUUCACCUUAACAGAAGGGUGCUCUGGUCCAAUUUCGGUUUUGAAAGACACCUCUCAUCGCAUAUUUGAUCUAAGCAAUCUGUUGUCCAUAAAUUAUUGGUUUCACAGUCACGAUAUUUAUCAUACAAGGAAAAUGAAUAUAAUAUAUCACGCGGAAAAUAAUGAAGAAAAAAGUGAUCUUUCAUUGUGGGCUUGCGAUAUAGUAUACCCGUCGACCAGCCUCUCGAAUCAAUUGGUCGACAAUUUCUACCUCGAAAAAUAGAUCCAUUAAAGCUGAUCCAUUGAGUAUAUGUUGAAGCAUCAUUACGGACAAAAAUGCAGCAACAAGCAACUCCAAUCCAUUCACUAUCCAUCCGAAGAUUGAUAGGUAGGGGUGUCUUAAUUGAAGAGUCAGUUUUUUGUUGGCUAAACCAUUCUGGAAUUUCACUUCCGAGCUUAAUAAUUUCAAAGAUGCCAGUACCAGACCAUUUUCUUGAAUCUACAAAUGCCUGCAAAAUAAAACACAAGUCGUUUGGUAACUAAAACCAUAAAUUCUCGAGUUUGAGAUUUUGUAAGGGAGAAAAUAGAGAUUAAUCGACCUUAAUAUGUUCUUUCAGCAUUGUUAAAGCAUUGAUUUUCUCAGCCAAUUUGAAGUAGUUAAUGGCUCUAAUGUUAUCACAACCCACAAAAUUGCAUACUUUUGAUGGACUUUCAACUACUUCAAGUGAAGAACAACCGUCUAUAGACACGCUUUUUAUACUUGUUGGUAGCUCAGGCAACGAUUAAAGCAUCUUGCAAUCUGACAAUGUAAUAGAAUGAAGCUUGGAAAGUCGAAUAAUAGAUGCAGGUAUGCUGAUGAAAUUGUUACUCCCAAGACCAAGAUAUUUCAAAGAGGAUAGACCAGAAAUAUCCCUAGGAAAAUCUCUUUCACCAAGACUGCAGAUGUUGAAAUUUGACAAUACAAGAAACAGACGCUUUGAGAGUCGAGUAAGAGAUGCAGGUAUGCUGAUGAAAUUGUUACCACUAAGAACAAGACGUAUCAAAGAGGAUAGACCAGAAAUAUCACACGGAAUAUCUCCUUCACAAAGAUUGCAGUUCCUUAGAUUCAACUCUCUUAAUGAACUCAAACCUGACGACAAAGGCAACAUCCUUGGAUUUUUUAAUAAUAACAUCAAUUCUAAUAUCUGGGAAUGUUGGAAAUUGGCCUACAUGCAGCAUGUGAAUUUCCAACAUGUCAAGAAGCAGCCGGAGCCAUGCAUGGAGCUGUGAAGAAAAGAGAUCAAACCGUUGUAUUAUUACCGUGUGAAGUAUGCAUCUUGAACCAGAAAAGUUGGCCUCUAUGCAGCUCAUGCAGAUUCAUACACACAAGAAUUCAUGCACAUAAGUUGUCCGGGUAAAGUACGUGCAAGAAUCUAUGCACAUAAGUUUCCCGGGUAAAGUACGUGCAACUAAAGAUGUUAAUGCUACUGCUUCAUCUUAGUUUCAUUUUGUUACCUUUUAACAAUGUUUUUGUAAUUUAGUUCAUUUUGAAUUAUGUUUGGAUGACAAGUUGAUGUAACUUGAUGGUCAAAGAGCUGGUUACCAGCUUUGUUUAAGUGUGCAAGUAAUAUCACCUAGUUCCAAUGUAAUAAGUGGAGUUAGUUAGUGUUUAGGUGAUGAAUUUAUUGUUUUUGACCAGCCAAUGUCUGGUAUAUGUAAUGGCUUUGAGCCAAAGUUUCUUUUUGAAUGAAAUCAUCAGAUUUUCUUUCCAUAUGCUCUAUUUUGUUUGCCUUCAAAAUUCUGUUCUUCAUUCUUGGCAGUAGCUAAAAGCAUGAACUCCAAGUAUUUUUCCUUCAUUCUUUAUCCGGGUAAAAUACGUUGCUGUUAAAGUCCAGAUUGAAGUUCUUACUUCAUCCGGUUAAAGUGUGUCUAACACCAACAAUUGGUAUCUAGAACUGCAUUCUUAAGGGACCUGUUCUAGCAAACUUUAAAAACGAUGGCUUCAUCAAGCUUCUCACCAGCUGCACCUCAAGUUUUCAAUGGAGAAGGAUAUCACAUUUGGGUAGUCAAGAUGAGAACCUACCUCCAGGCAUUUGAUCUAUGGUAGGUAGUUAACUCAGAUGUUGAACCAGAACCAUUGAGAGCAAAUCCAACAGUGGCUCAAAUGAAGCAGUAUUCUGAAGAAAAAAGUAAAAAGCACAAAGCCAUGUCAUGCAUUCAGAACCGUGUUUCUGAUGUAAUUUUUACUAGAAUCAUGGCUUGUGAAACACCAAAACAAGCCUGGGACAAACUCAAGGAGGAGUUCCAAGGCACAGAGAGGACAAGGCAGCAGCAGCUCUUGAACCUAAGAAGGGAUUUCGAGAAUUUGAAGAUGAAGGAAGAAGAAACUGUCAAGAAGUAUUCUGAUGGCUGUAGUUAACAGCAUAAGGCUCCAUGGUGAACAAUUUGAUGAGGCAAGGAUUGUGGAGAAAGUGCUCUCUACCUUACCAGAAAGGUAUGAGGCAAAAAUCUCAUCUCUUAAAGACUCAAGGGACUUAACCACCAUCUCUUUAAUAGAGCUGAUUAAUGCUCUGUAUGCACAAGAGAAAAGGAGGGCCAGCAGAUCGGAAGAGCACCAAGAAGGUGCCUUUCAAGCCAAAGCCAAGUCUGUCUCGAGCACCUCUGCCUACAAAGGCAAGAAUACCUGGUCAAACGAGCCUAAAGCAGAUGGUGCAGGAAGCUAUCCACCCUGCCCACACUGCAAAAGGGUAAGUCAUCUGGGUAAAGUAUGUUGGUUUAGGCCUGAUGUACAGUGCAGAUUCUGCAAGAAGAUGGGUCAUGUAGAAAGGGUUUGCAAAAACAAGGGCAGACCAAGAUACAACCAACCCCAGCAGCCAAGAGCUGAAGCUUAAGUAGUAGAAGAAUACAAUGACCAAGAAGAACAAGUUUUAGCAGUUUCUUACUCAGCUGCAAAAGGAAAAGCCACAAAUGGAUGGUUGAUAGACAGUGGUUGCACAAACCACAUGACCCCUGAUGCUGACAAUUUUAAGUCAAUUGACAGAAGCUUCAAAAUAAAUGUGAAGGUCAGAAAUGGACACUUCAUCAAAGUUGAAGGCAAAGGAGAUGUGCUGAUAAACACUCCUACAGGUACUAAACUUGUUACAAAUGUCUUGUUAGUGCCUGAAAUUGAUAGAAAUUUGCUUAGCAUUGCUCAACUGCUUGAGAAGGGCUAUUCAGUUGUAUUCAAAGGCAAAAAAUUCCUGAUUAGUGAUCCUAGUGGAUCCAAGCUCAUGACAGUAGCUAUGAUAGAAAAAAGUUUUAUUGUGGACUAAAAUAAGAGUCCAGUAGUGCCUACACAGCUGCUGCAGAUGAAUCCAAGCUGUGUCACAAGAAGCUUAGCCAUGCCAACUACAUGUCAAUGGCUCAACUAACCAAAGAAUAUUUGGUUGAAAAUUUCACUAAUUCAGUUGAAAAAGAAAGGAAACUUUUGACACUCAAAGAGGUGUAUGAUAUGCAUGGGAACCAAUCAUCUGCUCAGAUAAAAGAAUUAAAGGCACAUAUAACUAGCUUGGAACUUGAGUUGAAAUCAUUGCAGGCAACUAACAGAGAUAUGGCGGAGCAGUUAGAAAACAAAGCAAGUGAAGCAGAAAAACUGGGAGAACAAAAUAUAGGAUUUCAAUCCCGCAUUUCAGAACUCAAAAUAAUGUUAGAAAAGAGAGAAAAAAAUUUUAUUCUCACGAAAAAACUUGAGGAUGAUAGCAGUGAAUCAUUGUCUGGUGUGAAGAACUUGACUGCUCAGGAAAAUAAUCUACUAUUAGAGAAGGAGACGUUGCAAGCUGAGAAGGCUCUGUUGAAAGAAAAUUUUGUAUUUGAAGGUGAUGAAGCAUCAAAUCAAGUACAGAAGUUAAUGGAUGAGGCUAACACAUUGCAGCAGCAGCUGGAAUCUCUUCAUAUCCAGAAGGCAAAACUGGAAUUGCAGUUUGAGAGAAAGAAACAAAAGUCAUCCGAAAGAUUGAAUGAAAUGGAGAAUAAAAAAUUGGAGUUGAAGGAAAUGGUCGAGGACCUUCAAAGAGAUUUGGAAGCAAAAGGAGAUGAGAAAAAUGAUUUAGUGAACCAAAUCAUCAGAGAAUGCUUAAUGAACAAGAGUUUGCAGCAUGCAAGCCAAGGAGGAGUGUUGGAAAUUGGCCUGCAUGCAGCAUGUGAAUUUCCAACAUGUCAUGAAGCAGCCAGAGCCAUGUAUGGAGCUGUGAAGAAAAGAGAUCAAACUGUUGUAUUAUUACUGGGUGAAGUAUGCAUCUUGAACCAGAAAAGUUAGCCUCCAUGCAGCUCAUGCAGAUUCAUACACACAAGAAUUCAUGCACAUAAGUUGUCCGGGUAAAGUACGUGCAAGAAUCCAUGUACAUAAGUUUCCCGGGUAAAGUACGUGCAACUGAAGAUGUUAAUGCUACUGCUUCAUCUCAGUUUCAUUUUGUUACCUUUUAACAAUGUUUUUGUAAUUUAGUUUAUUUUGAAUUAUGUUUGGAUGACAAGUUGAUGUAACUUGAUGGUCAAAGAGCUGGUUACCAGCUUUGUUUAAGUGUGCAAGUAAUAUCACCUAGUUCCAAUGUAAUAAGUGGAGUUAGGUAAUGCUUAGGUGAUGAAUUUAUUGUUUUUGACCAGCCAAUGUCUGGUAUAUGUAAUGGCUUUGAGCCAAAGUUUCUUUUUGAAUGAAAUCAUUAGAUUUUCUUUCCAUAUGCUCUAUUUUGUUUGCCUUCAAAAUUCUGUUCUUCAUUCUUGGCAGUAGCUAAAAGCUUGAACUCCAAGCAUUUUCCUUCAUUCUUUAUCCGGGUAAAAUACGUUGCUGUUAAAGUCCAGAUUGAAGUUCUUACUUCAUCCGGUUAAAGUGUGUCUAACACCAACAGGGAAAAACUCACAAUGAUCCAAUAUUUUGAUUACAAGUUUUUUUCUCCCCAUUAAAGAAACAUGCUAUAUUUAGAAAUAUAUUCUUCUUCCUUUCUUCCAGUUCAUCAAAACCGAUUCAAAGUUUAUCAAGAAUUUUUUUAUUAGAAUCUCUUUUUAGUCUUUCAAUCACACUUCUCUAUUGAGUUACAUCUCUACCAUACAAAAAGGAACCCAAUACUUAAAGAGCUAAAGGGAGCCCACCACCAUAAUUUACAACAUGUUCAGAAAGCACAAUGAAAUAAUCUUUUCACACUGUAUCAUGAUGAAAAGCUUUCAAAUUAAAAAGUUGAAGUGCAUCUUUGGGAUUCAAUGUUGUGGCCAUAUGCACAUCAUCAACUUGGUAAGAUCAAAGCAAAUGUUCGUCUCUUGUUGUUAUAAUGAUUCUACUCCCUAAUCCGAGCCAACCAUGCCUUCCAACCAAGCAUUUUAAGUGUUGUAUGUUAUCAGCAUCAUCAAGAACAACAAGAACCUUUUUUAUAAGACAACCUAUGGCUAAUUAUGUCAUUUCCUUCAUAAACAUUAAAUUCAUUAUGAAAGAUUUGUGAAAGAAGUUGCUUCUAUAAAGAAAUUAGUCCACAUUUGUCUUAAACUUAAAAAUAAUAUAAUAUAAAGUAUUAUAAACUUAAAAACGGGUUAGGCUGGGUUUAAGCCCGAGCUUGACCCAUAUUUUAUUAUAAACUUAAAAAUGGACUGGGCCAGAUUCAAGCUCGAGCCUGACCCAUAUUUUAAACAGGCUUAAAUUUUUUGCUCAACUCCAUUUUUGAACCUAAUAUUUUUAUUCAAACCUUUUUAAAUUUCAAUCGAACUUUUGGAUUUGGACGGAUAACCCGAUCCAUGAACAGAUUUAAUUUAAUGUUAUGAUAAAAUUAAUAUAUAAUAGUAUCAAGAAUUCCUUCAUCUAUUAAUAAUUGGAGCCAUUGAUUACUUUGAGCGAAUUUCCGUACUGAUGUUCCCUCAAGUAAGUUACAAUUAUGCCAUGGUUUCAAAUACGCUCCGAUCACUUGGACACAAAGGUUGAAGAUCAUCAAAGACCGCGCUGUUCUAUCUGCACCAGCAAUGGGUGACAGAGAUAUCAUCUUCAAAUUAAUAAAUGGAAGAUUAUUUUAAUUGAUAAUAUAAUAUUUUUUUAUAAUUAUGUUGUAUGUUAUUUAUAUUAUAUUAAGCAAAUAUUUUUAAAAUCUAUUGAACUUUGAAAAAAAAUCAAUUAAUUAAAAGAGCUGGUGCUAAAAAUAAAUGUCUAAAUAUAAAUACUUUAUAAAAAAAAUAUAAAAUGAAGAGUUAGAAUAAUAAUAUUUUUACUUCAAGCUAUAAAAUUUAAACGGUAUACUUUUAUUAGGAGGAAUUAAACCUAUUUAAGCACUUAUGUUUAAUCUUCCAAAUAUAUAAAAAACAAUUUUGAUAGAUUAAAUUGAAUACAUAAGUUGAUCUCAAAUAAAAAUUAAAUGAUUUUUAACUCAAUCGAAAUUAUGAUCUAAUCCUCGUUAAAUGAUUUUUACCUUAUUAGCAUCUGCUUUGAUAGAAAUACUAUCUAUUUUUCUCCACAUUUCUAUAUAAUGAAAAUAAAAUUUUGGUAAGUAAAAAAAUAAAACCAACCAAAAUGUACACAUUUCCAUUAUGUAAAAAGAAAUGAAUUAAGUGACUAAAAUUGUAAAUGGUAUAAAUAUAUAUAUAUAUAUAUUAUCAACAUUUGGGAUAGGUAUAGAAUAUAAGUAUGAAUAAAAAUUUUAAAUUUUUUUAAUAUAUAAAAGGGAUUAUAUCUCAUACGCAAAUUACAAAUAAGUCUUGAGUGGUUACUUCAAAUGAAAUAAAAGAUGUAAAUAAGGUAUAUGUGUAAAAAAAAAAACUUUAAUCGGACAAGGUUGGUUAAGUAGUUUACCAAACUUAAUGCUUCUUAUCCGAUUGGCCCAUUAUAAAAUUGAAAAAUUUUUGCAUCCGUCUUGGUUGUAGCCCUUCUUCCUCUGCUUCCUCGUAGAUAUUACGUUUUCGUUUUAUGUGAGAAGUGCUACCUAGUGAUUCAUUGUCGUGAGCAGAGUGUUGGAGGAUGUGUUCAAAAUUUGGAGAAGAUUGAGUGCUAUGACACUGCAACUCUUUGUUUUCUUCCAAAUCUUUCUCAUACACUAUUCUAACACCGCACUUCUUUGCCAUAAAACUAUAGUUACCUGAAAAAUAUAUCUCAAGCUCAUCGCAUUCUUGAUCCAAGCAAUCUGCUGUUAGUAAAUUCUUUGGUUCACAUUUAUCCCCCAAGGAAGAUGGAUAUAGUUCAUCACGAGACCAAUAAUGAAGAAAAAGGUGGUCCUUCUUUAUGGGUUGGACAUAUUCCCGACCUAAAGAAAUUAUACUCGAAUGGACCUUUCGAGAAUUUUUACAGCCAGAUUGUCCUGCAAUUUUACUAUGGAUAUUAGCUUUACAGCCGAAAAUCUUAUCCCCAGAAGCACUACCAUUGACAAAAAUGCAGCACACAGCGACUCCAAUCCAUUGACUGUCAUUCUGAAUAUUGAGAGGCAGAGGAAUUUCAAUUCCAGAGCCACCUCUCUGUUGGCUGAACCAUUCUGGGAUUUCAUUUCCAGGUAUAAUAACAAAAAACUUUUUUCUUGAAUUUGCAAAUGCCUGCAGAGUAAAACACCUGUAGUUCAGUAAUGAAAAUCAUAAAAUUUCAAGUAUGAGAUUCUAUAAGGAAAAAGAAAAGAGAGAGAUUUACUGACCUUAGGAUGUUUUUUUAGCAAUGUUAAUGCAUUGUUGUUCUCCGCCAAAUUGUAGCAGUUAAUGGCUGUAAUGUAAGCAGAACCCGAUAAAUUGCAUACUUUUGAUGGACUUGCAACUACUUCAAGUGAAGAACAACCAUCUAUCCACACAUCUUCUGUACUCGUUGGUAGCUCAGGCAACGAUUUAAGCAUCUUGAAAUCUGACAAUCUAAUAUAAUUAAGCUUGGAAAGUCGAAUAAUAGAUGCAGGUAUGCUGAUGAAAUUGUUACCCUUAAGAUCAAGGAAUUCCAAAGAGGAUAAACCAGAAAUAUCACUAGGAAUAUCUCCUUCACAAAGACAGCAGUCCCUUAGAUUCAACUCUCUUAAUGAACUCAAAUUUGACAAUGAAGGUAACGUCGGAGCCAUGGAAUUUGUCCUUCCUCUUCGGAUUAAAUUGAAAAGAGAAGGAAGAUUUUGUUGUAACUUAGAUGAUCUUUUGCAUCCAUUGAAAGACAGAACUUUAAGAUUUUUAAAUUGAAAAAUGAAGGAUGGUGGUUCUGUUAUGGCUGUUUCACUCAAGUCGAGCUUUUCCAAAAACUUCGCUUGCUGCAAAUUCUCCGAUAAAUUUUCUACUCUAUAACAACCGGAAAGAUCUAGAGUUUUUAGACAUUCCAUUUUCCCAUCAAUGUCCGGAAACCUUACAAGAUUUCUGCAACCCGAAAGAAUUAAUGUUUCAAGAGAUUCCAUUCCAAUUUUGGUCGGAAGAGUCUUAAGACUUUUGCAAUCUCUUAAAUUCAAAAGUUUAAGGCUCUUAAGCACUCCGAUUGAUGGAUGAACAUCCACUAAUUUGGUACAACCUUCCAAAAUCAGGACUUCAAGAUUUGGUGCUGUUGUGAAGUCUGGUGUCUUAAUCAGGUUUUGGGAUCCUUCAAGGUUGAUAAUUUUCAACUGAUAGAGGGGCUGUUGAAGAUCAUAAUAAAUUAGAAACAAAUCAGAAAACAUAAUAAUGCUCAUUUUUUUUACCUUAAUCAAAGUUUAAUAAUUUUUAUUAGAAUAAGCUAAAACACAAGGAUAAGAUGAGUUAAUUCUUACUCUAUUUCCCUUCCAUAGUUGUUGAAUGUGAAUAUAUGGUAAAAGAAGUGCAACAAGGUUGUCCGGUUGGAAGCUUGAAGGCAAUGAUCUUAAAGGGCAUCCUUUCCAAUCUAAAAGCCGUAGCUCAUUAGAAAGAAAUUUGAGAUCAUCACAAUUUAAUAGACAAAGCACUUUGAGUAAUCUCAAUUUUUUCAUCUUUGAGAAGGCAUGGAUACUUAAGUUAAGCAAAAUUUUGCUCGAUUCCCUAAUAACCAUGAACAAAACAAAAUUGAGCUUUAAAAUAUACAAAAACAUUCAAUGUCUAAAAGUUAUGUUGCAUCGACAUUGUUUGUUUAAGUACCUAUAUCCGGUACUUAUAUAUAAUGCAUAUCCGAUACUUAUACUUUAAAUACAUGAAUUUGUUUUUAAAAUUCAACACACCCAUAUUAAAAACAUAUUUAUAUCUAAUCUUAAAAAAAUUUUAAAUUAAUAUUUUGAUUUAUAUUUGUGCCGCAAACAAUGCAUAAUUCUAUAUAAGUUAAUAAACCAAACAAUGGUACAUAAUUUUUGAAUAAAAUACUAGAUAAUUGUCAUUAAAAAGGUAAGAGAUGGGUAAUGUGCAUGAAUGCCACAUGCCCUAAACCGUCACACAUCACAAAGCGAUGGGUGGUCCUAAUAAAUGAAAUAUAAAAUAAACCUUAAAAAGGACUAUCCAAAGAAUAUUAAUCGUCCAAAAAAUAAAAUCAUUUCUGCUCAUCAAAGUAGAAUCCUAAAGACACAUAAAUAAAAAUGAAACCAUUUUCAUUAAAAGAAAAAGUUUUUGAAGAGACGUUAUAAUCUAAUCCAUUGAUAUAUAUAUAUAUAUAUAUUAUUAGUGCAUAAAUAGAUACCAUUAAUAUUUCAAAAAUUCAUAAAUUUCCUUAUUGAUUCUUUUGAAAGAGUAAUACGUUGCUAGACAAAUUUCAUAAUUAAACAUUUACAUAUUGAGCGUAUAAAUUUUUUUCUAGAGUUUCUAAUCAUAUUUUAAAUAGAAUAAAAUAAUUAUUUAUAGUACACAUCGAUACAAGUUUAUGCGUUUCUUCUUACCUUUUAUUAUUAAUGAUCAUGCCUUCAAUCAUUUCUGUAGCCUGAAACAAUCAAAAAUAAAAAAUAAGAAAACAAAAUAAAUGGUGUACAGUGUAAGAUAAAACUUUUGAAAAUUUACAUUUUUGUUUAACAUUAUUAUACUCGAAUUAUAAUAAAUAAAGCAUUUUAAACAAAGUAAAAUAGCUUCUAAUGAGGGUAAUGCAAUGCAAUGAAAUUAAAUAUUUAUUUUUACAAGUUCUUAAUAUUGUAAACAUCAAACAUACAUUUAUCUCAAAAGGAUCGUUCUAUCAGCUAAUUAGACUAAGCUUUGAAUUCAUAUCAUAUAUUGAUUAGAAUUUUAUACAAAAAAGAAAUAGUAUGUAGCUUUUGUUGAAUGAUUUACAAUGUUUUUUGUUAGGAUAUGAUAGAUGUCUGUUUCCUCCCACAAUCGGCAACGCUUUCCAGGUUCAUCAAGACAUUUUUCUCUAACAAUUUUUCUUUCCAUUUCUUGCAACAAGUCAUGCAUCUUCAAAUAUUCAUUGUGUUUAUCGAUUUUUAUGAGAGAUUUUUUAAUGAGAACAUAAAUUCCGAUAUCUGGAAAAAAAUCCCAACCAUCCAAUACUUUGAUUACAAAAUCUUUCUUCUCCCCAUUAAAGAAACAUGUUAUAUCUAGAAAUAUAUUCUUCUCCUUUUCUUCUAGUCCAUCAAAACUAAUUCGAAGUUUAUCGAGAAUUUCUUUAUUAGAAUCUCUUUCAAGUCUUUUAAUCGAACUCCUCCACUGAGUUGCAUCUCUACCGCACAAAAAGGAACCCAAAACUUCAAGAGCUAAAGGGAGCCCACCAGCAUAAUUUAUGACAUGUUUAGAAAGUUCAAUGAAAUCACCUUUCGGCAUUGUAUCACUAUGGAAAGCUUUCAGAUUGAAAAGUUGAAGCGCAUCUUUGGGAUUCAGUGUUGUGGGCAUAUGCACAUCAUCAACUCGGCAACAUCGAAGCAAAUGUUCGUCUCUUGUUGUUACAAUGAUUCUACUCCCUAAUCCGAACCAAUCAUGCCUUCCGACCAAGCAUUUUAAGUGUUGUAUGUUAUCAACAUUAUCAAGAACAACAAGAACCUUUUUGUGAGAUAAUCUAUGGCUAAUUAUGGCACUCCCUUCAUGGACAUCGAAAAAGUUGAAGCACUCACCAUGAAAGAUCUGUGAAAGAAGUUGUUUCUGUAAAAAAACUAGUCCGCAUUUGUCUGAAACUUCUCGAAUAUCAGCAAGAAAGCUUUUACCUUCAAAAUAAGGCAACAUUUGAUCAUAAGCAACUCUUGCGAGUGUUGUUUUACCGAUGCCACCCAUUCCGCAAAUCCCUAUAAUGCCACCCAUUCCGCAAAUCCCUAUAAUGCGGACAUCAUCUUCCCCUAUGUUUAUUUUCAAAUAUAAAUCCUCCAAGGGUACAGUAAUUCCAACCAAGUCACUAUGAGUAAUUGAAUAUGUCUGACAUAAUUUUGCCGAUAUCUUCUUAACAAUGUCUCUAAUAAAUUCUGAUUCAUGCCUACAAAGAAAGAAAUUUUGAUUUUUUGAAUAAAAUUUUGUUGAUAUGUUUCAAAUUAAAUACACUUUUUUUUCAAUAAAUCAUGAAACAUAAUAUAGUUUGGAAGCAAACAAGAACCAAGAAUAAGAAAGAAAUAUCUGUUGCGGAACUAGAAUACAAAAUUUGCUCUUUUAUUGAAAUAUGACACUUCUCAAUUAAACUAGAGAAGAGAAAAGAAAAGAAAGAAUUACCUGUUAUUUAAAUGCCAUCCCUUGAUGUUUGCCACUUGAGUCAAAGCAUUUCGCCACCUUUGGAUCUUGUCUCUAUCUUCCUUGUAUCUCUCUUCGUGUUUGGCAAAGGCCUCCUCAACUUUCUCUUUCUGUUUUCUUAAAUCGGAUGGAUCCACAUUGUAGAAAAUUGGAAAUACCUUAUGUCCCAUGUCGUUUUUUUGCUUAACAAUCUCAGCAAGCUCCUCCAAGCACCAACUUGAAAAGGCAUAAGUUUGUGAAAAAACGAUGACCGAGCACCAUGAUUGCUGAAUUGCUGUAAAGAGUUCUGGCGCGAUCUCUUCGCCGACCUCCAGCUUUGAAUCAUCCCUGAAAGUGACGAUCCCACUCCUACUUAGAGCAUCAUAGAGAUGAUCGGUAAAGUUGUUGCGGGUAUCUUCACCUCUAAAACUCAAGAAAACAUCAUAUUUCUUUCUAGAAAUGGACGAAGAAGUUGAAGGUAAUGACAACAUGAGGAUGUAUGAGAAGAGAAGAAUAUCUCAAUCUGGUGUUCAAAAUCAGAAAAUAGAUCGCCCAAUACCCACAAAGAAAAUAGAAAAAGUAAGUAUAUGAGCAUAGGGGCGGAAAUUAGGGGUCCAAGAUGAGCUAUGGACCUUCUUUCCAAGAAGGUGAGAGUUGGCAAAGUGGAUGCUAGUUUAAUUAUAAGUAAUAAUUAAAAAUGUUGGACGGUUUGUAUUUUACGUAUUUAAUUAUAAGAUUAUGACAAUAAUAAUUAGAAUAUAAUUUUAAAGCAUGUGACUAUCAGUUUGAAUACACUCUUUACAGUGUAGGUUGUUUAGUAUAUUAGCAUGUGACCAUCAGUUUGAAUACACUCUUUACUGUCACCUUUAUUUCUAAGAAUGACAUCUAUGUAAUAUUUUCCUCAAACCCAAAUUAAUUCAUAAUCAUUUAAAAAAUUCAUAACCCAUAAUAUUUAAACUUAAAAAGUCUAAGUUUCAUAUCUAAAAUUAUUUAAAUUUGAAUUGAUUUUAACUAUCAUAUGAAAUUUUAACUUAAGUUCAAAUAGAAAAUAACUCAACUUUAAAUUGAAUUAAAAAAAUACUCAAAACCUGAAUUAAUUCAUUCUAAAUAGAUUCAACUCACUCAAUGGAGAGAGCUACUUCUUAUUACACCUUAUAUUGCUUGGGAAAAAUAAAGGAGUUAGUGGGAAUGAGCGAUGAAGCCAAUAAGAAUUUUGUAUAGCAUGGGAAAUUAUAAAUGUAUACUAGAGAAUGAAUUAUAUAAAACUGUGAUUCCAGGUCAUCUUUAUCCAUUUUUAAUAGGAGGAUCACAAAUCAAAUUUUUACUCUUAAUUUUUAAUUUUUUCAUACAGAUUAUUUUUUACUUAAACAAAUUUUUUUUUGUAUAUAAUUUAAUUCAAAUGUGAAAGCAUUGAAAGAAAGAUAAACGCUUUGCUCAAAUAAUUUUAAAAGAUUAAAUUAUACACAUAUCACAUUUAAUAUAUAAGUUGGUCUAAAUUGUGACGAUCUUAAAUAAAACUAUUAACCAUAUAAAGAUAUAUAUAUUUAUAUAUAUUUUAACCAUCAUAUCUAAUACUUGUAUUAUGAGUAAAGAUAUCCAAAAUGAUUAUUUUUUGUGUAAAAAAAUAAUUAAUAGGACAAGGUUGGUUAAGUAGUUUACCACGGUUAAUGCUAUUUUUUCCAUCUAUAUUUUUAAAAUUAUUUAAUAUAUGUAUUUAAAAAUACUUAUAUAUAUCAAAUAAAUUACAUUGAAUAAAUUCCAAAUAUAAAAUAUUCAUAAAUUAUAUAAGAUACUCAUCAAUAAACUUCGCAAAUAAAAAGAUAUUGCUUGUUCCACUUUAUCAUUGAAACGGUGUACAACCGGAACCAGUGCAGAACCCACCAAACCCACCACCAUGAUUCUACCUGCUGAACAACUAGGUAUUCAGGCAUGGUGCUAGAGAGGUGUCAGUUGAGUCAACUUUUGCAUUGUUAGCUGUCAUGUUUAUUCUGAUAGCUGCGUUGGGAAUCCCCUACAGGUUUUUGGGAUUUAUAGUAGAUUAGACGAGUACUAGAAUAAGCUAUUAAUAUUAACUACGAGAUAUUUUGCAGAUUGGAUCAGUAUGUCAUUGCUAAGUUUGCUGAAAAUUUUGAAUAGAUAGCAAGAACCCUGGCAGAGAAUGCUGGACUGAAUCCAAUGGAUAUCAUUUCUAAGUUGUAUGAAAAGCAUGCAUCUGGAAAUGCACUGUGUUGCGUGUAGAUCAGGUAAUUUAGUAGAGGCAGAAAGCUUGAAAAUGAAAAUCGCACUUAAAAUAGUUUGUUGAUGGGAUUAGGUUCUCAUGCAAUGCCAUUGAUUCAAUGUUUGCAGAUUAUGAUGGCGAAACCAGCUGGAGGUCCAGCGAGGAGAGAUCAACCUGCAGGAAUGGACGAGGACUGAUGAAGGUUGGUCAGCAUGCAGCACCAGGAGCAAUCAAGAAGCUGGCCAAAAAGCCCGAGCCAUGUAGGAGCUGCUGGAGCAUGUGCAGCUGUUGAAUUUAGUUCAUUUUAUUGUUUUUGAUUAAUGUAAUUUAAUUUAGUUCAUUUUGAACAAUGUUAGGUAGAAGUUUGACGUAUUUGUAAAGUGUUUGAGAUGUUAACCAGCUUUGUUCAUGUGUACAAGCUUAGUUUUCCAAGUUCCAAUGUAUUAGUUGUAGUUGGUAUAGAUUAGUUGACCUUAUACUGAUUUUAACAAGCUAAAUGUUUGGUUUUAUGUAUUGGCAUUAAGCCAUUGUUUAAUCUUAAGGAAAAAUCAUCAUCUUUUCAUUCAAAAUAACUUUCCAUCUUUUCUUUGCUUUUAUUUUUUCUGUUCUUGAACUCUGCUUGUUUCUUCAGCAAGUAUCGAGCCUUACUGCUUAAGUUUUUGCUGAACCUUAGUUGCUCUUUUGUUCUUAACACCAACAAUUGGUAUCUAGAGCUGUAAUCUCUGUGGACCUGUUCUAGUUAAGCUUCAAAACAAAUGGCUUCAUCAGGCUUUUCACCAGCUGCACCACCAGUCUUCAAUGGUGAGGGCUAUCACAUAUGGGUGGUCAAAAUGAAGACUUAGCUGCAGGCAUUCGACCUAUGGGAGGUGGUCAACUCAGAUGCUGAACCAGCAUCACUUCGAGCCAACCCAACAGUGGCUCAGAUCAAGCAACAUGCUGAUGAAAGGACCAAAAGGCACAAAGCCAUGUCUUGCAUUCAGAAUUGUGUCUCAGAUGUGAUUUUUAUAAGGAUUAUGGCCUGUGAGACACCAAAACAGGCCUAGGAUAGAUUGAAGGAAGAGUUUCAAGGGACAGAAAGGACAAGGCAGCAAUAGCUUCUAAACCUGAGAAAGGAUUUCGAAAAUUUGAAAAUGAAAGAGGAAGAAAUUGUUAAGCAGUAUUCAGAGAGAAUUAUGGCUAUGGUAAAUAGCAUAAGGCUCAUUGGAGAGCACUUUAGUGAAGCAAGGAUAGUGGAGAAGGUGAUCUCAACCUUACCUGAGAGGUAUGAGGCAAAAAUUUCUUCCCUCGAAGACUCAAGGGACCUAACCGGCAUCUCACUGAUAGAGCUGAUCAAUACUCUUUAUGCACAAGAACAAAGAAGGGUCAACAGACUAGAGGAACACCAAGAAGGUGCCUUCCAAGCCAAAACCAAACCUGCCUCAAGCACCACUGCCUACAAAGGCAAGAAGAAUUGAAGAGACAAGCCUAAGUCAGAUGCUCCAAAAAGAUGGGAUCGACCCGCAAGCAUUGUAAGAGGCCUGAUCAUCUAGAGGCCAACUGCUGGUUUAGGCCAGAUGUGCAGUGCCAAUGCUGCAAAAAGAUGGGCCAUGUUGAAAAGGUUUGCAAAACCAAGGGCAGACCAAGGCAAGGUCAACCACAACAGCCAAAGGCUAAAGCUCAAAUAGCUGAAGAAAGCAGUGACCAUGAGGAGCAGGUCUUUGCAGUUUCUUGCUUAACUGUACAGGUGAAAGUCUCAAAUGGAUGGCUCCUAGACAGUGGUUGCACCAACCACAUGACACCAGAUGCUGUCAUCUUCAAGUCAUUAGACAGAAGCUGUAAAACCAAGGUAAAAGUUGGGAAUGGUCAUUUCAUUAAGGCAGAAGGCAAGGGAGGUGUCCUGAUAAGGACUCCCAUAAGUAACAAGCUCAUUUCAAAUGUUCUAUUGGUACCUAAGAUUGACAGAAACCUGCUCAGCAUAGCUUAGUUGCUUGAAAAGGGCUAUAUUGUGGUGUUCAAGGGAAAUGAGUGCCAAAUCAAUGAUCUAAGUGGAUCUAAGCUCAUGACAGUAGCCAUGACAGACAAAAGCUUUGUUGUGGACUGGAGCAAAGGUUUAGAUAGUGCCUACACUGUUUCUUUAGAUGAAUCCAAGCUAUGGCAUCAAAGACUUGGCCAUGUCAACUUCAGAUCAAUGGAUCAGAUGGUCAGGGAGGAUUUGGUUGAAAACUUCACUAACUCAGUUGAGAAAGAGGAGGUUUGUGAAGUAUUUCAACUAGGAAAGCAGGCCAGACUGCCAUUUCCUUCAAACAAAGCCUGGAGAGCCUCAGAAAGAUUACAGCUUGUGCACAUUGAUGUGUGUCACCCAUGAAGACUCAGUCACUAAAUGGAAGUAGGUAUUUCAUUCUGUUUAUUGAUGAUCAUUCAAGAUUUUGCUAGAUUUACUUCUUGAAGCACAAAUUAGAGGUGGCCUUUGUGUUUUGGAAAUUCAAGGCUGCUGCAGAGACUGAGACAGGUUGCAAACUAAAGUCUUUAAGGUCUGACAAUGGAACAGAGUAUACUUCAGCUCAGUUUCAAGCCUUUUGUGAUAAGGCGUUAUACUUCAGCUCAGUUUCAAGCCUUUUGUGAUAAGGCAGGUAUCAAACAUUAGCUCACCAACACCUAUACUCCUCAGCAAAAUGGAGUCAGUGAAAGAAAGAAUAGAAGCUUGAUGGAUAUGGCCAGGUGUUUGAUGUUCGAGAAGAAUUUUCCCAAAACCUUGUGGGCUGAAGCAGUUAACACUGCUGUUUACAUUCAAAACAAGCUCCCAACCAAGGCAUUGAGUCACAAAACUCCAUUUGAAGCCUAGUUUGGGUUCAAGCCAUCACUAGCUCAUCUGAAAGUCUUUGGCUGCAUAUGCUAUGCACUUGUCCCAACUGUAAAGAGGGACAAGUUGUCCAAGAAGGCUCAACCUGGUAUUCUGGUAGGCUACAGCACAGUUAAAAAGGGUUAUAGGAUCUUAGAUCCUUCAACAAACAAGGUAUUUGUAACAGCCUAAUUUUCAGUGGUGUCGGAACAGUGAUUCGAGAUCACUAAAUCUGACAAAUGAGUAGGAAAUAUUAUUAAUUUAGUGAGUAUAAGUUAAAUGUGAAGUUAGGAAAAAUUUUGAAAUAGUGAAAUAUACUAAAAAUAUAUAUAUUAAAAUAAUUAAAAUUGAAAACGAGGUAUCGAGACCUCGGGAAUUUUAAAUCGAGCCAUAAAUAUUUUUAUAAAUAUUUAUGGAGUGUUAAUAAGUUAGUAUUAAAGUUUCGUCAAGAAAUUUUAAAGUACUGAUAGCUAAUUGAACAAAAAGGACUAAAUUGUAUCAAAUGCAAAAUUGUGGGAAAUGAUUAAAUAGCUUAAAUGAUAAAAGAAAGAGGGUUUAAAAGGCAAAUAGACCCAAGGUCUAUUUGGGCUGGACGGCAAGAGCAUGAAAUCACCAAGAAAAUAAGGGGAAUUAAGGGCAAAAUUGGAAAAUUGCAAAAUUUACUUAAUAAAGCUAGGACUAAAGUGGAAUUAUCUAGAUUUCUCUUUAUUUUUCUGCAUUCUCAUCAGGAAAAGCACCAUGGAAGAGUUCCCUUAAGCUGGUUUUUCAUAUUUUUAUUGCAAGUAAGUUCAAUUCUUGAUUAUUUCUUGAAAUUUUUGUGUUUUUGUGACUUUUACAACUAGGUCCACUUGUUGAAUUCAUUAGUUCUUGAUUCUAUGAAAGAAAUUGAAAGUUUCUAUGAAUAUGUGCUGGAAGUAUAUGAUGAUUUGGCAUGGAAUUAGAGCUUUAAAUUGUUUAUAUGCUGAUUUUAUUGAAAGAAUUGAAUAGAAAGUGAAUGUUUGGGACCUAAAUUGUAAAAGAGUUUGAGGUUAGAGUUUUAUGUGGAAAUUCUGAAUUUCAAUAGUUAUGAAAUAACUUAUAAUGUCUAGGAAAAGUAUUAAUUGAGAAAAUUAGUUUAAUUGAUGGGUUAAUUAAGUAAGGACUGAAUUGUAUGAACUGUGAAAUUUGGGGCAAAAUGAAAAUCAACAUUUUGCACUAAAACAGUUUUGGACAGCAGCAAUAGUCUAACUUUGAAAAAUAUCCAAAAAUUUUAGAAAUCUAAUUAGAGUAUGAAUAAAAUAUGAAAUUAAAGCUUAUUGAGUCUAGUUUCUUAUAGAAGAAACGGUGUAAGCAAUGGAAUUAUAAAUCAUGAGAUAUAAUAAGUUUUGUGAGACAAUGUUAGAAUGAUUUCGGGUUCCCCUAUUUUGAAUUUGGAAAAUUAUCAAAAAUUGAAGAAAAAUAAUUAAGGGAUUAAAUUUAUAUUUUUAAAAUACUUAAAGAGUCUAUUUUCAAUAGAAAUAAGCGGGAACAUCAUCCGAAACUCGUACGAUGAGAUAAUUAAUUCUUAGUGAAGAAGGGUCGGAACUAUCAGACAGCAGAACAGGGGAAAAUUUAAAGAAUAAACUGUACUUAUUGGCUGAACCAAAAAUUCUAAAAAUUUUAUGGUAAUAAGAUAAGUAAGUCUAGUUUCAGGUAAAAUUUGUGGAUCUUAAUUUCGAGUUCUGUAGCUUAAGAUAUAAAUAAUUUAGUGACUAUGACACAAAUGGACAGUUUUGAAUAUACAUAAGUAAAUUGUGAAAUCGUACUUACAAGAAUGUUAUAUACAUUAAGGGUGUGGAAUGGAGAGGAGGAUGAGGAAAAAUAUAUAUGAAUAUUCAGUUAGCAUGGCUAAUUUGCAUGUUUUAAGCGCAUGGACUAAAUUGAAUAAAAGUAAAACUUUAGGGGGCAAUUUUGUAAAAAUGUCAAAAAUGACUAAAUUGAAGGGAAUAAAUUGUUUUAUUAUCUAAAUUAAUAAAUUGAAUGAAAUUAUCAAUUUAAGAUUGGGUGAAAUUUGGGAAAAUGGUAAAUUACCAAUAUGCCCCUAAAUCUUGGUAUUUCUGUAAUUUAGUCAGGUAGGUUCGGAUACCCUGAAUGAGCAUGUAAAUAUGAAAAUUUAAGUAUUGUAUCGUAUUUUAUAUGAUAUUUUGAAUUGAAUAUAUGAAAAAGAUGUUACAUGAAACAUGAAAAUGAAUACUAAAUAAUAUAAAUUAAUUGAAAUUAUUCUAAAAAUUUCGGUAAUGCCUCGUAUCCUAUCCCGGUCUCAGGUACGGGUAUGGGGUAUUACAUUUAAUGGUAUCAGAACUAAGGUUUAGUCGGUUCUCGGACCGAACGUAGCAUAUGUGAAGUCUAGAAAUACAUGCCAUUAUGUAACUUGUGAUACGAUAAUGUAAUAUCUUCCAACUCUGAUGAGAUUUAUUUUACUUAAAGAUAGAGAUACUUUCCCAACCGAGCUAAUUACGAUAAUAUUGAAAGCGAUACUCAAAUAUAUGAGCAAAAGUAGAUUAUGAUGAGUCGGAACUCAUAAAGGUAUGAAUAAAUGUUAUAUUUAAAUUUAUGUGUAUAGUAAGUAAAAUUUUAAGGUAAGUAUUAAUAUUGAAUUGAAUUUGUAUGGAUAUAUGUGAUUGAUGUGGAAAUAGAAUUUUGGAUAUAUGUUAUAUUUGAAAAUUUUAUUGAUUGGGAAUGUGACGAAAUUGAUAUGAAUAUGUGAUUAAUUGAAAUGUGUAUUGAUUGGAAACUGGAAAGUGAAUCAAAUACCCUAUUAACAGUAUCGGACCAGAUUGGAUACAAAUGGCAGGCCAUUGGGUUUGUGAUGUGAUGAGGAGAUUUGUAGUUCGGCCGAGAAGAUGGUUAUGUUAUUAUAUACUUCGGUUUAUCCGAAGAGGCAUUUAAUGCCUUAUUGGUGUGUUUGGGAGGAUAUGAUAUACUGGUGUGUUAUGGAGGAUUUAUAAUAUUCCGGGUGUGUUUGGGUUGGAUAUUCUGGUGUGUUUGGGAGGAUUAUAUGAUACUGGUGUGUUUUGGAGGAUUAUACUGGUGUGUUUUGGUUGGACAUUUUGGUGUGUUUGGAUGGAAUCCGUGUAUCCGCCAAAGUCCGAGUCUUGUUAAUAGGGGUAAAUAUGAAUAUUAAGUGAAAUUGAAAUGAGAAUUGAAUUCCCUAUUAACUUGUCAGACUAGUCGAAUAUAAUUGACAUGCCAUAGGAACUGGAAGUGUACGGGAUUUGUCGACUUUACUGAUCAGGCACUUUAUGUGUCGUAUUUCAGGCACCUUGUGUGUCACAGCAGGCACCUCGUGUGUCAUUUCAGGCACUUAUGUGUCGUAUUCUGAUCAGGUACUAUGUACCGUUUUAGGCACAAUGUGCCUUACUGGUGUGUUUGGUUGGAUCUGUGUAUCCGUCUGAGUCCGAGUUAUGUUAAUAGGGUUGAAUAAAUGAAAUGAGAAAAUCGAAUGAAUUUGAUCGAUUAAACUAUUGAAAGUGUGAAAAAGUGGAAUUAUGAAAAGAAAUGUGAAUUGUGAAUUGAAAUAGAGAUAUGAGAUUGAAAGCUUGAACCAAAGGUUCAUGAAUUGAUUAAAGAUAAUAUAGAUGAUAUAUGAUGCCAUUUGAUGAAAGACUAUUGCCGAGAUAUGAAAUUAAAGCAUAAUUAACACAUAUGACUUAUAUUGUUACAUGUUUGAUGUCUAUUAUUUAUUAUAGUAUUUAUAAUUUGAAUUAUGGUAAUACCACUGAGUACAAACAUACUCAACGUACGAUUGUAUUGCUAUAAUUCAAAUUAUUUAUUAUUAAAUGUUAAAUUUAAAUUAUGUAUAUGGUAAGAGAAGUAUGAGUUAGUGAUAUUGAGAUAUUUGAAAUGUGUUUAUGAUGAGAAGGAACUUAGAAAUGUAAGAAUAGAAGUUCAUGAUAUGUAUGUGAUAAUGUAUGAAAUGAGAUAAUCAAAAGUUGAGAAAUGAUGAAACGUGAAUGAAAUGAAAGUUUAUAUUGUGAUAAACUUAUCUAUGUUUGUGUGGCAUUCAUAUGAUAUUAUGUGUCUGACUUGUUUGGUUAAGUAAAUGCUAUGAGUAAAUUUACUCAAAAUUCAUGGAAUGUAUGUUUAAGUACACUAGUUUGAAAUGAAUAAUUGAAAAGUUCGUGUAACAUAAUCAUGUAUGUUAAUUUGCUUGAAGUGAAUUAUAUAAUUGUGAAGAUAUGAUGUUGAUGAUAAACGCUAAGUUAUAUGUGUGAAUUUAUGAUAACUCAGUUAGAGGCUUUACGACCUCACCCUCUUACCAAUGUAGUAUUUUAUAAUGAAAAUUUACAAAAAAAAAUGUUGAAUAAGUUCACAAAUGUGAAACUAAUGAGUACAGUAAUGGAAUAAUUAAUAAUGCAGACGAAGUUGAAAAUAGUUUGACAAGUGAAUACAAUUUUGAAAAAAAAAGAUAUCAGAUUAUUCUAAAGAUCAUUCAGAUUACAUAAUGUCACGGUUAAAGAAAAAGUUAACCUUGGAUAGUCGACUUAUUCAGAUACGAUGUCUGAAGUAUGUGUUUGCUGAAAUUUUUCCCGAAUUGGUUUUCGUUAGUGAAUGGAAUGAUGCGGGGUUCAUGAUGACAGAAUUAGUAAAAAAAAUGAUAAUUGAGUAGUAAAGAUGUCUGUGUGUGAUAGUUACAGUUGAAACGAAUAUGAUCAUCUUUUCUGGGUAUUCUAUAUAUUCUUUUAUCCUCAGAGAUAUGUGUGUGGUUGUUCAGUCUCUGGUGGAGUUCUGAUGUUUUGAGAAUGCUAGUUAAUUAUGAUGUUAGACGAAAGCCCUAUUGGUUUGGUCGGUUUAUGAUUGUCAUUUCUUCAUCUUCUUGGAAUUCUAUUUUAAUAUGUUGGAAAUGAAGUUAAUGGUAAAAAUUUAUGUGAGACUAUUCUUAUAUUUCUACUGAUUAUGAUUUUGUUUUAUACAUGCGAGAAAUAUAUUAUCUCUGUUAUGAUGGAAGUCUAGAGUCGGUAAACAGUGUUUUUCUUUUGGCUUUCUUUGAGAAAUUAUCAAGAUCUUUAUUAUCUUCUUGUGAGUUAGAUGUACUAGUGAUUGCACGAGCGUUACAUAAUAUCUUUGAGUUCAUGUUCAGAUGUCUAUUUGUUAGCAAGUAAGCCGAACAUUAAGAACAUUUAGGAUUAUUGCAGUCAAUGAUAAUACUAGUGUGUUAUGAGAUAGAAUGACUAUAGAUUUCGAAUUGGGAUUGUCAUUAACAUCAGAAAAGAAAAUGUUAUUUAGUUUAUGGUUGUUCAUUUGACAAAGAAAGAUCUGUAUGAUCAUUUCAGUAGGUACAGAGUUUUCAUUUGACAGAUCAGCUGAAUAUAUGUAUCCCUGAGAGGGUAAUUUAGAAUUUUGACAGUAUAUUCCAACAUUGUGUUCUAGAGUUCAAAGGUGAAUGGAAAAAGAUAUUCGAGGUUAAAUCAAAUUGUGAUUCUGAGAAGUUAGUAAAGGUGUUUUAUGAGUGUUGAAAGCAACUUCUUCUGGUAAGAUUUUCGGGGACGAAAAUCCCUAAAGGGGGGAGAGUUGUAACAGCCUAAUUUUCAGUAGUGUCGGAACAGUGAUUCGAGAUCACUAAAUUCGACAAAUGAGUAGGAAAUAUUAUUAAUUUAGUGAGUAUAAGUUAAAUUUGAAGUUAGGAAAAUUUUUGAAAUAGUGAAAUAUACUAAAAAAUAUAUAUAUUAAAAUAAUUAAAACUGAAAACGAGGUAUCGAGACCUCGAGAAUUUUAAAUCGAGUCAUAAAUAUUUUUAUAAAUAUUUAUGGAGUGUUAAUAAGUUAGUAUUAAAGUUUCGUCAAGAAAUUUUAAAGUACUGAUAGCUAAUUGAACAAAAAGGACUAAAUUGUAUCAAAUGCAAAAUUGUGGGAAAUGAUUAAAUAGCUUAAAUGAUAAAAGAAAGAGGGUUUAAAAAGAAAAUAGACCCAAGGUCUAUUUGGGCUGGAUGGCAAGAGCAUGAAAUCACCAAGAAAAUAAGGGGAAUUAAGGGAAAAAUUGCAAAAUUGCAAAAUUUACUUAAUAAAGCUAGGACUAAAGUGGAAUUAUCUAGAUUUCUCUUUAUUUUUCUGCAUUCUCAUCAGAAAAAACACCAUGGAAGAGUUCCCUUAAGCUGGUUUUUCAUAUUUUUACUGCAAGUAAGUUCAAUUCUUGAUUAUUUCUUGAAAUUUUGUGUUUUUGUGACUUUUACAACUAGGUCCAUUUGUUGAAUUCAUUAGUUCUUGAUUCUAUGAAAGAAAUUGAAAGUUUCUAUGAAUAUGUGCUGGAAGUAUAUGAUGAUUUGACAUAGAAUUAGAGCUUUAAAUUGUUUAUAUGCUGAUUUUAUUGAAAGAAUUGAAUAGAAAGUGAAUGUUUGGGACCUAAAUUGUAAAAGAGUUUGAGGUUAGAGUUUUAUGUGGAAAUUCUGAAUUUCAAUAGUUAUGAAAUAACUUAUAAUGUCUAGGAAAAGUAUUAAUUGAGAAAAUUAGUUUAAUUGAGGGGUUAAUUAAAUAAGGACUAAAUUGUAUGAACUGUGAAAUUUGGGGCAAAAUGAAAAUCAACAUUUUACACUAAAACAGUUUUGGACAGCAGCAAUAGUCUAACUUUGAAAAAUCUCCAAAAAUUUUAGAAAUCUAAUUAGAGUAUGAAUAAAAUAUGAAAUUAAAGCUUAUUGAGUCUAGUUUCUUAUAGAAGAAACGGUGUAAGCAAUGGAAUUGUAAAUCAUGAGAUAUAAUAAGUUUUGUGAGACAAUGUCAGAAUGAUUUCGGGUUCCCCUAUUUUGACUUUGGAAAAUCAUAAAAAAUUGAAGAAAAAUAAUUAAGGGAUUAAAUUUAUAUUUUUAAAAUAAUUAAAGAGUCUAUUUUCAAUAGAAAUAAGCGGGAACAUCAUCCGAAUCUCGUACGAUGAGAUAAUUAAUUCUUAGUGAAGAAGGGUAGGAACUAUCAGACAGCAAAAUAGGGGAAAAUUUAAAGAAUAAACUGUACUUAUUGACUAAACCAAAAAUUCUGAAAAUUUUAUGGUAAUAAGAUAAGUAAGUCUAGUUUCAGGGAAAAUUUGUGGAUCUUAAUUUCGAGUUCUGUAGCUUAAGAUAUAAAUAAUUUAGUGAUUAUGACACAAAUGGACAGUUUUGAAUAUACAUAAGUAAAUUGUGAAAUCGUACUUACAAGAAUGUUAUAUACAUUAAGGAUGUGGAAUGGAGAGGAGGAUGAGGAAAAAUAUAUAUGAAUAUUCAGUUAGCAUGGCUAAUUUGCAUGUUUUAAGCUCAUGGACUAAAUUGAAUAAAAGUAAAACUUUAGGGGGCAAUUUUGUAAAAAUGUCAAAAAUGACUAAAUUGAAGGGAGUAAAUUGUUUUAUUAUCUAAAUUAAUAAAUUGAAUGAAAUUAUCAAUUUAAGAUUGGGUGAAAUUUGGGAAAAUGGUAAAUUACCAAUAUGCCCCUAAAUCUUGGUAUUUCUGCAAUUUAGUCAGGUAGGUUCGGAUACCCUGAAUGAGCAUAUAAAUAUGAAAAUUUAAGUAUUGUAUUGUAUUUUAUAUGAUAUUUUGAAUUGAAUAUAUGAAAAGGAUGUUACAUGAAACAUGAAAAUGAAUACUAAAUAAUAUAAAUUAAUUGAAAUUAUUCUGAAAAUUUCGGUAAUGUCUCGUGUCCUAUCCCGGUCCCAGGUACGGGUAUGGGGUAUUACAGUAUUUUCUAUUUUGAAUCAGUGCCAACUACUUCAACACCGACACAAAAAAAAUCAUUUUUUUUAAGUUUUGAACCGGUGUCAGCCACUUCAACACUAACACCUGAUAAAAUAUUUUUUUCUUUUUCUUUUUAAAUUGUAGAAUACCUAUAUUUUUUGAAGGUGUUUAAACAAAAAUACAUUUGGAUGUUUGCCAUUACACUGCUGACACAAAAAAAAAUAUCAUUUUUUAUUGUAUAGGGCAAUCAUUAAGGCAUAAUUAGGGAAUGAUGGAGGUGGUGCCAAUGGUGAGAUGGUCGACACCGCCCGACAUUGUAGAUUUCAGGUUAUAUAUGUCAUAAUUUUUCAUAUAGGCUCAUUUUUAUAAAUAUUUAUUUUCUUUGAGGUUAGUUGGGCAAAAUAGUCAGAAGAAAUGAACGAAAUAAAUGGAUGUUGAAUUGUUUCUUUCUUUCUCAUUUUCUCGAAUUUGGCAUUGUGGAGUUUCGACUAUUUUACCCAAAUGACACAAAAAAUAAUUAUUUAUGCAAAUGACCCUGGUUCAAAAAUAUUACCUAAAUCACUUAAAAUGAACAAUAAAAUUGGGUAAGAGAGACUAAAUGGCCGACAACAGUAUUUUUUCUGGCACAACCAUUGCUUUAUGAUUGUGUUAGGUGUUAAAAAAUAAAUUUUUGGGUGUCGAGGACUAGAUGGUCGAUAUCGUUGUAUUUUUUUCACCCGUAUCAUAUUGAUAUAUAUUUAUACCAAUAUUUGAAAAAAAAUUAUCUUUUUGAAAUGCUAACACAUUAAUAGCCGACACUCAUUUUACCCAAAUUAAUCUCAAAAUCCACGUGACCACUGAGGCCUCUUUAUUUUAAAUCGUAUUUUGAUUUAUGAUACUAAUAAAUUAUAAUUUUAUUACUCCAUUAAUGGUUUUGUUGGCAACUAACAGUUUAUUUGGAUCCCAGUAGAACAUUGUUUAACUUUCUAACUUUUAUAAUUUAAAAUUAAAUAUGGUUGUAAAAACCUGACAUUCGGCUUGUGAAUGCCGGCACCUGCUCAGAAGGUCACAAUUUGGCCAUUAAGUGCCGGCACCUUCUCUUUUAAAUUUGGUGUUGGUGUGUAGAUAAUUAGUAUUUCAGCACUCAAAAUUCCUUUUUUUUUUUUUAAAUAUAGACCAUUUGUGUGUUAACACUCAAAAAAAAUUUAAUCAGAUAAAUGGGGUGUUGGUUAUCAAUGUGCUAACACUCAAUAAAAAUAUUUUUUUUAAUUUGAUAAAGAGGCGCCAGUCUUUAGUGUGCUAGCACUGAAAAAAUAAUUUUUUUCAAAUAAUAGUAUAAACGUAUACCACUAUGAUACGGAGUGAAAAAAAUAUAAGAGUGCCAUCCAUCUAGUUCUCAGUAUUUAAAUAUUUUUUAACACUUGACACAAUCAUUAAGUAAUGAUUAUGUCAUAAAAAUAGGUGAUCUCAACAAUUUAUUACCCCCAAUUUAAUUUUAUUAUUUAUUUUAGAUCAUUUGAAUAAUUAUUUUUUUAAUUAAAAUUAUUUACGUAAAUAAUUAUUUUUUAGGGACAUUUGAUUAAAAUAACCGUUAGAACUAAGUAAAUAGGCAUGCUUUGGAACCAUUCUCUUGGAUAAGACAAUAAAAUUUUCUUUUCAUAGCAGGUUUUUUUAUUUUGUCAACUUAUUAAAAUUAAGAUGAUGUCCAACAUCAAAAAAAAAAUAUUUCUCUCCAUUUUUUUUUGUGUAUUUGAAAAUAUAGAUAUUUUUAAAAAAGUUUUAACCGGUACUAUCUAAACAACGGUGACAUACAUUAUAAAAAUAUUUUUUUAUUGUGAAUAUUCAUAUUUUUUAAUAAUAUUUUAAAAAAUACAUACAAUAUUAUCUAACACAAUGUUGACAUAAAAAAAUUUCUUUUUGUUUUUUAAACACUGAUGAUUAGGGGAAAAAUGCGAAUAAUUUGAUUAGUGUGUCAAGUCGUACUGAUAAAUACUACAACUCAUAUUCGUAUAUAUUUGUUUUCCCAACUCAUUUUUAUAAUGAAUUAAUUUUUAAGGAUUAUUUUUAUAAAAAUCUACUUCCGAAGUGAAAUAGAAAUACCAUUUUACCCAAUAUUGAGCUCGCUUUUCAGUAACUAGAAGCCCAAUAAUUAUUAAAUAACUUUUUUGGAAUAAUAUUUAUUCAAUUUAGUGUUUAUAGACCUAGUGAAAUUGGUUUGGAUGAAAUUUAUACAUAAUAUUAAUAUAUUUUGUCUUCCGUAUCUCAAUUCGACUUAAAUAUAGAACUAAAUUUUUAUCUAAAUUUUUUAUAUUUGUACCUAAUUAAUUCAAGUUUGUUUAGAGACUAGUAUAUAUAUAUAUAUAUUAAAAUGUUUUAAUUUAAAUUAAUAAUUUAGUUUUUUUAGUAAAACUAAAAUAUAAACAAAUUAAUAUAUAUUUUUAAUAUUUACAUAGUAUUUAUAUUACUAUAUAUUCUAUUUUAUGUGAUAUAAAUUACAUAAUAUGUGAAAAUAAAAAUAAAAAUAUAUUACAAAAAGUAUAAAGAGGGUUGAGCUAAACUUCGACUUUAAAUAUUGGAGUUCAAGCUUGGUCCAUAUUUUAAAUAGUUCUAAUUUUGGCAAGCUGAUUUUGGGGCCUUAUGCUAUUAUCUCAUUCCUUUCAUAUUUUAAGUGAACUUUUAAACUUUAAUUUAACCUUAUAAUUUUAAGUUAAUAAAUCCUUAUAUUUCUUCGAUUUAGUAAUGUUAACCGGACGUGACAAGUUAAUUAAGGUACAAGUGAUGAAGUGAAAUAUUUUGUCUAUUUCAUCAUUAAAAUUUUAAAUGGAUUUAAGACCAAUAUUUUUUUUGAGUAUUUUAAGUUUUUUAAAUAACAAUAGUUUAAUUUAGUCUAUAAUUUUAAGGCGAUAUAUUAUGUAAUAAUGUUGGUCCAAUUUUUACAUGUGUUAAUUUUUCUUCUAGUGAUAUUGAGGUCAAUAUUUUUAUAUUUAAAUCGAUAAUUGAACCAGUCAAAUCAUAAAUUCUCACCUUUAAAUUGAUUUUUGAUCAAUAUCCUUUUCAAUUAUGAGUUGAAUUUGGUUUCACUUAAAUCAAAUGCAAGUAAUUGGGUGAAAUACUUUGGUUAGAAUUUAAUUAAAAGGAGGUAAUGUUAAUUAGUAAUGUGUACAAUAAUGAAGUGAUUGGGUGUAAAUAGUCUUUAGAUUUAUAUAAGUGUUUUUAUAUUAUGAUAUUUAAUUUUAGUCAACUUUUUUUAUGAUAUGAUAUACAAGUGAAUCACAAGAUGAGGUGUAUAUUUUUAAUCACGUUUUAGUAAUAAUGGUUUAAAUUAAAUGAAAUUCAAUUAAUUAAUAUAUGUAUUUUUAAGUGUGGAAAUGCUGGCCUCAUGAUUGAAAGUGUGUUUACUAAAUAUUAGUGUAAUGGUUGUAAGUAGAAGUCAAAUAUGUACUAUCAUAUAUGACAAUUUCUUUGCAAGCUUAAUAUCUUAAACAUUCUUUGUAAGUCAUCUUUUAUUGUGUUAACUAAAUUUGUAGAAAAAACAGUUAAUUAUCUAAAUAGGAUGAAGGAAAGCAAGAAUUAAAUGAUUUUUUUUAUUGAAAUGGUAAGUUUCAUUGCGUUUCAAGUUUUUUUAUUGAAAGGAAAGGAAAGCAAGAAUUAUAAUCAUUAAGUUUUUUUUAUUAAUUUUUUAAAUACAUAUAUUAGAGGUAAAGAAUUGUCACGAAAUUUAGAGUGUUUCAUUAUCAGAAGAUAUCAUCAGGUUUACCAAAUAAUCUCAUCUUAUCGUCUUAAAAGGAGAGCAAUUUCCUUCUACUGACAGGUAAAAUCCCGGAAAUUUCUUUGAGGUCUUAAUCAAAUCGAUUAAGACAAUGGUGUUUUGGUUUCUUUGUAUUUAUAUUGGACUGAUGGUGCAGAAUAACUUGUGUACACAACAAAACUUACUAGAGCCCAUAAUCACUAUUGCUGUAAUUUUGUGUGUAAUAAUGUCUUGUUUGAUCAUGCUUGUUGUUGCGCGGAAGCGUGUGAAAGAGUAAAAUUAUUGUACUGAAAAAUCACACUAAGUUCAAUUCUUAGGAAAGAGAGGUAGAUCACGAAGAUCACUUAAAUACCAAGUCUUUCCUAGCCAGAAUAUCCCUCUAUUGUAAUUUAAUAGCACAAUAAAUCACUACAAUCACAUUCACAAAAUAUGCAAAACAAAUAAUAAAGAACACCAGAAUUUUAACGAGGUUCAGCAAAUUUUGCCUACGUCCUCGGGCACUACCAAAUAUAUUUCACUCCAAAAAUUACUAGUGAAAUUUACAAAUAGAGAGAGAGAAUAAUGCCUUAAGUAGAGAAUGGCAAUUAUGGGAUGAAGAAAGUAAGCAAUGGUUAGGCCUAUUUAUAGUUGAGGUUCAAGGAUCAACUUGCAAUGUCCCUAUACAAUUAGGGACCAAAAUUGCAAUUAUCCCAUGCCAACUUUUAACCCAACUUGCCAACCAAUAUUACUUUCUACUUUCGGUGAACACCCCAUUUGACUUUUCAAACAAUGGUGGGUUCCAAUAAUCUCCACCUUGAAGAUUUGAUUACGAUAAUCUUAUCUUCACACAAUUCUUUCUGCUUUUGACAACAAUACUUGAUAGUGCCUUCUUCAACUGUUAAACUUGCAGGAUAUUAAUCAAGUUCAAACAAUGUUCGAACUUGGUUGCUGUUACCACCUUGGUCAUCAUAUCUGCGGGAUUAUCUGCAGUCUUGAUCUUCUGAAGACAAAUUUUCCCCUCUUCAAUAAUUUCCCGCACAAAAUGGAAUCGUACGUCGAUAUGUUUUGUACGUGCAUGAUAGACCUGAUUCUUUUCUAAAUGAAUAGCACUUUGACUAUCACAAUACACGUUAAUAUGCUCCUGAACCAACCCCAAGGUUUUAGCCAUACCUUGUAACCAAAUAGCCUCCUUUACAGCCUCUGUUACAGCCAUGUACUCGGCUUCUGUGGUUGACAAUGCAACUGUAGACUAUAGUGUAGACUUCCAACUUAUUGGUCCUCCAGCAAAUGUAAACACAUAACCGGUGGUUGAUCUUCGCUUGUCCAAAUCACCGGCAUAGUCAGAAUCAACGUACCCAAUAACACCUUUACCAAGUGUAUUAUCCUGCUUGAACAGUAAUCCAACAUCCACGGUCUUCUGAAUAUACCGUAGAAUCCAUUUCACAGCUUGCCAAUGUCCUUUUCCAGGAUUAUGCAUAUACCUGCUCACUAUACUAACUGCCUGUGAAAUGUCGGGUCUUGUACACACCAUUGCAUACAUCAAGCUACCCACUGCAUUAGAAUACGGAACUUGCAACAUGUAUUCUCGUUCCGUAUUCGUCGAAGGAGAUAGUUGUGCAGAAAGCUUGAAAUGAGAAGCUAACGGGGUACUUACAGGUUUUGUCUGCUCGUUCAUGCCAAACUACUGUAGUACCUUUUUCAAAUACUGCUUCUGAGACAAGCUAACUCUAUCAUGAGCUCUAUCUCUCCAUAUUUCCAUGCCGAGAAUCUUUUUAGCUUCUCCUAGAUCUUUCAUCUCAAACUCGAGAUUGAGUUGAGUCUUCAAUCUUUCAAUCUCAACUUUGCUCUUAGAUGCUAUUAGCAUAUCAUCAACAUAUAAGAGCAAGUAUAUGAAAGUUCCUUCUUGUAGCUUCUGAAAAUACACGCAAUGAUCAAAUUUACUUCUUGUGUACCUUUGCCCUUUCAUGAACUGAUCAAAUCGCUUGUACCACUGCCUCGGAGAUUGCUUCAAUCCAUAAAGCGACUUUGUCAGUUUGCAAACCCAAUUUUCUUUUCCAGCAACCUUGAAUCCAUCUGGCUGAGUCAUAUAAAUUUCCUCUUCCAAAUCACCGUGUAAAAACGCGGUCUUCACAUCAAGCUGAACUAGUUCAAGAUCAUAUUGCGCAACCAAGGCUAGCAAAAUCCGAAUAGAUGAAUGCUUCACAACUGGAGAAAACACUUCAUUGUAGUCUAUUCCUUCUUUCUGAGCGUAACCCUUUGCUACUAAUCUAGCCUUGUAUCGAAUUUCAUUUUUAUCUGGAAAUCCUUCCUUCUUUGCAUAUACCCAUUUGCAUCCAAUUGCCUUCUUUCCCUUGGGUAGUGUCACCAACUCCCAGGUCUUAUUUUUAUGAAGAGACUGCAUUUCUUCAUUCAUUGCUUGCUUCCACUUUACACCAUCAGGGUUACUUAUUACUUCUGUGUAAGUAGAAGAAACAUCAUCAUCUGUAAUUGGAAGUGCAUAGGCCACUAUAUCAUCAAAGCGAGCAGGCUUACGAAUCUCUCUUCUUGGCCUUCUAUAUGCAAUUGAAUCUUGUUGCUGUAGAGGUUCUUGGGUAGGAACCUCUUCAUCAUUUGUCCCUUCAAUAUUAGCUGGAUCAUCGUUAACCUUUUCAAGCUCCACCUGCUGCAAAGUACUACUGGUUUUGUCAUCCUUUUGUGAAUCCUUGUACUUCAACAUGGUUGAUUCAUCAAAAGUCACAUCUCUACUGAAAACAAUCUUCCUUGUAUCAGGACACCAGAGACGAUAUCCUUUUACUCCAUCAGUUAUACCCAAGAAUAAUGCUUUCUUUGCUCUUGGGUCUAACUUAGAUUCUUUUACAUGAUAAUAUGCAGUGGAACCAAAUACAUGCAAAGAAUCAUAAUCAGUAGCAGAUUUACCAGUCCACAUCUCCAUAGGAGUUUUUCCAUUUAUUACAGCUGAUGGCAAACGGUUAAUUAGAUGGCACGCAUAUGUAACUGCCUCAGCCCAAAAUUCUUUGCCCAAUCCAGCAUUGGACAACAUACAUCGAACUUUCUCUAGUAUAGUUCGAUUCAUUCGUUCUGCCACCCCAUUUUGCUGUGGUGUAUCCCGAACAGUGAAGUGUCGUACAAUGCCCUCAUCUUGGCAUACUUGUAGAAAUGGAUCGUUUUUGUACUCAGUACCAUUAUCUGAUCGAAGUCGUUUGACCUUUCGACCAGACUGAGUCUCCACCAUCUUCUUCCAUUUCAGAAAUGCAUCCAAAACUUCACUUUUUCUUUUCAUUAGAUACACCCAUACUUUUCUUGAAUAAUCAUCAACAAAAAUAACAAAAUAGUGCAUACCUUCCAAAGAAGCUACUUUGGUAGGUCCCCACAAAUCACUGUGAACGAGUCCAGAAUUCCUUUCGUAUUAUGAAUUGCUGGACCAAAUUUUACCCUCUUCUGCUUGCCCAGAACACAAUGUUCACAGAAUUCCAUUUUGCAAGAAUUUGCACCUUUCAAUAAGCCUUGCUUCACCAAUGUCUGCAAAGCUUUUUCACCAGCAUGUCCCAAUCGCAUAUGUCAUAAUCUGGUAGCCUCUGAAUCUACAUCUUUUGUAGAAACUAUUGAUGUUGAUCCAAUAACUGUACUUCCAUUUAAAAAAUACAAGUUAUUUCUUCUUGUGCUUUUCAUCACCAUCAGUUGCCCAGCUACUACUUUUAGUAAUCCAUCUCUCAAAGUGAUUGUGAGCCCUUUAGAUUCUAGGGCCCCUAAUGAGAUAAGAUUUUUCUUCAGGCUAGGUACGUAGCGAACAUCUGUCAAGACUUGGAUUGAGCCGUCGUGAUUCUUCAAUUGGACUGUACCCACUCCCAUUGUCUUACAAGCACUAUCAUUGCCCAUAAGAACAAUUCCACCUUCUAGCUCUUUAAGACUAGAAAACCAGUCCUUGUUAGGACACAUAUGGUAAGUACAUCCUGAAUCCAAAAUCCACUCAUCCGUUUGACAUGCCAUUGCUAUGCCAACCAAGCUAAAGUCUGACUCCUCAUCAUGCUCUGCUACAUAUGCAUUAGAAAUAGCCUUGCCCUUUUGUAGCUUAGGACAAUUCUUUUUCCAAUGCCCUUUUUCACGGCAAAAGGCACAUUCAUCUUUGGCGGGUCUCCCUUUGGACUUUCCCCUUCUACCAGAUUUGCUGCUGUGUGAACGACCUCUUACUGUUAAGACUUCUGCGGUUGUAUCUCUGUUAUCUCUUUUAUCUUUCUUUCGAGUCUCAAAUCUAUACAACGCACUACAGACUGCAUCAAGUGUGAUCGUGUCCUUCCCAUGAAGCAAUGUGGUGGUAAGAUGAUCAUAUUCAUCAGGAAGGGAAUUCAACAACAAUAAUGCCUUGUCUUCAUCUUCAAAUUUCUCAUCCAAAUUUAGCAAGUCUGCUAAAAUUUUAUUGAAUAAGUUCACAUGGUCAUUCAUCGACAUACCGGGUGCAUACGUGAAUCGAUAAAGUUUCUUUUUCAUAUAAAGCCUAUUUUCAAGACUUUUCGUUAGAAACUUUUCUUCCAGUGUAUCCCAUAACUUCUUCGUUGAUGUCUCCCUCAUGAUAGAGUACUUCUGCUCUUUGGCCAAACAUAGGCGGAUUGUACCACAAGCCUGUCUAUUGAUCUUGGCCCACUCCUUGUCAUCCAUCUUGUCAGGUUUUUCUUCAAGGGCUAUAUCUAGCUCUUGCUGACAUAAGACAUCCAGGAUCUCACAUUGCCACAUACCAAAAUUAUUAGUACCGUCAAAUUUCUCUACUUCAAAUUUUGCAUUUGUCAUAGUAGUCCUUACUGAUGACGAUGCUGCUGCCAUUUUUCUCCUCAAUCCCAACUACUGUAUACGUGAACAGUACCGUAUAUGUGAAUAGUACUGUAUACAUGAAUAGUGCUGUAUACGUGAAUAGUACCGUAAACGGUCGUAUUCCCCAAGUACGAACCUGGCUCUGGUACCAAUUGUUGCGCAGAAGCGUGUGAAAGAGUAAAAUUAUUGUACUGAAAAAUCACACUAAGUUCAAUUCCCAGGAAAGAGAGGUAGAUCACGAAGAUCACUUAAAUACCAAGUCUUUCCUAGCCAGAAUAUCCCUCUAUCGUAAUUUAAUAGCACAAUAAAUCACUACAAUCACAUUCACAAAAUAUGCAAAACAAAUAAUAAAGAACACCAGAAUUUUAACGAGGUUCAGCAAAUUUUGCCUACAUCCUCGGGCACUACCAAAUAUAUUUCACUCCAAAAAUUACAAGUGAAAUUUACAAAUAGAGAGAGAGAAUAAUGCCUUAAGUAGAGAAUGGCAAUUAUGGGAUGAAGAAAGUAAGCAAUGGUUAGGCCUAUUUAUAGUUGAGGUUCAAGGAUCAACUUGCAAUGUCCCUAUACAAUUAGGGACCAAAAUUGCAAUUAUCCCAUGCCAACUUUUAACCCAACUUGCCAACCAAUAUUACUUUCUACUUUCGGUGAACACCCCAUUUGACUUUUCAAACAAUGGUAGGUUCCAAUACUUGUGCUGCUACUUUUCCUUCUAAACCUUGCAUCUUCAGAUAUCAACCAGGGUUGGUUCAAUUUCAAUGGUUACUUGGAUGUAGAAGGAGGAGCAGGGGUAGAUUCUAAUGGGCUGUUUAAACUGACUAACUCUACAAGCCUAAUAGCAGGUCACAUCUUCUACAAGAAUCCAAUCCAAUUCAAGAACUCCAAAAAUGGUAGUGUUUUCUCCUUUUCUACCACAUUCAUUUUUGCAAUUAUACCGGGACACUUCCAUGGCCAUGGAAUAGCCUUUGUAGUCUCGCCUAACAAAGAAAUUCCCGGGUAUUAUCCAGGCCAGUAUCUUGGUCUUUUCAAUAGAACAAAUAACGGUGACAGCUCAAAUCAUAUUGUUGCGGUUGAACUGGAUACAGCUUGCAGCCUUGACGUUAAUGACACAGAUGACAACCAUGUUGGCAUCGAUAUCAAUAGCGUAAACUCGGUGGCAUCUGCUUCUGCGGGGUAUUUCACUGAUGAAGGUAAGUUCAUCAGUGUCAGCCUUGUAAGCGGAGAUCCAAUGCAGAUAUGGAUAGAAUACAACGGGGUUGAGAAGAAACUCAAUGUUACGUUGUAUCCCAUCAAUCUACCAAGCCCAAAAACCCCACUUUUAUCCUUGAAAAAGGAUUUGUCUCCUUAUAUGUAUGACUCUAUGUAUGUCAUCUUCUCGUCGUCCACCGUUUCUAUUUCAGAUACUUCAUCCUCGCACUACAUAUUGGCUUGGAGUUUUAAGAUGAAUGGCUCAGCUGAUGAGCUAGACUUGUCUCGCCUGCCAAAGAUUCCACGACAUGAUAACGGAGGAAUCAAGCAACUGAAGAAGAUUUUGGCUAUCACCUUUUCUUUCACAGGUCUCACUUUAGUCCUCGUAUUGGUUUUCGGGUUUGUGUUGAUCUCAAGGAAGAAGAGAUUCAUAGAGAUUCUCGAGGAUUGGGAGGUUCAGUUCGGGCCUCAUAGAUUCUCUUAUAAAGAUCUAUUCAAAGCAACAAAGGGGUUUAAAAAAAGGGAAGUUCUAGGGAGAGGUGGAUUUGGUAGGGUGUAUAAGGGUGUUUUACCCUCUUCCAACAUACAAAUUGCCGUCAAAAGGAUCUCUCAUGAUUCAAGGCAAGGUAUGAGAGAAUUCGUGGCUGAGAUUGCAACCAUCGGUCGCCUCAGGCAUCCGAAUUUGGUUCGACUUCUCGGUUAUUGCAGGCGCAAGCAGGAGUUGCUUUUGGUUUAUGACUACAUGCCUAAUGGAAGCCUUGACAAGUUUCUUUACCACCAACCUAAUAGCAGCCUUUAUUGGACACAAAGGUUUAAGAUCAUCAAGGACGUAGCUUCCGCGUUGUUCUGUCUGCACCAGCAAUGGGUGCAAGUCAUCAUUCACAGAGAUAUCAAGCCUGCCAAUGUGCUGAUAGACAGUGACAUGAACGCUCGACUAGGAGAUUUCGGGCUGGCAAAGCAAUGCGACCUUGGAAAUGAUCCUCAAACCUAUCAUGUAGCAGGCAUGCUCGGUUACAUGGCUCCUGAGCUCGCAAGAAUCGGGAAAGCAAACACAAGCACUGAUAUAUAUGCAUUUGGAAUAUUCAUGCUUGAAGUUACAUGGCUCCUAUCUCUUGUAUCUCACCACCCAUGUUCGGACUAUAACACAUACCAUUUAUCUAAUUAAAAAAAAUAACCCAUCAGCCGAAUACAUUACAACUAACCUACCCAAUUUUAACCCAACAAAUAAACCCAAUACAUUAAACCUCUUAAACCAUCUAACCCACCCUCAGCCCAAAUACAUUUACAACCAUCAGCCCAAUACCCAUUAGCCCAACUACCUAAAUCCACUUGAAACCUCAAACCCAAAACAGAAAAUACCUAACCCUAGCAUUCGACGCCGAAUUAGCCUCCCCACUUGCCCACCUGCCCUCUGACACCAGCACCAUUCCCUGCACCACCGGUCAACUCCCAUGCCCAUCCCCUGCAAUCAGUAAGGCAGACAAGACAGAAAUAAUAGGAAAAUAGAGAAAAAAGGGUUAUAAAACCCGAAUCAAGAAUUGUAAAAAAGGUUCGGGAGUUUAAAAAAACGAAAAGAAAUAAGAAUAACAUUCGAUUCCAGAGCAAAAAUAAGCAAUCCAAUCAGCAUUUGAAUACAAGAACAACAUCCAAGCAAUUCGAAUACCAAAGAUUGAAGAAUCAAAAGUGAGAAAAGUCUAAGGUGAUUCUAUAAUUUUAGUUACUGUUUUAGGUUCGUUUUUGCAUACACAUAUAUUAAAAAGACAACAAAUAUACAAAGAUAUAAUAUAAAAAAUAUAACAAAAAAUAAAUAAAUAAAAACUGUUUUAGGUUCGUUUCGGAAUCCUUCCCCUCUCCCUCCUCUCUCUUUUUCUCUCUUCUUCUCUUUCUUUUUUUUUUCUUUUUUCCCCUCACAAAUGAUUUUUUUCUAAAAAUAGGCCUAUUUAUAGCCCUCCGAAACGCCGUCGUUUUGGUGGCUGUACUUAAGCCCCAAAACGACGUCGUUUAAGCCCUUACCCGAUCCGACCCGACCCGUCCGGCCUAGGGUCGGCGUGUUUUUUAACGGAAGGGCUAAUUGCGCAUUUAGCCCUUCUGCUUUUUUAUUAAUUUACAAUCAAGUUUUAAUUUAAUUUAAUUUGGACCUGAAAGUUGUUGCGUGAUUCGAUUUAGUCCCUUUGCUGUUGUGCGUUUUAAAAUAGUUCAGAAAAUUGCAGUUUUGGCCCCCCACUGUUGCACGCGUGUUCAAAUAAGCCCUUUUUCUUGCUUUUUAUUUCGAAUUCGCCCCUAAAUUUUGUUUUACCUUCGAUUUAGUCCUUUUUUGUGUUAGUUUGCUGUUUUAUUUUCAAAUUACUCAUUAUUAUUUUCUGAUAUUUACUAUUAUUAUUAAUUAUAAUCUCUGUAUUAUUAUUAUUAUUAUUGUAUUUAUUAUAUGUAGUAGUGUACAUUUUAUUAUACACAUAAACGAAUAUAUAUUCAUGUAUAGCAUCAUUUUUAUUACUUUACUUUAAUAUUUUUAUUAUACUUAUUUAUUAGCAUUUCAUUACUAUUAUUUUUUACUUAAUACCUAUGUAUAUUAUAGUAUUAUUAAUAGUUUUUGAUAUUAUUGUCUUUUGUUAAUAUAUUCGUAUGUCAUAUACAUUCUUUUAAUAUAUAUAUUAUACUCUAUAUUAUGCAUAUUUUUUUAUAUAUCAUAUCAUUCAUAUAUUUUAUUAUAGUAUGUAUAUAUUUUAAUAACUAUAUCAUGUAGGUAUUCUUAACACUAUUAUGUGCAUACUUUUAAUAUUAUCAUUAUUAUUAUCAUUGUAUAUCUAGUUAUAUUUUUAAAUAUUUCGUUUUUACUAUUAUAAGUAUAUAUAUAUUAUUACUAUUAUUAUAUUCAUUAUCCAUAUUAUUGGUACUAGUAUUGAUGUUCACUCAAUGUUAAUAUACGUAUAUAUAUGUGUACAUAUUUAUGUAGUAUGUUAAUAGUUUUUUUUAUUUAUUAUUAUCAUUUCUAAUAUAUAUAUACCGUAUAUGUUUCUAUAUAUAUUAUGUAUAUAUCAUUAUUUUAUUUAUAUUUAGUUUUAAUCUUAGUACAUAUAUUUUAUUAUACGUAUAUAUAUAUUUAUAUAGUAUCAUUUUCGUAUUAUUUAUUAUUAUACUUAUUUCCACUAUUGCCAUUUAUUAUAUUAUUUUAAUAUUAUGUAUUAUUUGGUGUACAUACAUCUUUUUAUUAUUAUUAUUAUUAGUAUAUAAAUAUAUUUCCUAUGUUAUUAGUAUUCCUAAUAUAUAUUGUAUAUGUUCUUAUCAAUGUUAGUAUGUGUUCUAUUUUGUGUAUAUAUCUUUAACAUAUAGGUAUGUAGUUAUGUAGUAAUAUUAAGAGUUGUCUUUUAGCAUUAUUUUAACAUUUUUAUAUAUUGUGUGUAUGUAUCUUUAAAUAUUGCAUUUUUAUAUAUGUUAUGUAUACACCUCUAAUACCAUAUUAUUUGUAUAUUUUUAUUUUUCAUAUCUUCUUGAAUACUAUUACAUGUAUAUAUAUACAUCUUUUUAAUACCACAUCAUAUAUAUACUAUUAUUUUAUUUAUUUUUAUUCCUAGUAUAUUUAUUAUUAAUAUUAGUAUAUGUAUUUUAUUAUAUGUAUAUAUAUAUACUUUUAUAAAUAGUAUUAUUUAUAUCCUUAUAUUUAUUAUUAUAAAUUUGUGUAGUAUUGUUAAUGUGUAUAAUUUUUAUGUUAUUAGUAUUUAUAAUGUAUCUUGCAUAUGUUCAUUUUAUAUUAUGUAGGUAUAUAUUACGUAUGUAUUUUAGUAUUACUAUGUAUACACUUUUCACUCUUAUCAUUACACAUACUUUAAUAUAUACAUAUAUAUAUAUAGCACUAUUAGUAUUUUUAAUAUUAUGUUUACGUCACUUCAUUUAUUAUUAUUAUAUGUUCACAUAUAUUCAUGAUUUUAUUUCGUGUUUAAUGCUAUUACUAUCAUGUUUAAUACCAUAUGCAUUAUUAUUGUUUUAUACUAUUACUAUUGCAUGUAUAUUGUUAAUGUUCUGUAUACUAUUUAUUUCGUAUAUUCUUAACUUUUUAUUAAUAUUUGUUUGUUCCGAGUUUAGCAUUAGUAGUUCAUGCCAUAGUGUAACAUCAAUUUUAGUUUUCUUUUACUUUUAUUUGUUUUCAUUCAUGUCUUUAAAUUAAUUUCAAUAAAUAAGGCAACGUGCCGAUUUAACAUUAAGUCGUUGAUUUCAUCGCUAUGUUGGGUGAACAUCAAUCGACUCGUGUUAAAGACGGAACACUCUUCUAAAAAACCCGAAAAACUAAAAUUUCUUAUCUUUUCAACCGGAUCACGAUUAAAUCUUACAUUAAACUCAUAUUUUUGGAAAUCAAGACAACGCGUGUUUAUAAGAUACCAAUUUUGGGCGUCGCGAGGGAGCUAAUACCUUCUUCGUGCGUAACUGACUUCCAAACCCUAUUUUUCUCUGGCUUAUGACGUAGACCUAAACUCGGCCUACUUUUGUUUUAAAAAAAUAAAUUUAUUAGGUAUCCGAUCACACCUAUAAAAAAGAUCGGUGGUGACUCCCUCUUUAUUUUAAAAUUAAACUUCAGUUUUUAAGUUUUCACUAAUCGCCACAAUUAGCGACCAAGCUAAAAUUUUUACGUCGCUACAGCUGGCGACUCCACUGGGGAAAGAUUUUUGAGAGUCGUGUCUGAAAUUAAACUCGCAUUGUCAAAAUUUUCAAAAUCCUUUGUUCAAAUUAACAUUUAGUCAUGAUCCUCAAAUCUUUGUUUUCAAAAAGUCAUGCAUUCGCAUUAUGUUGUAAACGUUUUUCUAACUCGCUUUGUCCUUUUUUUGUUUUUCAGCUUUAAGUUUUAUGGUUUUAGUUUUGUAGUUUUUUUUAAAUAAAACGUAAAGGUUUGUGAGUUUCUCCCCACACACCGUGCACCUGCAUUUUGCAUAACAUGAGCUCUCUACCCGAGCUCCGUCCGUUUAAGUGAAAGUAAACGUUAUGCCUUCGUGAGUUAACUCGUCCCUCCGCACAGGCUAGUGAAUACUUUCGGAUUACAUAUGACUUAUGCUUUCGUGAGUUAACUUGUCCCUCCGCAUAGGCAUAAGUGAAUGUAAUCCCUCGAGUUGAACUCGUGAGCCUGUCAUGGGCUAUGACCGAGGCUUCGUACUAAUCUUAGUAGAUGACAGUACGGACAAUUCAAGUACAUGUAUAGAACUGAAAUCACAUAUAGUAAACCGUACGAGCCACCUAAUUAGAGCCAUGCCGAACCUCCGUCCAUUAAUAGUCACCAAAAUAAGUACAUGGGAGAAACGCCUCUUCCCUUUUAUUUCUUUGACAUUUACACUUUCUAUUUUGAUUUUUCGUAAUUCAUGUUUAUUGUACUAACCAAGAUAUUUGUCUGUGUUCUUAUUUUGCAUCAUGCAUUAUAGGCAUCAUAUUAGAAAGGUGUUGACUAGAGAUUGGUUGCCAAAAAAAUGGGUUUCUAAUGGAAGAGUCAAUUAUACAAACAACCGAAAAGAAUGUCGUGGUUCGGGACUGGUCUCUAAAAACUCAGAAAGAAAAAGGGGAUAGUCUAGUGGAGGGAUGUAUUGCCAACCUGCCCGAGCACAUAACUGUAAAUGUUCACCAGAAUAACCUUGAAGAUUUGGUUCGGGUUUGGAAUCAGUGGGACUCAGACACUAGGGGUAUCUUCACUGAAAGAUAUGGGGACAUAGCCAACUUGAUCGGUGUCAAUGUAGAUGAACGAUUGAUCCAAGCCAUGGUCAGAUUUUGAGAUCCGGCUUACCAAUAUUUUACCUUCAAUCGAGAAGAUAUGACUCGGACUAUAGAAGAGUACGUUGCUUUGCUUCGUGUUGAAAAUGUGUAAUUCUAUAAAGUAUAUGUGAAGGAGCCUAAGCCGAUGACCUUUAAGAAAAAAUUAGUGAGAUUGACAGAAAUGACUGACGCAUGGGCUGAAAAAUAGAUAAAGAAGAAGAAUGAAAAUAUUUGCAUUCCAUGGUCUUCCCUACGAGAUUUGGUUUUCAACCAUCCCGACAUGUUGAAAAGGAUAAAUCUAUUCACUUUGGCCAUUUAUAGUUUGAUCAUCUUCUCGAAAGUCCUUGGACACAUAGAAGUUACGGUGGUGGAUUUCUUCAAAAGACUAAAGCAAGGGAUCAACCCUGUCCCAACUAUCUUGGCUGAGACCUUCAGAUCUUUAAAUAAUUGUAGGAAAGUGGGGAAGGGACGAUUUAUUGGAUACGCGUAGUUGCUCAAUGUUUGGAUUUUGAGUCACUUCUUGAAAGUAAAGCGCACACCGUUCCAUAUGUUUUCAAAAACAUUAACCCUGUUGGAAGCUUAUCUCAAGAGAGAAUGGCCAAAGGAUGUUACCGAAGAGCAUUGGGUUUCAGUUUUUCAGAACCUUCGAGCUGAAGAUGUAACCUGGAGAGCACUAUGGAUCCCCCCUUCGGUUCUGUUAUGCAAGGUGGGAAAUCAAGAUUGGGUACCACUACUCGGGCUAUGGGGAGGAAUUGGAUACGCUCCGUUAAUGGUCCAGAGACAAUUUUCUUCAUGACAAUUCAUAUCCGCCACUGGAGGAUUGGCACAGUCCGAGUUCGCUUUUGCAGGUGAAGGGUAUAUGAAGAGGGUCCGAGAUAUUGCAAAGUCUUGGAAGAAAAUUCAUCUGAUGGAAUUGGCUCUAUAUGCUGAUAUCCUCACCCAAGAUUACGACAUAUGGAGGAAGCAACGGGUGAAUAGUCAGCAAAUCUAGUCAACAUACUACACCGUCCAGAAUUCUUUCUCGGAGGAAAUGCCGUCUGAGCUAGAAAUGGCAAGACAAGAAUUUGAACGAGAAAAAGCCAAGAUGUCUUGGGACCUUAGUGCUUUUCAAGAGGAAAACUACCAAUUAAAGAUCGACGUUCAGAUUGAAAGAUCCAAAACCGAGAAAGUGCAAAGAGAGGCUGAAGUCGUAAGAAAUGACUUAAGAGAUCUCCAUCUGGAAAAUAAAAAGUUAAGAGGCACAAUAAAAAAUAGUGGGCUGGGCAAGUCGUCGACAGAAUGGAAAGAAGAAAUAAGCAACAUUAAAGGCAGAAUGGAAUUUUGGAAAGGAAAAGUGAAGAAAUAGGAGGAAAAGACUGCUCGGGCUAUGAUAGAACUAAGGAGGAAGAACGCCGAAUAUGAAACUGUGUCUGCUGAACUUACGAUUAGUCAGUCCGAACACCGAAAGUUAAAAGAGAGAAUACAUGAAUUAGAAGAUAUGCUGCAAAAUCAUCAACAAUAGUUAGAUACUCUCUUGGAGGCUUUGGAAGAAAAGAAUAGUCAAUAUGAUAGAGAUAUUCGUGCUUACGAAGAGAGCCUCCAAGAAAAGGAAAUGCAACUUAGCUAUUUGAUCAAUGAAAUUCAUGGGGUAGCCAUACACGUGGUACAAUUAUCGGAAGAAGCUAAAAUUCUAAUUUGCCAAUUCCCUCCAACUCGAAGAUCAAACAUAUCAGAUUUCUUAGCACGAGUAAAGAAAUAUGGCGAUAUAGCUAGGAAGUUUGUGUAAUGGCUGAAUCGAAAAUGGAAAAAUAUUUUGUAAUGGACUCUUUUGAUAAAUGAAAUGCCUAAAAUAGGGGUCGUCUUGAAAUCAACACUAAAUUCUCACAUAUUCAUGCAUGACUAACAUUCAUUUUACAUUUAUGCAUUCAUUCAUUCAUUCAUUGCAUAUCCCAUAAUCGUUCGCUGAGGUUAAAACAUGCAAUUCGCAGUUGUAAUACCAUAAGACUGGAACCACGUCAUUCGUAUAGAACACGCCGACAAGCUAGAGUAAUGGAGGCCGAAUUCAAUGAAAGGAUUGAAAGGAUAGAAAGAAUUCAAAGAGAAUUACAAGAGUAGUUGGCCAAGUCGCAGCAAGAGACAAGAGACUUAAUGGUGAGAUCUCAAGAAGAAUCACUCGAACAAAGAGACCAAAUGGCUAAGAUGAUAGAAAUGAUGUCAGCUCUAGUAAAAGGAAAGGGACCUAUGAACCCUAAAGUUGUGGAACCACAGUCAAGGGUUAAUCACGAUCAGGAUCCGCCCCAUCCGCCAGGAUUUACUCCACCACACGCCCACGCAACACAAAGAGGGUACACUCAAUGGGAAUCUACAGGCCUAGAGCAACGACCUGCGCCACCUGCUAACCUGGGGCAAGGAAUGUUCGUAUCAAACCCGGGGGCUAGUCCUGCUGAUCCACUCUUCCAGAUUUGGACGAUCCAGCAGAGAUAGCCAGGUUGAAAUCAGAUAAUCACGAUGCAAAUGAGAAAUAUAGAAGCCUAGAGGAAAGACUCAAAGCGAUAGAAGGCACUGAAGUCUUCUCCGCACUAGGUGCUAAAGAACUCAGUUUGGUGCCCGAUCUAAUCCUGCCUCUGAAGUUCAAGGUGCCUGAUUUCGAAAAGUACGGUGGGACAAGAUGCCCAAAAGUGCAUCUCAUCAUGUUCUGCCGGAAGAUGACAGGCUAUGUGAACGAAGAUAAGCUACUCAUACAUUAUUUUCAAGAUAGUCUAGUAGGAUCGGCUCUUCGGUGGUACAACCAGCUUAGUAGGGAAAAGAUUCGAUCCCGGAAGGACUUGGCAUCAGCAUUCUGUGAGUAGUACAAGCAUGUAUCGGAUAUGGUGCCAGACCAGAUGACCUUGCAAAUGAUGGAGAAAAAACCGUCAGAAACUUUUAGACAGUAUGCGCAGAGAUGGAGGGACGUCUCGGCCCAAGUGGAACCCUCACUAACAAAAAUGGAGAUAACCGUUCUCUUUAUCAACACUUUAAAGGCGUCGUUCUAUGACAAGUUGGUAGGAAGUGCCACAAAAGACUUUGUGGAUAUUGUGAUAUCCGGGGAACUUAUUGAAAAUGCCAUAAAGAGUGGAAGGAUGAAGGUUCUGACAGUUCAAGAAGGACAGCACCCGUAAAGAAAAGAGAGCCAGAAACCCAUAUGGUGGGAGCUGGAAGCCAUUACACUCCAAACCCAUAUCCAAACCAACCCCGACCUCGAAAUUAUCCACCUCCGAAUUUCUAUUAUCCCCCUCAAACCCCUUAUUACCAAGCACCACCUCCUUCCUACCCCGUAUACGCCACAAACAACUAAAGACCCGUCACCACAUUCCCACAAAACACUGUACCUGCUCAAAGCCAAUCCAGAAAUGAACCAAGACCCGCAAGGUCCAAUCUUGAGAGACCGCAAUUUACUCCUAUCCCUGUGUCGUAUGGGGAAUUAUACCCAAAACUUUUGGAGAAACAACUAAUAUCUCCCCAUUACAUGGCACCCCUUAAACCUCCAUACCCGAAGUGGUAUGAUUCAAACGUUAGUUGUGCAUACCAUGCUAGGAAUCAGGGGCAUUCCACGGAGAAUUGCCUAGCCUUUAAGAGAAAAGUUCAAGGACUCAUUGAUGCAGGCAUCCUACGAUUCGAUAGUGCCAGUAAUGCAACUGGGAACCCGUUCCCUAACUAUACCGAAGGGAAUAUGAGCGCAGUGGGGAAAGAGGAUGAAUGGCAAGUCAGAAGAUAUGUUUUAGAAAUAAAGACGCAUGUGCAGAAAAUUUGAGAGGUACUAUUUAAGAAAGGAUUACUCUGUCACCCCGAUAGAAUUUUCAGAGAAGAAGGUCAAAGUUUUUACGAUUUCCAUGGAAUUGUAGGACACGAUAUUCAAGCGUGUAAGGAAUUUAAAAGGGUGCUCAAGACCAGAUGGAUAAUAAGGAGAUUAAGGUCCUUAACAAAAAGGUAGAGGCCAACGAAAGAUAAGUAUGCGCCUCUGACAGCCAAUCAUCAGGUCUCCAUUAUAGCACUGAUCAGCCGUUAGUAAUUUAUUACGACGCGAAGAAGGAGCCGGUGAAAACGAAAGUGAUAAUCGAAGUACCAUAUCCUUUCCCUUACAGGGACGACAAUGCGGUACCGUGGAAAUAUGACGUCAACAUUGUCACACCUGAAGUUGAAAAGUCCGAAGCCACAACUGGAGAUGUUGGGGAGGUAGGCCAUUUUACCCGCAGUGGGCGAUGCUAUUCUAAAGAAGUCAAGCUGAAAAGAAGAAUAGUGACUUGAAACAGAAAGAAAAAGCACCAAUGCAUGUGACCGAAGAUGAGCAUGAAACUGUGCCUGAACAAGAAGCUAAAAAGCUUGUAGACGAGGAGGAAGCACAGGAAUUCUUAAAAUUUAUUAAGUACAGUGAGUACAACAUGGUGGAACAAUUGAGUAAGCAGCCAGCACGAAUCUCGGUAUUAUCUCUACUGUUAAAUUCAGAGCCACACCGGAAUGCCUUGUUAAAUGUGUUGAAUCAAGCUUACGUGGCAAACAAUAUAUCCGUUGAGAAGCUUGAUAGAUGGGUGAAUAACCUAAACGUGGAUAAUUUCAUUUCUUUUAGUGAUGAUGAAAUACCACCUAAUGGUAGAGCUCAGUGAAAGCAUUGCAUAUCACAACCCGUUGUAAGGGUUACAUAAUACCGAACGUGCUUAUCGAUAAUGGGUCGACACUCAAUGUCAUGCUUUUGGCCACGCUUUCCAGAAUUCCGAUGGAUCUGUCCUAUUUAAGGCCUUGUCAUUCCACAGUAAGGGCAUUCGACAAGACAAGGCGUGAAGUCAUGGGAAAAAUCGAAAUCCCUCUAGAAGUGGGUCCCUACAUAUAUGAUGUCGAGUUCCAAGUCAUAGACAUUACACCCUCAUAUAACUGCCUUUUGGGAAGACCUUGGAUCCAUUCCGUUGGAGCGGUCCCAUCAUCCCUCCAUCAAAAGGUGAAAUUUAUCAUGGAUGGCUGUUUGGUCACUGUCGAGGGAGAAGAAGACAUUGUAGCAUCUAUUUCUACCGACGCACCAUACAUUGAAGUGAGUAAAGAUGCUAUAGAAUGUUCCACAGCAACUUCAGGGAAACAAGAUCUACAAUCUUCAGCCUACUCCACUACAACUUUAGGGAGCUAGGAUGGUGCUUAAAUCUGCUUCACUGCAGCUUCAGGGAAACAAUAUCUACAAUCUUCAGCCUACUCCACUACAACUUUAGGGAGCUAGGAUGGUGGCUUAAAUCUGCUUCACUGCAACAUCAGGAAGCCUAGAUUCACCGUCUUCGAUCUGUUCCACUGCAAUCUCAGGGAAACAAGAUUUACAAUCUUCAACCUACUCCACUACAACUUUAGGGAGCUAGGAUGGUGGCUUAAAUCUGCUUCACUGCAACAUCAGGAAGCCUAGAUUCGCUGUCUUCGAUCUGCUCUACUGUAAUCUCAGGGAAACAAGAUCUACAAUCUUCAGCCUACUCCGCUACAACUUUAGGGAGCUAGGAUGGUGGCUUAAAUCUACUUCACUGCAACAUCAGGAAGCCUAGAUUCACCGUCUUCAAUCUGCUCCACUACAAUCUCAGAGAAACAAGAUCUACAAUCUUCAGCCUACUCCCCUACAACCUUAGGGAGCUAGGAUGGUGGCUUAAAUCUGCUUCACUGCAACAUCAGGAAGCCUAGAUUCGCCGUCUUCGAUCUGUUCCACUGCAAUAUCAGGGAAACAAGAUCUACAAUCUUCAGCCUACUCCACUACAACAUUAGGGAGCUAGGAUGGUGGUUUAAAUCUACUUCAGUGCAAUAUCAGGAAGCCUAAAUUCCCCAUCUUCGAUCUGCUCCACUAUAAUAUCAGGGAAAUAAGAUCUUCUAUGGUGACUUCAAUCCAUCCCAUUGCAUCUUCAAGGGUGUAGGAUUUUUAUUUCUUUGGUCUAUCACGCUGUUCUUUGGAGAACAUGACCUGUUGAAUCUAUUUCAUGGGCCAAUUUAUGCCAAAUGAUUUAGGAUUUCAUGACUCGAAUGAAUCAGAUGAUCCUAGGUAGAUGUGUAUGAAUGACGUUUGUAUGAAUGCAAAAUGUUAUUUUUAAUGCUUGAUUUGAUAUUACUCGUCGUUCACCGAGGUUUGAUCAUUGACGUAUUAUUCUGUCGUCUUGUUUAGCUGGCAUUCUUAAUAGAAAACUCGAAGAAACAAUCUCAUCUACUCGACAAGCUUGCCCCACUUAAACUUUAUGGAGUUUUUUGCUUAUUCAACCCACUACAACUCAGGGUAAUUAAUUUGAUCUGUUACACCAUUCUCUGGGUGUAAUGACUCGUGGUAUAUGCUCGAUAUUUGUAUGAAUGUAGAGUAUCAUUUUUUUCUCGAGAAUGACCCUCUUUUACACUUAGGUUGACAUUGCUCGUUAUUUGUCGAGGUUGUAUCACCAACGAAAUACCUUGCUUCUUUAUUCAACUGAUAUCUUUGACAGAAAAUUUGAAGAGAUAGUCGCAAUUUAGACUCCUCUUUCUCAAGCAAUUUCAACCCUUAGGCUUGGUGAGUUCUAAAUGAUGGUCCUGUUUCAGGUUCUUAUACUGUUUAGAAGCCUCCAGAGUAAUAUACAUAACUUCUUUUGUGAAAGUUUUAUUAGUCCAUUAAUCAUUAUUUCAAUGCUUGAAAAAGAUCAAAACAAUAGACAAGAAGGAGAUUGAUUUAGAGCGUAGCCCGAAAUAAAUAAAUUAAUCAAAGAUUGCAAAUGCAAUAAGGAGACAAUUAAUUAAACGUGAAUAAGUUAAUCAAAGAUAGUAAUGCAAUAAGAAAGAGGUUUAUUGGGAUGUAUCUUGAAAAGAAUAAGGUAAUCAAAGAUAACAAAUUUAAAAAUGGGUAGAAUGGAAAACUAGGUGCCCCAGAUAUCGCCGCUUGAGCUUCUUUGUACCAACUUCUUUGAGGACCUUUCUAACCUUAAUAUGUGUUUAAGGGAUCCGGAGUACUUUGUCGAUGCCCCAAGACGUAGUAUACUUCGUUAUUGUUAAUUUAGGCAUAGCAAGACUGUUGUAUGCCCCACUUUGAUCCAAAUUUGAGCUGCCCUUUUCGGGUUUUCAACUCAAGUCCCCUUUGGUCUUAAGGCGCCCUUUGUGGGUUUUUGCCUUGGCCUCUCUCUUUCUUUUCUUUUCUUCUUCUUCUCCCUUUUUUUUUAGAUCUUAAAGCGCCAUUUGCGGGUUUUCACCUUGGCCUCUCACUUUCUAGGUGAAAUACUUCUUGUCGAAAUCCGAAUUCACCGAUUUGGGCAAGUCUUUGCCAUCCAUUUCUGCUAAUAUUAAUGCCCCUCCAAAAUAGGCCUUCUUUACUACAUAAGGUCCUUCUCAGUUUGGCAUCCACUUUCCUCUUAAGUUCUUUUGUAUAGGAAGGAUCUUCUUCAAUAUCAAGUUCCCCUAGAGGAAUUCUCUAAGAUGGACCUCUUCAUUAUAAGCUCAUAUCGUUCAUUGGACCAUAACAGAUGGCUUUCAACCUUUUUUCUUCAAAUUCAACUGAUCAUAUCGGGAUUGGAUCCAUUUUCUUUAUCCAACUUCAACUCUAUCAAGACUCAGAGACAAGGCAUCUCCUCUUCAAAAUUGUUUUUAUCCCAUAGACUAAUGAAAUAUGCUGCCCCGGUGAAGGUCUUGGUCAACGUUCGAUAAACAUGGUGACUUCUUAUGCUAAUCUUUGCAAGUCUCGAUCAUCUGCCCCAUGAUUUUUAGUUUGUUGUUGGGUUCCUCUCUCUCUCUCUUUUUUUACCUUUGCCUUUGCCUUUGCCUUAGCAAUAUAGCGCCUAAUCUUUGAACAGACUGCAAACUUUUGACAUUGUUUAGUUAUGUUGGACAUGAUCUUCUCUGGUAUUUUUUAGUACCUCUUUUGGAACUUGAUGAGUGUCGACUUAGUGAUAUUGGCAUAUGAAACAACUUUCACCCUUUUCGCGGAGUAAUCGACGACCCUAAAGACGAAUCAGUAUCGGUUAGAAGUUUUCAAAGAGAUCGGCCCAUAACUUCCAUGCCCCACAUAGAUAAAGUUUACGAAGAAAUGAAAGGGUAUAUGAAUCUUGUCUCCAUAAAUUUAGCAUUUGCGGCAUAAUUGAUGCAAUUCCCUUCUACGUUAGACCAGUAGAAUUCGAAUAUCAUGAUUAGCCUGGUCAUUAUAAAAACAUUAGCAUAUGCUGUUCAAACAUCUUGUAGCAUCCUCAUGUCUUAGUAAGCCAAGCAUAUCUUGAUGCGAUCAUGUGAAAACAUAUUUAACUUCUUGGAAUGACUCAAUGAUGUCUUGUUUUGUCUUUGUGGUAAUGCAGGCUCCAAUAUUUGCCCUUUUCUCUUGUUUUAGGCUUGCCAACCACUGACUCUUUCUAAGGUGGAAUCCCCUUUUUCAAUCUUAUUCUACCGUCCUUAACAAAUCAAGAGAUAGGCUACAUCUCUGUCAUCUUUAAAGUGCUGAGAUUCCUUUAGGCCCAUAUUUCGCUCAAAAGGAGACUCGGAGUUAAUGACAUCGUUGCUCACAUCAUUGAUAUCCGGGGACCUGCUGAAGGCAGAUUCCAAAGAAUAAAUGAUUCUAAGGAUGAUUAUUUAUAUAGAAUGAUCAUGAAUGAAAAUAUUUGAAAGAUUAUCCAAAAUAAAAGAAUUUAAAAAUAAUUGUUUGUACGGUAUGAAAUUGAAAGAAUAAAAAAAUAUUUACUCAAAAUGAUAACAAACAUGCAUUUUAUUGAAAUAAAGAUUUUGGAUAUAAGCCUAUUUCACAAAAGGAUUCUCAUUGCUUCUAGGCUUAAAACAACAAGCGUGUUUUGAAUAUUACUCUAGAUUAGCCCUAAAAAUACAAGAAUUUCCUCCACAGUCCCAUUUUUCAAAACAUUCCCAAACAUGUCAAGGGCAGAUACUUGAAAAAAAAAUUAUUCCCGGGUUCCCUCUUCUGAUACGUCUUUAAUGUUCGGAUUUCCCAAUACCAGGUCUUACACUAGAGUUCUGAGCUCAAUGUGUCAUUGGAUCUCAUACCCCUAUCCAUCAUGGAACUCGUAAUGUCCACCCCUUUAACAGAAAGGUUGGAUAACAGGUUUCCUACUCCAGAGGGAUCAUCGAAUUUCACGAUUCCCAAUUUGAUAAAUCUUUCGAUUAAAAUUUUAAAGGUGAUACAGUUUUCGAUGGAAUACCCCGUGAUUCCCGCAUGAUAUUCAUAUUAGCUACUUACAUUAUACCAUUUAGGGUAUGGAGGCUGUAUUGGUUCUAUGUAAAAAGGGGAUACGACAUGUGCAUCGAACAAAAUAUGGUACAACUCCCUGUACGUGAUUGGGAUGGGCGUGAAUUGGGGUUUUUCUGAGUUCGUUCUUCGAUUGAACCCUUGUCUUGGGGAGACUUGAUGGCUGGUAGUUACCUUCGAAAGGCCCUUGUUAUACCUGCUCGCGUCAUUCUAUUUAUUUUUCUUCUUCUUCGAGGCCUUUAGAGUCCACUAUCCCUUUUCCUUCAUUUUUGCCAGAACAACUGGUUUGGCUCUAUCAUCUUCUGGGUUAAAACCUGAACCCAUGGGGAAGUUCAACAGUGCCAAGUAUUAGUUUGAUAUUGGGGUCCGAUAAUGACGGGUACCCCUUGUAUGUUUGGUUAGGUCAGGACGUUUGUCGGGGUAAAACCUGAGGAAUAGACGAUGUCUUCAAUAUCAUCUUCACUAUUGACCACUGGGCCAUUCCUUUUUUCAAGUUCUCCGGCCAGUAAUUGGGUUAACUGGCCUAUCACAUUUCUUUGGACUUCUAGCAUUUGUUAUCGCAUAUCUCGUUGAAUUCUGAUCAAUUGCUCUUGCAUCUGUAUUUGCCUUUGCUCUAUUCUCUCCAACAAUUGGUCCAUAUCCUUUAUCGAUUCUGAAAUAAUUUCACCUAAUUAGGGCCCUUUAGUAAAAGUUUAAUGCAAACGAUGUAAUACAAUGCAAAUGCAUGGAAUGAAUGCAAAAGAAAGGAAUGCGUUGAUUCUGAAUUCAAUUCCAUUAGAACAACUUUUCUAGAAAACAAAUUCCCUUACAUAAAAUGAAUUACAUAUACAGCCUUUCUCUCAUGUUCCAAGCGAAGACACCUAUCUUCCUCUUCAUAUCCAGAUGUUAUGGUUGAGUCUUGCGAAUUCUCCAAAAGAUGUCUUUAUUAACUCCUUUUUACUUGAUCUAGGCUGCUACUCAUUGAUCACUUAUCCUCGCGAUACUCGUCGGCUCCUUUAAGAAAGUUAAGACGUGGCGACUCUCGAAUAAUCUUUGUCAGCUUGAAUCCUCGGGCAAUGAAACAAAGUUUUGUAUUACUCCAUUACAUAUGCAGUCUUGCCCUCAUAUUCUAGGCGAAGACACCUAUCCUCCUCUUAAUAUCCGGAUGUUAUGGUUGGAUCUUAUGAAUUUUCCAAAAGAUGUCUCUAUUAUUUCCUUUCUGCUCAUUUGGAUUGUGGCCCAUUGCUCACUUAUCCUCGCGCUGCUUGUUAGCUUCUUUAAGACACGACGGCUCUCGAAUAAUCUUUGUUAGCUUGAACCCUCAGGCGAUGAAGUAAAGUCGUGUACUUUUUAUCAACCUUCCUUCAUUGUGUUUACUUGAACCAUAUUUAACAACCGAGUUAUAAUCCACUUUAUCAAGAAAUUCGUUUUCUUAUGACAAACUAUUCUAUUUAGCAAUCGAAUAUGAAUCAACACCUCCUUUCUAUGAUGAUGUAAUGCAAUGCAGUUAUAAACAAAAAAAAAACAAAACACGUUAGUAGAGAAGAAAUAAAUAACAAAUAAAGCACCUAUUCGGGUGACUGCUAGGGGUUCGGAGUGGCUCUACCUAAGGUAAGCUCCUAGGUCCUCUAUAUGUGGUUCGGUUCUAAAGUAAGGGUACCUGAACUAGCAGAUUCCUCGAUCCUUACCCAUUAUAGGCUCAUAUGGGCCGAGUUCAGUUCAGGGGGAUACAUUUCCCUAUGGCUGCACGGAGAUGAAAAUCUCACGAAGACAUAGGUACUGAUGUAUCCCGAAAGCAAUCCACUAGCCCAUGCGGAGGUGAAAACCUCACGAAGGUAUAGUUUCUCACUCCCACUUAAAAGGUGUGACCACAACAGUCAUGCAAUGCAAUGUGCGAGGAUAUAUACAUAAGAAAACCCGAGGCAAUAAAGAAAAUAGAACUAAAACAAUGAAAAUCGUAAGAAAAAUGGAUGAAGUGCAAUGAAGGGAUCGUAGGUUUAAAACAAAUUUUCAAUUUCGACCAAAGACAAAAAUUAAUUAAUUUAUGGCUCGACUCUCAAUUCCCCAGUGGAGUCGCCAAGCUGUCGAAACCAUUUUUUUGAAAACGGGAAUCGACUUUGGUUUUGAAAAUGGAAACGAAAAUUGGGAGUCGCCACCAAUCUUUUUUGUUUAGGUGUGAUCGGAUCACCGAGAAGUUUGGUCAUUUUAAUAAAGCAUUUUGGUUUACUAAAACAAUGAUUUUGGUCUACGAAAUCUGAGAAAUCGGGUUCGGGAGUCGGUUAAGUGUGAGGAAGGGUUAGCACCCUCGUCACGCCCAAAAUUGGUACCUAAUCGAUUAAUUAACGUUUUAAUGUCGAAAGUUGAAAAGACUUUAAAAUAAACUUUAAAAUAUGAUCCCUUUUUAUGAAUGUUUGGAUAACUCAAAGUGGGUAUUAAGAUUCUUUUUGUUUUGAGGAGAUAAAAUAUCACAUCCAGCACGUAGGACACAUCGUUUCAAACCUUCGAUGCCAAAACUAUCUCAUGAUUCCCAAAACUCAUGCAUUGAAAUUUUAAAAAGGAUAUUUGGUUGUUCGGUCAAAUGAUAAGUCGAAACCCAGCACGUAGGGCACGAUUUCUCGAAAUUUCCAAACACGAAAUAUUGCCUUAUUUGCAAAAAAUCUUAUCUCGAGGUAAUAAGAUGUCAUAUCCAGUAAGUUAGGGCACAAUACCUCAAAUCUCAGAGAGUAAGCAUUUUAUUUAAAACUCGUAGCAUUUUAUUUAAAACUCGUAUUGUGAUUUAAAAGGAAUAUGUCGUUAUUUAGGUUAAACGAGAAAAAUCGAAACCCAGUAAGUUAGGGCACGAUUUCUCAAAUUUCCCAAACACGAAAUGUUGCCUUAAUUAGAGAAUUUUCUUUUUAUGAAAUAAUAGCAAAUAUGAAAUUUAAAACGAUGUGUAUUUAUGGUAAUAUGCGAAUGAGAUCAUUAUGUUGAUAAGUAAUGAGAAUAUGAAUAUACUAAUAAGAAAACAACUCAUAAUAAUCACAUAAUUUUUAACUAUUUGAUAUGAACGACUAAAUAAGAAAAUAACUAACAUAAGAUAAUGACAUAAAAAUAAUAAUAACAAUGAUAACAAUGAUGAAAUCUAAAUUAAUAACGAUUAAAAUAAAUAAACACAAAGGCAAAAUAAAAGAAAAUAAGAAGCAAUUGUAAAACAUGAUGAAGGAAAUAAUGUAUGGAAACGCAAAAUAAGGUAACCAAUAUGGAAAAUGUACAUGAAUAACAUAUUAUACAAAUUAUUGAAAAAUACAAACAUGAAAAUCAAAACAUUCCCAAUGAUAAUAAUCUUUACCACAUACACUAUUUAACAUUUCUAAAUAAUGAUUAAAUAAAAAUCUAUCUUAAGAAAAACUUUUAAAAGGUAAUAAGCAAUGUUAAAACAAAUGAACUUGAAAUAGAUAAUGUAAGACAAAGAAUCCAAAAGUAAUUAAAUUAUAUGUAUAUAAACAAAUGAUACAUGCAAAAAUUUGAAAUAAGUCAUAAAAGGAAUAAAUACUACUUAAAAUAUAAAGUUUAACAUAUAAACAAAUUUCAAACAAGUAAGAAAUUUAGAUUAGUGCUAUACAAAACAAUUUAAAACAAAAUUUACAAAUAUAACAUAAAUUAUACACACAAAAAUAAUAAUGUAUGCUCAUAUAGAAAUUUUGAAGCAAAUUAUGUAUAUAUUAGAAAAUUUUAACAUGAAUGAAUAAUAUACAAAGGAAUAUAUGUGUGAGUAACAAUCUAUAUAAGAUAAAACCAAUAAUUACACAAAAUAAUUUGAAACAACGUUUAUUAAUCAAUAAUUAAUCAUGUACAUAAAGGGAAAUACUUAGUAUAAAUAGUACAUAUAUAAAAAUACUGAUGGAUGAGAGUAUAAAAAAACAAAAUAUAUAGUAGAUAAGAUAUUUGACAAGAAUGAAUUAUAUAUAUAAAUGAAUUUAAAAAGAUAAUAUAAAUAUCAUGAAAUUAAUAACGUUCAUAAAAUAAAACCGAUUUUGAUAUAAACUAUAUAUGUAUUAAUUAAUAUAUAAGAGUAAUUAAAUUUAAUAUCAUACAAAAAUUUAAAGCAAUAUGAUAAUAAAUAAAGUCUUAAAAUAAUAACUAUAAUAAAAAUAAUAAUAAUAAUAAUGAUAAUAAUAAUAAUAUAAAUAUAUAUGAAAAAAUAGUAAUAAUAAAAUGAUUUAAAAUAAGUUAUAUGUAUAUAUAUAAAACUCAAAAUGAAUAAUAAUAAUAGUUUUUUAAAAAAACAAAUAAUUAAAUAAAUUGAACAUAUUAAGGACUGAACUGCGAUCAAAAUAGAAUUAAGGGUACAAAAAAUAAAUAAAAAAAACAAAUAAGGACCGAAAUGGGGCGGACUAAAACAACUGGGGAUCUGAUGGAAAAAUAGACCAAAGUUCGGACACGUGUCCAUUUCUAAGAGUUCAGCAUGCCAAUGGACUAAAUCAAAACAUACGAUAAAUAUUUGGGCAAAUUUAAAAAACAAAAGAAAACUAAAUCAGAGCAGCCCAUAAAUCAGAGGGACUGAAGGGAAAAAUAUCCCAAAGAAGUAAAACGCGCGGAUCCCCCUUAGUAGCGGGUCGGGUCACGUGUUAAUAUGCCCCAAACGACGCCGUUUCGACGCUGGGGGCCCUGGUCUCCAAACGGCACCGUUUUGUGCCUGUAUAAAAAACCGUUUUUUUGUUUUAAAAUUAUUAUGUUGCUUCAACAAAAAAAAAAGCAGAAAGGGCUCUCCUUUCUUCUCUGCUAGGGUUUCAAAACCCUAGCUUUUGCGCCACCAUCGCCUAUCCACGCUCCUCCGCCAUGGACGGUGGUUGGAGUUUUACAAAUCAGGGCCUUUAGCCCUUGUUUUAGCCCCGUUUGAAAGCCAGGCGUACUUAGCCCUCGAAUAAAAAAAGAAAGCUCUCCCCUUGUCCUCUUUUGAUUCAGUUUUGAAGACGGAGAGAACUCCGACGACGUAACCGUGAGGUGAUCCAAGUAAAUUUCUUCCUUCUUCUUUUUUGUUUUCGUUUACAUAUCUAAAUAAAAUAUAAAGUAAUCAAAGAAAAAAAGAAAAAAAGAACAAGAAUUUAAAACGAAAGUAAAAAAACCUUUGAAGCUUUUCUCUGUUUUUUUUCUGUUUUCGAUUUCUUUUUAAAAAACAUCUGUAAUACAAUAUUUUUUCUUUUUUUAAAAAAAACCCCUUUACAUUUCUGUUCUUUGGCUAUAUAGCCGAAUCCCCCCUUCUAUUACUGUUCUCUCUACUUUGUAUUAUUUCUGCCUCUGUUCUCUUUUGUUUUGUUUGCUGCUUUGGUUUUGCAAGUGUCAGAGGAGCGAUGGGAUGGUGGCGUGCUGCAAGCAUGGCCAAGAGAGGGGUACGGCGCACAUGGGGCUAGGGAGGCGCGGCGCCAAGGAUGAGCUAGGGUUUUUGCCUAGCUGAAAGUUUGUUUAGGUCUGGGCCUGUUAAUUGGGCUUAGGGUUAAAUCUGUUUUGGGCUUGUAAUUGGGUAAUGGGCUAGGUUUAAUUUGGUUUGGUUUUAUUGGGCCUCGGGCAAAAUUUGGGCCUUACAAUUGUGUCAUAAAAAUAGGUGAUAUUGGCAAUUUAUUAUCCCCAACCCAAUUUUACUAUUUAUUCCAGGCCAUUUGGAUGAUCAUUUUUUAAUUAGGAUCAUUUAUGUAAAUAAUUAAUUUUUGAGGGUCAUUUGAGUAAAAUAACCGUUAGAACUAAGCAACUAGGUAUGCUUUGGAACCAUUCUCUUGGAUAAGACAAUAAAAUUUUCUUUUUAUAGCAGAUUUUUUUUAUUUUGUCAAUUUUUUAAAAUUAAGAUGAUGUCCUACAUCAAUAAAAAAUAUUUCUAUCCUUUUCUGUAUAUUUAAAAGUAUUGAUAUUUUUUAAAAAGUUUUAAUUGGUAUUGUCUAAAUAACGGUAAUAUACAUUAUAAAAGUAUUUUUUCUUCAUUGUGAAUACUCAUAUUUUUCACUAAUAUUUUAAAAAAUACAUACGAUAUUGCCUGACACAAUGACGACACAAAUUUUUUUUUUUAGACAUUGAUGAUUAGGGGGAAAAUACGUGUAGUUUCAUUGGUGUGUCAGUGUAGUUUCAUUGGUGUGUCAAGUUGUACUAACAAAUACUAUAACAAAUGGGUCAUAUUCGUAUUUUUUUUUCAACUCAUUUUUGUAAUUAACUAAUUUUUAAGGAUUAUUUUUAUAAAAAUCUACUUCCAAAGUGAAAUAGUAAUACCAUUACCCAAUAUUGAGCUCGCUUUUCAGUAACUAGAGGCCCAAUAAUUAUUAAAUAACUUUUUUGGAAUAAUAUUUAUUCAAUUUAGUGCUUAUAGAACUAGUGAAAUUGGUUUGGACGAAAUUUAUACAUAAUAUUAAUAUAUUUUGUCCGUGGUUACUCAGUUCAACUUAAAUAUAGAAUUAUAUUUUUAUCUAAAGUUAUUUAUGUUUGUAACUAAUCAAUUCAAGUUGGUUUAGAUUAGUGUGUAUAUAUAUAUUAAAAUGUUUUAAUUUAAAUUAAUAUUUUAAUUUUUUAUUAAAUCUAAAAUAUUAACAAUUUAAUAUAUAUUACUAAUAUUUACAUAGUAUUUAUAUUACUAUAUAUUCGAUUUUAUGUGAUAUAAAUUGUAUAAUAUGUAAAAAUUAAAAUAAAAAAUAUAUUACAAAAAGUAUAAAGCGGGUUGAGCUAAGCUUCGACUUUAUAUAUUAGAGUUCAAGCUUGGUCCAUAUGUUAAAUGUUUCUUAUUUUUUCAAGCUCAUUUUGGGGCCUUAUGCUAUUAUCUAAUCCCUUUCGUAUUUUAACCGAACUUUUAAACUUUAAUUUAAUCUUAUAAUUUUAAGUAAAUGAAUCCUUAUAUUUCUUCGAUUUAAUAAUGUUAAUAGGACGUGACAAGUUAAUUAAGAUACAAGUGAUGAAGUGAAAUAUUUUGUCUAUUUGACCAUUAAAUUUUUAAAUGGAUUUAAGGCCAAUUUUUUUGAGUAUUUUUAAGUUUUUUUUUAAAUAACAAUACUUUAAUUUAGUCUAUAAUUUUAAGGCGAUAUAUAAUUAUUUAAAAUGUUGGUCCAAUUAUUACAUGCGAUAAUUUUUCUACUAAUAAUAUUGAGAUCAAUAUUUUCAGAUUUAGACUAUAAUUAAACCGAUCAAAUCAUCAAUUCUCACCUUAAAAUUGAUUCUUGAUCAAUACCCUUUUCAAUUAUGAGUUGAAUUUGGUUCCACAACGUGACGUUAAACCAAAAUGCAAGUAAUUGGGUGAAAUACUUUGGUCAGAAUUUAAUUAAAAGAAGGUAAUGUUAAUUAGUAAUGUGUACAAUAAUGAAGUGAUUGAGUGUAAAUAGUCUUUAGAUUCAUUUAAGUUUUUAUAUUAUGAUUGACUGGAUAACGGAUUGCUGGGAUAAAGGAGACAUUUUGGCGACUAUUGAUAAGAGGUUGGGGAAGAGAUUUGUGGGACAACAAGCGGAGUUGGUGCUGAAGCCUGGGUUGCUUUGUUCACACCCGGUGACAGCGGCUAGGCCUAGCAUGUCCAGCGUUAUAUCGUAUUUGGACGGUGUUGCUUCAUUGCCUGAUGAUUUCAGCUCUGUUAUCAAAGUUCGAGAAUUCCCAGCAGGAUCAAAUGAAGUGGACGCUCCUAAUGAGUUGACAGGCGAGAGAAACACCGUUCCUUCAUUAACAAUUACAGAAGCAUUUGUUUCUCACGGUAGGUGAAGUGGAAAAAUAUCGGGUUUUUCUUUAAAAAUUAUGAUUGUAAAAUUAAAUAAAAAUUUAAAGCCUUCCGAAUCGAGUAAUAGGGUUUUGUAUAUAUUUUUAAGCAUCAGAAGUAGCAUACUGUGGCUGUUCAUGCAAAUAUCAUUUAGGAAUAUAUUUUGUAACUGAGCAUGUGAUUCUCAAAAUUUUGGAAUUUUUAUUCUUUUUUUAAUUGUUUUAAUUUUUAGAGUUUUUUAUUUUUAUUUUAAUAUUUUUAUAAUGUUUUAUAUUCUAAUAAAAAUAGGAAGGUGGUCACAUGCAUAACAAAUUAAAAAGCUUACUCGAAUAAAAAAGUUUGAUGUAUGUGACCACCUUUCCAUUUUUAUUACAAUAUAAAGCAUCAUUAUCUGAAGUCCUUCAUAUGUUAAUUUCUUAAUUACAUGUACUAUUGGUGUUUAAUGUCAACAAUGACGAAUAUUGUAUAUUAAUCAUUAUUUAAAUAUCAAUUAUUGAUAUUUAAAUAAUGAAUUCAAAUAUAGUGUUAUUUACAUAAUAAUAAUUGAUAGGUAUAUUUGAAUUCUAUCUAGUCUCAUUUAUAUUUGGGAAAGGAAGCUCACUUUAAAAAAUUAUUUUAUGCAUAAUUUUUAUUAUUUUUUAAAUAAAAAGAUUAAAAUAUUCUCGAUAAUUUAUUUAAUUACAAAAUGACAUUUUCAUAAUUUCUUUAGCUGAAUUAGUGCCCGGUUGAUUUGGACACCAACUCAAUCAAGAGCUUAAAUUAUAAGAUAUAGAUAUAUACAAUUGAUGGAGGUAGGUGUGUAUAAUAAAAUUAAAAUGUUUAGAGUUAUCAAGAUAAAACUUUAGUUGAGUGGUAAAUUAAUCUUUAUCUUUGUGAUGCUCGGGUUGAUUGUUUAUAUUAAUUAAAAUGUAUUAUUUUAUUAUUUUAUAAUUUUUAUAAAUAAUAUUAGGGAAAAUUUUUAAAAAUAUUCAUUUUCUUUAAAUUGCUACGACUAUUAGUGAUAAUAUAGGGCAAAAUUAGAUAAUAUAAAUAUUAGUAAUAUUGAAAAUCAUAGCUUUGGAAUGUUAAAUUAAGGAACAGAUUGAAUUAAUUGAAAUCUCAUAGUAAGGACUUAAAUAUAAAAAAAAUAAAAAUUCCAUUAGGAUCUAAAAAACAAUUUAAUUUUUAAAUGCAAUUAAUCCAUGCUUUGUUUAAUCACUACAUUAUAAAACCUUGAAUAAAAAAUUUAGAGUUUUUAGAACAUGCCUUAAAUCUAUAACAAUAAAACUAUAUGCUUUAUUUGUCUUUCUCCGUAUACUCUUCUACCUAUCCAAAUUCUUUUAAAUCAAAUUCUAAACUCUGCGAAUCUAGACUUCUGACUUCUUCCUAACUACAUCGAUACCAGAAACCAUUGGAUGGGGUUGGGACGUCAUUCUUAGCCUUGCCUUGAUCUCUUCUUAAAGCUAAGUUCCCUUUUGCUUGUUGCUUCCUCUCUCUCUAGCAUUGCAGUGGACAAAGUGUAGGGAACAACUAACUGCAAUUUGAUUUAUAUCAGAGGCAACAUAUUAUUGAAAAAUCCCUUAAAAAAUAAAUCACCCAAAAAUCAGCCUACGUUUUGGUAUAAUGACACUCAUUGCAGUUGGCAUGAAGGGGGCAUGAGAGGCUCUUUGAUAGUGUCGCCACUGGGAUGACAGGCCAUUGGUUUCAUCUUCAUCUUUUGGCUUGAAGUUGCUGUUGGGGUUUGGACAGCAGAGGAAGAAAACAGAAGCAAGUAAUCCGGAUAAAGUAAAGUUAAACUUCAAUACUUGAAUAAGCAAUAUGCCAUAUACAUAAGUAAUCCGGAUAACAUAUGUUGGAUUUUGCGUAAAACAAAGAAGAAGAAGAGAAGAAAAGAAAAUGAUGCCAAAAUUUGGACAAGAAGAAAAAUAAAUUUGAUCUCCAAAAAUCUGAUCUUUUUUCAUUAACAGGAGAUGCAUUCAUAUUACAAAGAAAUAUGGCAGUUACCUAAUGUUUAACUGUUCCCAUUAAUACAUGACUUAAGCCUAGCUAGAAUUAGACACAAAAUGUAGCUGACAUAUGAGCCUUUAUAUCACAAUCAAAUCUUUAACAAAUCCUACUAACUUUAAAAGUCAAAUUACAAAGGAACUAAAUCAAGUUACAAAUGAACAAAAUAAACAAAAUGCUGCUACUCCUCUGGUUCAGCUUGAAUGCUGGUUUCCUGUUGCAUUGCAGGCCAAAGUUUAACAGUUGCAACCUUGAGGGUUUUGAAUCGUGGCUUCGAAGCUCAAUGUCGCAACACCCUAUGCUUAGUGUCACAAUCUCCACAACAAACUACUCCAUGUUGAAAUUUGGUGAAGUUCAACAAGCAAUAUGACACACAAGCACUUGUGACACGACCUCCACAACAGUUGAGGUCCUCCUUGAUGUUUAGUCUCAAUCACCUCCCUAUACAAGCCCACUACAGCAAAACUGACUUUUAGCGGCGUUUUUUUAGGCCUUUAGCGGCGUUUUUACAAGCGCCGCAAAAAACACCGCUAUUGCUAACGGUGCUAAAGUUUGCGGCGUCUAUUCUAAAGAUCAUGACUUUUAGCGGCGCUUUUCCCACAAACGCCGCUAAAGGUCAUGACCUUUAGCGGGACUUUUUCUAAAAAUGCCACUAUAUAAUAGACCUUUAGCGACGCUUUUUUGACAAACGUUGCUAAAAAGUAUAAACUUUAAAAAAUAUAUUUUAAUUAAAUAAUAUUUGUUUUCUAUGAUAAAUAUUAUAUUAUGUUUUAUUUUUUAAAUUUGAACUUUAAACUAUACACAAUUUUUAAAAAAUCAUUUAUAUGUAACUCAACAGAAAUUAUGUUCAAAGAUUCGUUGUGUCACUAAACAAAGAAAAAUGAUUUACACAAAUAAAUAAAAGACAAAAGAAAAUGAAGGUUCUAAUGAGCAAACUAUUUUAUAAGCAAUCAGAAAGAAUAGUACAGGAAAUUCUUAGUAUCCUACUUGAAGAAAGCAUCGAAAAAUAUAAAAAGGAUGAGAAUGAGUACAAAGAAGCAUCUUUAAGUUGAACCAUUCUUGAUGUCAGGUUCCUUGCCUGUCUCAAGGAGAAAACACUUGCACACAACAAGGACAUAAUGUCCCUUUCUCCAUUUGACUUAAUCACCUACAUUCUCUCAUACCCUUUCUGCUAAUAGCAAUUGUUCAAGUUCUUCUCUUCUUCUCUCCAUUUCCUGCAUAUAAAUGUCCAUGAGAUUAUGGUAUUUGAUGAGAAAAUUAGUUCACAGCUGUGAUACUUUCACAAUAUUGGCCUGAAAUACCCUACAAAUCAAUACCAUAUUGCAAAAUCUCCAAUAUUCUUAUCAUGUUAAGGUGUUUAUUGAUAAAUUUCUUAAGAGAAAUGUUAACCAAUGCCGUGUAAUUAAGCAUCACUUUUUUCUUGAAUUCAGUUAAAGUAAGCAAUGUAUUAAAUGUUAGAAAAUAUCCUUAAAAUGAACUGUUCAAGACUCCUGAAAGGUUGUGGGUUCAAUAUCUUAACAACAAUCACUUGUAACGCACGAUAAGAAUGGGUUCUUACAGUAUAUCUGUCAACUUAAGAACACUUGAUUAUAAUGUGGUAGGAGAGGUUUGAAUAUAAAAAAAGAAGCAUUCAGAGUAUGACUAGACCUCCAAUUGAUCAAACAAAAGAAUACAUAAAUAAGAAAUCAUCAAGGCAAGAUGUAAACCAAAAGGCCAGCUUUGAACAACUCUCAUAGCUUACCUCCAGAUCUUGAACUGCUUGUUCCCUUGUAAUUUCCUUUUGCUGGCGAGAACAUUUGAGAAAGCCAAUGCAUAAGAUUCCCUGACAAAUUUAUUAUCAGUACAAUCAAGGAGUAAACAUAAACUCAACUCAAAAUCACAGUUCUGAAGCCUUUGCUCAAUUCCACCCCAAACUAUAUUUUACCUCCUGUUGUUUAACGUUAUAUAGAAAUUAUUCUUUACUUCUAGUAUCUAAAAUUACAAGCACAAAAGGCAAUAUCAGGGUCUGAUGAACAGUUAGCUUUGACUAAAAAUACCAGUAAAUCCAAUAAGCCCUAAUUAUAAAUCUAAAGAUUUGAAAUCUAACUUUGGAACAAAUUAUAACACAAAACUAACAACAAAAAAACACAAAAUAGACAAACAAUCACGCAACAAAACUAGAGCAAAUACAAGAAUUUAAAAAAGAAAAAAAAAGAUGAUAAAUAGCAGCAAAGCUAAAAACAAGUAGCAAAAAAAUGAAACAAAUUAAAACAUUAUAUCAGUUAUUCAACGGUAUUAUUCGGAAGGAUGUUCAAAACCAGAAUCCACAAUAGAUCGAAGCAGCUCCAGUUUUAGUAGAAAGUCUCUGAAUCCCGAACUGUGAAUUCCAACAUACCCCCUACACCACAUAAAAAAGCAAUGAAACAAAUUAAAAUAAAAUUGCUUUACGCUAAAACUAGCAGAUUAUAUUAGAACAUUGUUUUCCUUAAAAAUAUUUACAAUAAGUUAAAAAGAAAUAUUUUAAAAUUUGAUUAUGUAUAUAAUUAUAUGUAUUUGCUUUAAUUAUAUGUCUUGAAAUAAAGUUUGUAUGCAUAAAUAACUCCCCAUACACAAACUAUUUCAAUCAGCAUAAAUCAGAUAAUUUGUGGCUUCAACAUGCUGACUUUACCAUAAUUUUGUCUAAAAUUUACAAUCUUUAACAUGGCACAUCACUAAAUUUAAAUAGUUGAUUUCACAAUCAUUAUAUCUACAUUUGGACCUUAAUAAACCUAGAAAUUAUCCAUGCCAAAACACAUUUAAUGUGUCCAAGAAUCAGACAGUAUAAUGCAGCCAUUAAUCAAAUUUGAAUUUGAAUAACAUAAGACAUACUAGACUCUUCUACAAAUGCUGGAAAACUUGUCCUUACCAGGCUGUUUAAACGGCAUAAACAAGGUAAAAUCAUGAGAUUUAAUCCGGCUUUUACUCAUUAAUUUUUUUCAAAGUCGAACCGCAUCUUUCAUGUCCCAAAAAUCAUAAAAUUCAACAUGCAGUAUCAUAAAAUUAGUUUGAGCUCCAACCUUUAAAUUUUCAAAAGAAUAUCACAUCAAAAAUUGGAUAGAAAUAAUAUAAAAUUUCUUAAAACAAAUUCCAUAUGGACAAACUAUAUAGAAUGUCCCUUCAACUAACUAAUGGUUACCUGUAUCACUGCCACACCACCAAAUAAUUUAGCAAUCCUUUUGUUAAGUUUUUCCUUCUCAUAAUCCUGUUCUGCAGCCUGCAUUAAAGUAAUAAUAUAACUAAUUGCAUACUCAAUGUCUGCCACGAAUAUUCAUUGGUAAUUCAUUAUUAAAAGUCAUCAUACGGUUAGGAAAGCUGGUGCAAAGUUUUCGAAGAUUGAAUUUCAAAUGUUACCAUGUUACCAUGCAAUCGGCCCAAAACUAAGCAAUUCAUGUCCCCAAGUUAGAUGGUUGUGGCCAAUACAUGACUAUUUCAGCCCAAAACUCUCUUUCCCUUUUGUCUUUUACAGUUCAUUUUUUUCAUGAAAUAGUUUUUGAUGUCACGAAUUUACGAACUAAAGUUUAAACAACUUUUUUCACUGAUAUCCAAUAUUGACUGUUAAAUUGACUUAGAUUUAAAGUAUGUUCUUUUAUCUAUCAAUGAAUAUUGAUUUACUAUACCAAUCAUUGAAUUAUUACUUGAAGCUUAAUGGCAGAACUUUAAAAAAGAAAAACUUAACAAUCUAGUAACUUAAAUAAAAAAUUUUGUAUAAUUCAGUGAUAAAAUUAUAUAUGUUUUUAAUUUAGUGGUUAAAAUAAAACUCAGUGUUGUAUUUAUAGCAAAAAAUUUAUGAUUAUAUUAUACCAAAUUUAUAUGGAGAUUUUGUGACAAAUAAAUAGUGGAUACUCUUGAUAACAUUAACAUGUAGUUUGGCAAACACCUGAGGAUAUUGUUGUUAAUACAUUUUUCAAAAAAAAUAGAUAUUUCUUAGUGCCGACUUUUAGAUGCUUAUAUUUUGAAAUAUUAAUAAAAUUACAAUUUAAUUUUCAAUAUUCUUUAAUAAUUAUAUACUAGAAUUUUACUGUUAAAAUAAUCAUAAAAACUUGAAUUUAAACGUAUAUUAAAUCUGAUUGUAGAUAGCAAUAGAAAUCAUGUAACAUUAAAUCUGAUUAAUGCGUUAGAUACUGUUCAUCAUUUUCAUAUAAUAAACUGCAAAUUUUGAAGUGCCAAUAAAUAAGUUCAGAUGAAAGCAUAAAAACUUACAAAUACCCUUCCAUUCAAAGGAACCUUUCAAAAGGAAAGGCAACCAAAAUAGAAGGUAAGAUGGUUAUGAGAAAAGGGAAAUUUAAUAAUCAACUAAAUCAAUUGUCCAGAGAAAAAAAAUCCUGAGGUAGUUCAAAAUCAGAGUAUAAUUUCAGGUCAAGUAAUUAUUAAAAAAAUAAUCAAAUUAGUAUAUAAAAUUACAUACCUUCACGUUUGCGUGCUUCCUCUUAUUCUCUCCUCUUUAAACCUCACAUAGAAUAUUUUCUUCCUCUUGAUAUCCCUUUCCUGCUUCCAGGCCUGAAUAAUUUUCUAACAUGCGUGCCAACCUAUUCUUCUCUUUCAAGUCCCCAUCAUGAUGCUGCCUACUCAACUCAACUUCCAGCUACAACAUAGAAAAACAGAAUUACGAAUGAUUAUAUCAAAAAGGUUGACAAUGGCAAAAAUACAAAACAAAACAGAACCUCUCAUAAAGAAAGACUGCGACAUAUAAACGCUGCUCUUCCCUUCAAGAUAUGGAAAUGCAAAUGAAGAUAGAACAUCUGUUGAGGCAGACUUAAGAUAACAAAUCAAAGUCUUUGAUAUGUUUAUAAAACAUGAAAGGUCAUAUGUUACAAGACCUGGAAAGAGAAGCACUCAAAACAAAGUACUUCUUUCAACUGCAAAACAAGGAAUUAAAAUUUUACCUGUUGUUCACGUUCAUGAAGCACCUUCUCUUCUAGCAGUCGUCGUUGAAAAGCGGCUUCAAUCAAAGGUGCUGCUUCCUCUCUCUUAGCUCUUUCCAUAUGGUUCAUUGUUUUCGCAACCUUUUGUAGUCUCUUCUCCUGUUCCUGCCUCUCCUUUAGCUGCUCACUCAUCGCCUGCUCAAGCAAGGUUUGCUUUGUUAAUUUCUCCUGGACACAUGCAUAGUCAGAACUUAAAUAAAAAAUAAAAAUAAAGAACAGCUUAUAGGAGUCGGAAACUUAAUGAAAAUAAAUGGCUGUUCACCCCAUCUAAAAUUGGCUUCCUUUUCCCUCUUUUCAAAUGCUUUUCAGUUUCCUGUAGAAACACCUGUGCUUCUUCAAACUCCUGCUCCUCUAUUUCCUUACAGAUUCUUUCAGCUCGCUGUUGCUCAAAUACAGCAGCAAGCCUCUUUUUCAAGUGCCUAUAAAAUUCCUACCAAGGAUGACAAUCUAGAAAGAACUAUUGAUAUGAACUCAUGAGAGCAAGUUUUGAUUAGGCUAGGGUUCAAGAGUCUUCACAUUUAUCUAUUUUAACUAUAACAUUUAAGCUUUUAUAGUUUAACUCAGGGACAAUACCAUUUCAAGUAUUUAUCAUCACACUUAUUCAAACUCAACAUCUUUAUUAAAAGGCAGACUCAACAUACCAAACAGUUUAACCUCAAAUUUGCAUUGGUUCAGAUGUCUUUACUCACAUCUUUAUUGACAGGUUUUAUGGAGACUAAUUGUUCUGCUUCAAAGGACAAAUAGAAAGUACUCAAUUUAUCACGUAGACUACAUUACUUCAAAGGACCCAGAAUUGAAUACAAAUAGAAUCGCAUGAAAUUCAAAGAAAACAUACAGUAGAACCUUGGGGGGAACAAAUAAGCAAUAGAACAGACACAUAUGUACCAUUGUUGGAGACUAAUUGUUCUACUCCAAAGGUCUUGCACUGGGAAAGUGGGCGGCGGCCGCAAGUGCAGGUUUUGGAGUGGACCUAGAAGAUGCUGAUUUUGCUGAAAUGUUGGAGAGCAUCGACUGACACUUCUCCUGCUGCUGUUUAAAUCUAUCUAACUUCUCUUGUAAUGCCAUCACUCCAGACCUUAACCUUCACAACUCUCAAAUCCCAGAGACACAAAAGAAAGAAAAAUCAAAGCUGAAAAUCAGAAAAGCUUGUCAAUAGAACUACCCAAAAUCGCUAAAUCUUAAGAAUAUUUCUUUACUUUUCCCAGCUUUUGAGAUUUUCUAUCCAACUUUAAUUUCGAGUUAAAACACUUCAAAUCGCUGAAUCUUAAGAAAAUAACCUUGGUAGUUGGUAAGGGAUUUCAACGAGCUUUCGGCUUCAAUUUCCGUUUAGAUGACUGUCCCUUUGAUAAAAGGUUGAGGAGAGAAUGAGAGUCCUGUUAAAUAAUAAGCGAAAACGCAGAAGAAGAGGGAGUAACGAGCGGGUAACAAAAAAAUAGGAUUUUAUCUGUUUGCGGCGUUUCCACUAAAAACGCCAGUAUAGCUUAACUUUUCACAUUUAAAUUUUUGUGGCCUUUUGUCUAAAAACGUCACUAUUGCUUAAUUUUAAUUUUUUUUUUAUUUUUAACAUUUUUUUCUAUUCUUUUUCUUUCAAAAUUUUUAACAUAUUUUUGUGGCGUUUUGUCUAAAAACGCCACUAUUGCUUAAUUUUAAUUUUUUUUAUUUUUAACAUAUUUUUUUCUAUUCUUUUUCUUUCAAAAUUUUUAACAUAUUUUUGUGGUGUUUUGUCUAAAAAGUCACUAUUGCUUAAUUUUAAUUUUUUUUAUUUUUAACAAAAAAUUAGGGAUUUUGAUUUUCCCUUUUUUGCUGUAGUGGUUUAAUGUGUAAUUGUAGACGUGAAAUUCUAAUUGUGGUUUAAAUGUAUAGUUGAAACUUUAAUUUUGAUUUAAUCAUACACAUUUAAAAAAAUAAAUACAUCAAUAUAUUUUUAUAUUGAAUAAAUAUAAAUAUUUAUGUAUCCAUGCAAUUUAUAAAUAUAAAAUGAUGUUAUAUCAAUAAUUGUGUAAAAAAACGAAAAAACGUGAAGACACAAAUAUAUAUUUUAAAAAGAAAAUGAGUUACAAUUAAAAAACAUGGAGACACAAAUGAGUGCAGAGAAUUUUCGUUCGUAUAAAUAAAUAUAUAUUUUAAUUAAUCAGUAUAGAUAAAUAUUAAAAUAGUAUAAACAAAAAACUAUUAAUAAAAUUUAAAGGUAAACUUAUCAUUUAAAACGUUUUCCACAAAUCCCUUCAAUCCAUUAAACAAUAUAACACUUAUUAAUAUAUAAAAAAUAUUUUUUUAUCAAAAUCAAGAUAUCUAUUAUCGAUAAUAAUAAUUAAUUAUAGGGUUUAGGAUUUAAUUAUUGAAUAUGAUUCACUUGAUUAACAUACUAUAUAUAUACCCAUGGCCAUUAAACCUUAAACCAUAAAACCCUAAAUCAUAGACCUUAAACCUUAAAUAUUAAACCGUAAACCAAAAAAUAAAUUUAAUCAAUAUUAAGUAUUGCUUCCAUUAUUUAUUAUGAACAUAAGCUUUUACAUUAAUAUAUAUGUAUAUACACAUCAACAUCCAUGUGAUGUUUUUAGGGGUUUAGGGUUUUAAAAGUUAUAAUUUAGGGUUUAGGGUUUUUAAGGUUUAGAGGUUUAGUGUUUUAGGGGUUAUAGAUUAGUGUUUAUGAUUUUUUUGGGGUUUAAAGGGUUAUAUGACUUUUAGCGGCGUUUUACCAAAAGCGCCGCUAGUGCUCCGACUUUUAGCGGCGUUUUACCAAAAGCGCUGCUAUUGCUCUGUUUUUAGCGGCGAUUUUAGUAAAAUGCCGCUAUUGCUCUGUGUUUUACAAUUUUUGCGGCGUUUUAUCAUAAAACGCCGCUAAAGCCCUAUUUUCCUAUAGUGAAGUUUAAAUUAAUUAUUAGACCUCUAAUGACACAGUUUUAUCAAUUUGGGUUUCAAAUGUGAUAAAAGCUAGCAUUGAAACUAAAACUAAAAUUGAUAAAAAAAACAUAAAAAUACUUUUAAACUAUUUAAGAACAAGCUUGUUAAAUAUACGCGAGAACCUAAUUUAACAUUUCAAACUACGAUAGAUCAUGCUUCGCCACCCUACAAUUAUAUACAAGGAUUGUCAUCGUUUUAUAGGGUGGGGGUAUACCUACUUUCUGGUCGAACCUCAAUGGGUCCUUGUCGAACUCCAACAUCCUGAGAGGCAACAACUUACAGAUCAGUUGCAAGAGAUGGAUGGGAUAUGGCAAGUGAGGAUUGGAAUAGGAUCAGGAAAUGCAAAGGUCUUCAAUGAAUAAGACAUUUUCUUUGAAUUAAUUCAUUUUAAGGGACGUUUGUUAGCGAAUGAGGAGAGAGCUUGAUGACAUGUGACAACUGACACUAGUUACUCAAGAUGUGAGCAGUUUGAGGCAACCAUACAAGUUUUGAGGGAUUUUUCUUUUGCUAAGAAUGUUUGGAAUAAUCUUGUUCCAAAUGAUCUUGGCAGGUUUUUGCAUAUUAAUUAUGGAUUAACUUGUUUGGAAUUUAAAGAAUAUUGGGCAGAUUGAUGUUGAAGGCGUAGACUGAUCGACUUUGUUUUCUAUUAUUUGUUGAUGUCUUUGGAAGUGUCGUAAUGCUUUUGUGUUUAAAGAUGCAAGUAACAGCAAUGGGGAAGUUGUAAUGUCUAGUCUAUCCUGGGCUAAAAGUUCAACUCACAUGGGGUCUUCUAAUAUUUUUGUUACAAUGAUCUCCAGAGCUGCAAAGCAAUGUUGACAUCCCAAGGAAGGUUGGGUUAAGCUUAAUUCGAAUGAGACAACCGACAUUAAUAUUGGUGUCACGACGAUUGAAGGGGUUCUAAGGGAUGUGAAUUCAAAUUGGAGUUUACCUCGUACCAUGCCUCAUGAUUUGUUGAAAAUGUGUCCGUGCUUUUAUUGCUGUCAAUUAUAAUUAUAGUAGUAAUUAUUAUUAUUUUUUCAGGUUGAAAAUCAAAUAUAUUUGUGGAAUACUUCUCUAUGAGCUCCUUAGAAUCGAAAAAAUCGUUCUUGCGAAUGCAUUUUCACUGCAGCUCAGUCAACAAAAGACAGGUUCUACUGUACCCUUAUAAAAUUUCUCUCUUUGUAAGAUCUAAAUGUUGGGUUUGAUGAUUAUGAAAUCAAGGCUGCUCAUUACCUAACUGAUUGGUUAUCUAAAUGUCUAUUGUAUCUAUAUAUAUAUUUUGUGUGUGUAAUGAUGUCUUGUUUGAUCAUACUUGUGUUGCUUUUCCUCCUGAACCUUGCAUCUUCAGAUAUCAAUCAGGGUCAGUUCAGUUUCAAAGGUUACUUGCAUCUUCAGUAGAUUCAAGUGGGUUCUUUAAACUAAUUUUACAACCCAUACAAAAGGUCACAUCUUCUACAAGAAUCCAAUCCAAUUCAAGAACUCCACGGAUGGUAGUGUUUUCUCUUUUUCCACCACUUUUAUUUUUGCAAUUGUACCGGAAUUCCCAACUUUGAGUUAAUGCAUUGAUUUUCUCAGCCAAUUUGAAGCAGUUAAUGGCACUAAUCUCAUCACAACCCACUAAAUUGCAAACUUUUGAUGGACUUGCAACUACUUCAAGUCAAGAACAACCAUCUAUAUUCACAGCUGCUAUACUUGUUGGUAGCUCAGGCAACGAUUUAAGCAUCUUGCAAUCUGACAAUUUAAGCAAUUUGAGCCUGGAAAGUUUGAGUAAGAGCCAAAGGAAUGGUGAUGAAAUUCUUACCAUUAAGAUCAAGACGUAUCAAAGAGGAUAUACCAGAAAUAUCACCAUGAAUAUCUGCUUCACUAAGAGUGCACAUGUUGCAAUUUGACAAUAUAAGAUAUUCAAGCUUGGAUAGUCGAGUAAGAAUGCAGGUAUGCUGAUGAAAUUGUUAUCACUAAGAUCAAGAUGCCUCAGAGGAUAGAUCAGAAAUAUAACUAUGAGUAUCUGCUUUACCAAGAGUGCACAUGUUGCAAUUUGAUAAUGCAAGCAAUUUAAGCUUUGAGAGUCGAGUAAGAGAUGCAGGUAUGCUUAUGAAAUUGUUACCACUAAGAUCGAGAUGACUCAAAGAGGAUAGAUCAGAAAUAUCACUAUGAUUAUCUGCUUCACCAAGAGUGCAUAUGUUGCAAUUUGACAAUAUAAGAUUUCCAAGCUUUUAGAGUCGAGUAAGAGAUGCAGGUAUGCUGAUGAAAUUGUUACCACUAAGAUCAGGAUGCCACAAAGAGGAUAGACCAGAAAUAUGACGUGGAAUAUCUCUGUUAAGCGCCUGGGCGUAGGAUCUAGUCACAGGUCUAGACAAGAAAGAAUUCUUGCUUCGACCUAUGGUUACUCAAAAGGCAGAUUCGUCAUUGACUGAACCCCCUUCCCCAAACUAACGUUUGUGAUGAAAAUAAACUUCUUGGUUUAUUUUAUAUUGGCAGCCUUUUUAUAGGCUGUUGAUUACAAAGGGAAAGUCCUAAUCUAAUUCCUAAUUUAAAGUCCAAAUAGAAUUUUUAAUUUAAAGUCCUAAUAGAAUUCUUAAUUUAAAGUUUAUAAAAAACCUAGUAAAAUUAAAACUCCUAAAGAAAUUAAAUAAAUGUAAAACUCUAAUUCCUAUUCCUUCUUUGAUAUUAUUUUCUAAUGAAAACAUCUAUAUCAUUACUUCCCUUCUCGGAGUUGAGCUUGUCCUCAAGCUCAAAUUCAGGAUAAGCUACUCGAAAACUAUCAAUUGGUUCCCAAAUGGCAUCUUUUUGGGGACAUCCUCCCCAUUGCACUAAUAGUUCCCGUUGACCUCAAUUAAGCCUGGUAUUAAUAAUAGCUUGUGGAGUAGGUAAGGCCUUGCCAUCAUAUACUAAGGGCAAGUCUCCUACCGCAUCUAGUUGAGGUCCUUUGUAUUCUUUGAGGAAAGAAACAUCGAAUACAUCAUGUAUUCUGCUACCUGUAGGUAAUUCAAGCUGAUAGGCCACUGUUCUUAUUUUGUUCAAGACCUUAAAAGGACCAAAAUAUUUUGGCAACAACUUGUGAUGUUUCUGUUUAGUUAUCGUCAAUUGUCGAUAUUGUUGAAGCCAUAACCAAACCCAAUCCUCGACUUUAAAAUUCAACUCUCUGUGCCCCAAAUCAUAAGUGUUUUUCAUUCGUUGCUGAGCUUGCAAGAGUCUAUCCCGAGAAUUUUGUAAAAGUGCAUCCCUAUCUUGUAGAGCUUUAUCCACAGCUUCAAUCCUUGUAGAACCAGCUGAAUAUGAGAGAAAUCGAGGUGGAUCCCUACCGUAUACUAAUUGGAAAGGGGUGGCUAGGGAAGUGUGAUAUGGGGUGUUGUAGCAAUACUUAGCUCAUGGAACCCAAUCGACCCACUAUCGUGGACUAUCAUUAGAGAGGCAUCGUAGGUACAAUUCUAUUGUUCGGUUAACUACCUCCAUCUGACCAUCAGAUUGGGGAUGGUAUGCUGAAGAAAAAGCGAGCUUAGAACCACUUUGACGAAAUAAUUCCUUCCAAAACAGGCUGAGGAAAACUUUAUCACGGUUAGAAACUAUGGAUUCUGGCAAGCCAUGAAGUCGGAAUACCUCUGCAAAGAAGACGGUAGCAACAGAUAUAGCAGUAAACUGAUGGGACAAGGGUAAAAAAUGAGCGUACUUCGAGAGUCCGUCCACAACCACUAUAAGUACCGAUUUCCCUUUUACUUUGGGUAGACCCUCUACGAAAUCCAUAGAGAUAUCAGCCCAAACGUGUUGUGGUAUUGGAAGAGGUUGAAGUAAACCUGCAGGUUGUAAAUUUUGCCAUUUGUGGCAUUGGCAUACUAAACAAUGUUGCACAAAUUCUAAGGUUUCAAGCUUCACUCCUUUCCAAAAAAAAUCUUGACGAAGAUGAUGCAAUGUUUUCAAUCCCCCUUCAUGUGCCAUAGCAUCUAUAGAGGAAAUAAUAGUGGGAAUAAUUGGUGAGGUAGGUAAAAGGUACAACCUCCAUUUGAAGAAAAUCAACCCAUCUUGUAAUACCCACUCGGACCCUAAUUUUCCUUGUAGAAUUUGUUGUUGGAGUUAUGAUAAUUCUGGGGAAGCUUCUAUUUCUUGUCUGAUGGCUUUAAGAAUUUCAACUCGAGGGAAUGAAACAUUCAUGAGGUGUGGUAAGUCUUCGUAUUUUCUAAUAAAGCAUUUGCAGCUCUAUUCAACUUCCCUGCUUUAUACUCCACUCGGAAAUCAAACCCCAUUAACUUGUUGAUCCAAUGCUGUUGUGGGGAUGUUGUAAGUCGUUGGUCUAACAAGUACUUAAGACUGAAGUGUUCAGUAUGGAUGAGGAAGUGCCUUCCCCAAAGAUAGGGCUGCCAAUGAGUCACUACCUUUGCCAAACCAAUUAAUUCAUGUUCGUAGGCCGCCAACUUAAGGUGUCGAUUUGCAAUCUUGCAACUGAAAAUGCAAUAGGGUGUCCCUUUUGUUGUAAUACGGUUCCAAAUCUGCUAUCUGAAGUAUCACAUUCUACCAUAAAUUCCUCCUCAAAGUUGGGUAAUUGAAAGACUAGGGCUACUGAAAGAAAUGUUUUUAAUUGGGUGAAAGCAACAUCAGCUUCCAUAGUCCAGUUGAAGCAUUUUUCUUUAGAAGAGAUGUUAAGGGUGUAGCCACUUGUCCAUAAUUUUUAAUGAAUUUUCUGUAAUAUCCUGCCAGCCCAAGAAAGCCUCGUAGACCCUUGGUAGUUUUAAGAGUCGGCCAAUAGGUGACAUCUUUAAUUCUAGUGUGAUCAACCUCAACUCCUUUACCAUGGAUGACAUGACCGAGGUAGGUUACCUGAGACUCUCCAAAGAAACACUUGGAUUUCUUUAAGAACAACAUGUUAUCCCUCAAGAGUUCAAAAACUAAUCUUACAUGAUGUAUAUGUUCAGUCCAUGUUUUGCUAUAAACUAAUAUGUCAUCAAAGAAGACUAAAACAAACUUACGCAAAUAAGGGCGAAAAAUGUCAUUCAUCAAACUCUGAAAUAUGGAAAGGGCAUUGGUAAACCCAAAUGGCAUAAUAAGAAAUUCAAAGUGUCCAUGGUGGGUUCGGAAGGCUGCCUUUUCCACAUCUAUAGUUGCCAUUCUAAUUUGAAAAUAUCCCGACCGUAAAUCCAAUUUUGUAAAAUAUUUUGCCCCAUGAAGUUCGUCCAACAAUUCAUCAACUACAGGAAUCGGAUAUUUUUCUUUAAUAGAGCAAGCAUUAAGCUCUCGAUAAUCAAUGCAAAAACGCCAUGACCCGUCAUGUUUCUUUACCAAGAGUACUGGAGAAGAGAAUGGUGAUCUACUGGGUCGAAUGAUUCCUUGUUGUAACAUUUGAUCACACUGCUUUUCAAUUUCAUCCUUUUGAAAAUGUGGAUAUCGAUAAGGCCUAACUACAAUAGGUCUCGUUCCUGGUUUAAGAGUUAUUCGAUGGUUACAUUUGCGGUUAGGAGGUAACCCAGACGGUUCUGGGUGCUGCCCUUACCAUAGUAUCUUCUUUUUGUUUACUACAAAUUGCAUAGUUAAGGAGCUGAAAUCCCAUAAUAUUGGACCAAGGGUACAUAACCAUUUAACCCCCCAAAUCAUAUCAAACCCUUCUAAUGGUAUUGUAUAAAAAUCGGCUUGAAAAUUGUCAUUGGCCACAACGAACUGUACUAAUUUACAAAUGCCUAUGCUAGGAACCCGUUCUCUAUUUGCCACAUAUACUUGCAACCCAGAUUUCUUUUGUUUUUUCAGUCCCAAUCUUGGCAUUAGACCUUCACGUAGAAAGUUAUGUGUACUGCCCGAAUCAACAAGAACUAACACUGUUUUUCUUGACACCUUUGCUGUUAGUUGCAUAGUAGAUGAAUUGCAAGUUCUUCCAAUGGCAUGUAAAGAAAUUUCAAGAUCAUCUACCUCAUCAUCUUGCUCAUAUUCAAUAUCUAGUACUUCUAUCCAAAAUAGCCUUUUACAUCUGUGUCCCAUAGAGUAAGACUCGUCACAAUUAUAACACAAUCCCUUAGCCCUUCUUUCUGUCAUUUCUGCUCGUGUCAAUCACUUGAUAAAUGGUGCAGAAGAACCUAUUUUGUUGUUAUUCCCCAUUGGUUUCGUUGUUUGUCCUCCUCCCUUUUCAAAGCUCUUAGUUGUUGGAAUAAUUCAAGUGCUACCAGCAUUUUGGGAAGCUGACCAGUUUAGAUUGGUUUGAGAUAACAUCUUGGAAGAGACUUUUUGUUUACGUUCCAAAGCUCGAGCUAUAUUCAUUGCAACUCCAAGGUUUUCUGGUUGUUGCAUUUCAAUAUCAAUUCUUAGUUCCUCUACUAAUCCAGCAGUAAAAAGGUUUACUUGUUGCCGAGGUUUAAGAUCAGUAGUCCUAGCAAGUAGUGAUUGAAAUUGGUAUUGAUAUUCUUCUACCGUCCCAGUUUGUCUCAGGUUUACAAGUUCCCUCAAGGGGUUAUUACUCAUAGGUGGUCCAGACCUGACAUGACAACACUCUCUGAAGCAUUCCCAAUCCAGAUUUGCCUCCUCUUCUUCGAUUUGAUCAAACCACAUUUGUGCCUCUCCUAAAAGAUGGAAUGAAGCUAGGCCAACUUUGUCUUCUUCGUUGGUCCGUUGAUUGCCAAAAAAAAUUUCGCAUCUUUUUAACCAUCCUAAAAGAUCUCCAACACCACCAUAAGUGGGAAAUUCCAUCUUAGAGUAUCAUGGCACCAUGCCCCAAUCGUGUUGCGAAUCUGAAUUUCUUUUCUUGCCUCCACUGCUGCCCUAUUCUUUAUUAUUCUUUUCUGAAUCCCCUUUCGUUGUCUUUUGGACCGAAAGAGAAAACAUCGCCAUCUGCUCCUUUAAUGCUUGUUGCGUUGUAGCCAUUUGUUCCAUGAAUGCCUCCAGCUUGGCUGUCAAAGUUUUUUCAUCACCCAUGACAGCUGACUCUGAUACCAAGUUGUUAAGCGCUUUGGCAUAGGAUCUAGUCACAGGUCUAGACGAGAAAGAAUUCUUGCUUCGACCUCUGGUUACUCAAAAGGCAAAUUCGUCCUUGACUGAACCCCAUUCCCCAAACUAACGUUUGUGAUGAAAAUAAACUGCUUGCUUUAUUUUAUAUUGGCAGCCUUUUUAUAGGUUGUUAAUUACAAAGGGAAAGUCCUAAUCUAAUUCCUAAUUUAAAGUCCAAAUAGAAUUCUUAAUUUAAAGUCCUAAUAGAAUUCUUAACUUAAAGUUUAUAAAAAACCUAGUAAAGUUAAAACUCCAAAAGAAAUUAAAUAAAUGUAAAACUCUAAUUCCUAUUCCUUCUCUGAUAUUGUUUUCCAAUGAAAACAUCUAUAUCAAUCUCAUUCACAAAGAUUGUAGUCCCUUAGUUUUAGCUCUCUUAAAGAACUCAAACCUGACAACAAAGGCAACAUCCGAGCCAUGGGAUUUGUCCUCCCUUGGAUUACCCUGAAAAGAGAAGGCAAAUUUGGUAGUAACUUAUAUGAUGGUCCCUUGUGCCCAUUGAAAGAAAGAACUUUAAGAUUUUUAAAUUGAAAAAUGAAGGAUGGUGGUUCUGUUAUAGUUGUUUCACUCAAGUUGAGCUCUUCCAAAAUCUUUGUUUGCUGCAAAUUCUCCGAUAAAUUUUUCACUCUAUAACAACCGAAAAGAUCAAGAGUUUUUAGACGUUCCAUUUUCCCAUCAGUCUCCGGAAACCUUACAAGACUUGAGCAACCCGAAAAAAUUAAUGUUUCACGAGAUUCCAUUCCAAUUUUGGUUGAAAGACUCUUGAGACUUUUGUAAUCUCUUAAAUUCAAAAAUUUAAGGUUACUAAGCACUCUAAUUGAUGGAUGAAGAUCCAAUAAUUUAGUACAACCUUUUAAAAAUCAGAACUUCAAGAUUUGAUGCUUGUGUGUAGUCUAGGGAAUUGAUCCGGUUUUGGACCCAUUAUUAUUUUUAUUUUUUGAAAUAUGAAUGGCUGGAUUAUAUUAAUAAAACAAAUUCCAAAUCAUUUAGAGCCCAGACAAAACAGAAAAUAAAAGAAAGCACAGACAAAGCAGAAACAAAAAGACACCCGACAAUGCAACAAACAAACAUUAAAUAAAAGCAGGAUAAUCCAAACACCCAGGCAGACUUUCCUUUUCCCUAAACAUCUGAGAAAGCGAAACCCUUCAGAUGCCUUCUUUGUUUCGUUGAUAACCAUCAAAAUGUCUGCUCUAGAUCUUUCCGAUGCAACUGGAAGAAACCCUUCAGGUCUGGCUAAACUCUGCAUUUCAUCACUUCAAAACACCAAUCUUCCGUCAAAACUGAGAAACCCAGUAGUCAAUCUAUUCUCCGGUCUGUUUGCCCCCAGUAAAAUCCCAUUUUAUCUUCUUUCUAAGGAGUGGACCUUCGACCUGCUGGACAAAGUGAGCCCAACUGUUGACGGUCCUCUUCCGCUGCCACUUUCGCGUAUGAAGGAACCGCACCAACAAGAUAAGUUUCUUCAUCUCUCUUUAAUCCCACUGUAGCCAAUAGAUGUGCAACUCCGUUUGCUUGUUUUGGCACAUGUUUAAAGAAACAGAUUUGAUACCCCUCACAGAUUGUUCUAAUAUUUGAGAUAUAGGCUCCUAUCACUGACCUUUCAAAUCCCUUUGUUUGCAGCUUCCGAAUCACAGAUAAUGAGUCUCCUUCGAUCUCCACCCUCGAGAAUCCCACAUGCAAUCCCAUCUCAGCCGCAUUUGAGGUUCAUUAUUUUUAACUUAUACAAGGGCUGUUGAAGACCAUCAUAAAUUAGAAACAAAUGAGAAAACAUAAUAAACUUAAAUAAGGCUAUUGUGAAAGAUGAUCCAAUUAAGACGAACCUUGAAAGAGUUCACUAAUCAUAUCACGUCAACCGUUUAAUCAGGCAUUUUGCAUUAAAAAAAAUCUAUAAUUUGACUCAAAAUAAAAUCUUAUAAAUGCUAAGAACAUUUUUUUGUCAUUAUACCUUAAAUUACUAUUUAAAUUUAUAUUUUGAAAACAAAAAAUUCAAAAAAACCCCAUUAAAAUAGUAUAAUUUACAUUACAUUACAAGUAAAAAAUAACAGAUUAUAUAAUAACAUAAUCUAUUUUUUGAAAUCGUAAUUUUCUAAAUUCAUCCAGACCUAUAAAUGCGAAGUGUUGACUUCUAUUUCAACUUGACUUUUGUGGAUUGCUUACUUGCAUUAUCCUUUGAGCCAUGCUUCUAUCGGUCUACGGGGCAAACAUAAAACACCGAGAUUAUUGUUUUUGCAUUGACAUCAUUUAUAUCACUGGUAUAUUAACUUAUCUCAAAUUGAGAAAGUUUUGUUGAUAUUACAGAAAACACAACCACUAACAAGAAUAGAAAAAAGAAAUUAGACAAGAACAAAAACUAAAUCUAUUGAAUUUAAAAAAAAUAGAUUGAUUAAGUCUCACACACGAAAAAGAUUUUUCAAUUAAUUAAAAGAGCAUACUUUAUUUUCAUAUUUGAAUAAGUGUUAAAAAUAAAUGUUUAAACAUAAAUACUUUAUAAACAAUAUAAACUAAAGAGUUGGAAUACUAUUAUUUGUACUUCAAGCCAUGAAAUUUAAACGGUAGGAAUUAAACCUAUUUAAGUACUAUUAAGGACUUAUAUUUAAUUUUCUAAAUAAAUAAAAAUAAUUUUGACUGAUUAAAUUGAACACAUAAAUUAGAUUUACUUCAGUAUUAAGUAUUAAGUUGAUUAGAUUUACUUCAACCUACAAUAAAAUAUAGAUGUAAGUGAAUAUAUAUAUAUAAUAAAAUUAAAAUUAAAAAAAAAGAAAUGAAUUGAGUGACUAAAAUUUAUAAAAAAGUAAUGAAUUCACUAUUCAUGUCAUGUCAACACUAUUAACAGUUCAAUAAGCAUUUUGCAUUAAAAAAUCUAUAAUUUGACUCAAAAUAAAAUAUUAAGAGCUAAAUUGCUUUAAAAAAAAUAAGGGUUAAAUUGUCAAAUUUUAUAAACACUAAGAACUUUUUUGUCAUUAUGCCUAAUUUAAAAGGUUUUAUUUACAUUACAAUUAAAUUACUAUUUGAAUUUACAUUAUACAGGCAACAAAUUCAAAAAGUUGAUUUAAAAUACUAUAAUUUACAUGUAAAAAAACAACUAAUUAUGUAAUAACAUAAUCUAUUUCUCUAAAUUCAUCCGACCCUAUACUUGCUAAAGUGUCCACUUUCAUUUCAACUUGAAGACUUUUGUUGGUCCCUCACUUGCAUCAUCCUUUUAGCAAACUUUCAUAUUUCUACUAGCCUAGGGGACAAACAUAAAACACCAAGGUUAUUUUUGUUGCAUUGAAAUCAUCUAUAUCACUGGGGAGAAGGGAUUUUAUAGAACUGUGAUUCCAUGUCAUCCUUAUUACCUUCUAAUAGGAGAAUAACAAAAUAGAUUUUUCCUCUUGAUUUUCAGCUUUUUUUUCCUGAAAAAUUCAAAUUCAACUAAAACUAUUAAAAUUUUGAUUUGUCAUUCUCCAAUUGCAAAGGUAAAAAGAUAACGUGAAAUCACAGUUUCAUAUAAUCGUUUCUCUAUCACUGGUAUAUUAACUUACCUCAAAUCAAGAAAAUUUUAUUAAUAUCACAAAAAACACAACAGUUGAAAAUCUUGCUCAUGUCAAUAAAAAAUCAUAUCUUUAUUUCCCUAAACCCUAAUAUUAGACAAGAACAAAAAAUAAAUUUAUUGAAUUUUAAAAUAUAUAUAUAUUGGAUAUGAAUGUCUCUUACACGAAAAAGAUUUUCUAGCGUACUUUAUAUUCAUAUUUGAGUAAGUCUUAAAAAUAAAUCUCUAAACAUAAAUACUUUACAAAAAAAAAACAUAAACUUAAGAGUUGGAAUAAUAUUAUUUGUACUACAAACCAUGAAAUUUCAAUGAUACUUUUAUUAGGAGUAAUUAAACCUAUUUAAGUACUAGAAAGGACUUAUUUUUAAUCUUCAAAACAUAUAAAAACAAUUUUGACUGAUUAAAUUGAAGAGAUAAGUCGGUCUCAAAUAAAAAUGAAAUAGUUUUUAACUCGGUCCAAAUUAUGAUCUAAUAUUUAUUAAAGGAUUUCACCUUAUUGUUACCUGCUUUGUCACGGAAACUAUCCAUUUUUCUUUACAUUUUUAUCUCAAAUUGAUUAUAUUUAUUUCAACCUCCAAAUAAAAUAUAAAUGUAAGUGUAUAUAUAAUGAAAAUAAAAUUUUAAUAAAAAUGAAACCAAUCAAAAUUUACACAUUUCAGUUAUGUAAAAAGGAAUGAAUUAAGUGACCAAAAUUUUAAAUGAUAUAUAUAUAAACUAUCUUAUCAACAUUUAUGAUAUGUACAGAAUAUGACCUCCUGUUCAAUAUGAGUAAAAAAUUUAAAAUUUUUUGGUUUAUAAGAAGGGUUAUAAAUAAGUUUAGAAUGAUUACAUUAAAUAAAAGAUGUGUAAAAUAAAAAUUAAUAGGACAAGAUUGAUUAAGUAGUUUACCACAGUUAAUGCUUCUUCCCUGAUUGGCCCAUUAUAAAAUUGAAAAAUUUUUGCAUCAGUUUUGGUUGCAGCCCUUCUUCCUCUGCUUCCUCGGAGAUAUUACGUUUUUGUUGGUGGAUGUGUUCAAAAUUUGGUGAAGAUAGAGUGGAUGUGUUCAAAAUUUGGUGAAGAUAUUACCUUAAGGCUAUGACCAUUGAAAAACACAUGAAGCCCAUCACGUUUAUGAUUUAAGCAAUCUGUUGUCCUUAUAUUAUUGGUUUCACAGCCACCAUAUUUAUCCUCCAAGGAAAAUGGAUAUAAUUUAUCACGCGACCAAUAACGAAGAAAAAUGUGAUCUUUCAUUAUGGGCUUGUUGAAUCGUUUACCCACCAACCAGCCUCUCCUCUCAAUCUGUCGAGGAUUUCUACCAUACAUUAACGCUCCACAGUCGAUAAAGCCCACAUCCCUUGAAGCAUCAUUAUUGACAAAAAUGCAGCAGCAAGCAACUCCAAUCCAUUCACUAUCUUCUUGAAGGUUGAUAGGUAAGAGAAUCUUAAUAAAGAAGACACUUUUUUGUUGGCUAAACCAUUCUGGGAUUUCACUUCCUGGCAUGAUAAUAUCAAACAUUUUUCUUGAAUUUGCAAAUGCCUGCAAAAUAAAACACAAGUCGUUUGGUAACUAAAACCACAAGUUCUCAAGUGUAAGAUUUUGUAAGGGAGAAAAAGAGAGAUUAAUUGACCUUAAGAUGUUUUCUCAGCAGUGUUAAUGCAUUGAUAUUCUCAGCCAAUUUGAAGCAGUUAAAGGCUUUAAUAGCAGCCGAGUCCACUAAAUUGCAUACUUUUGAUGGACUUGCAACUACUUCCAAGUGAAGAACAACCCUCUAGCCACACAUCUUCUAUACUUGUUGGUAGCUCAGGCAACGAGUUAAGCGUCAUGCAAUUUGAUAAUGCAAGCAAUUUAAGCCUGGAAAGUUGAGUCAGAGCCAAAGGAAUGGUGAUGAAAUUGUUACCCCCAACAAAAAGAUAUCUCAAACAGGAUAGACAAGAAAUAUAACUAUGAAUAUCUGCUUCACCAAGAGUGCACAUGUUGCAAUUUGACAAUUUGAGAGAAUCAAGCUUUGAAAGUCCAGUAAGAGAUGCAGGUAUGUUGAUGAAAUUGUUACCACUAAGAUCAAGGAAUUCCAAAGAGGAUAAACCAGAAAUAUCAUCAGGAAUAUCUCCUUCACAAAGAUUGCAGUCCCUUAGCUUCAAUUCUCUUAAAGAACUCAAACUUGACAGCAAAGGCAACAUCCGAGGCAUAGAAUUUGUCCUUUCUUUCUGGAUUACCUUUAAAAGAGAAGCCUAAUUUAUUCGUAACUUAGAUGAUGGUCCUUUGCACCCAUUGUAAGACAGAAUUUUAAGAUUUUUCAAUUGAAAAAUGAAGGAUGGUGGCUCUGUUAUGGCUGUUCCACUCAAGUCAAGCUCUUCCAAAAACUCUACUUGCUGCAAAUUCUCUGGCAAAUUUUCAACUCUAGAACAACCACAAAGAUCAAGUGUUUUUAGACAUUCCAUUUUCCCGUCAAUCUCCGGAAACCUAACAAGAUUUGAGCAACCCGAAAGAAUUAAUGUUUCAAGAGAUUCCAUUCUAAUUUUAAUCGGAAAACUCUUGAGACUUGUGCAGCCUCUUAAAUUCAAAAGUUUAAGGCUCUUAAGCACUCCGGUUGAUGGAUGGACAUCUAUUAAUCUGGUACAACAACCUUCCAUUAUCAAAACUUUAAGUUUUUGUGCUGUUGUGAAGUCUGGUGUCCUGAUCAGGUUUCGGGACCCUUUGAGGUUGAUCAUUUUCAACUUAUACAAAGGCUGUUGAAGACAACAAUAAAUUACAGAGAAAUUAGAAAAUAUAAUAACGCUCAUUUUUGUAUUUUUUUACCUUAAUCAAAGUUUAAUCAUUUAUAUUAAAAUAAGUUAAAACACAAGGAUAAGAUGAGUUAAUUCUUACUAUGUUUCCUUUACAUAGUUGCUCAAUGUGACUAUAUGUUAAAAGAAGUGUGACAAGGUUGUCCGGUUGGAAGCUUGAAGACAAGUAUCUUAAAGGAUAUCCUGUCCAAUCUAAAAGUCGUAGUUCAUUAGAAAGAUAUUUGAGAUUGUCACAAUUUGAUUGGCAAAGCACUUUGAGCAAUCUCAAUUUUUUCAUCUUCGAGAAGAUAUCCACACUCAAAUUGAGCAUCUUGCUCGAUUCCCUAAUAACCAUGAGCAAAAUAAAAAUAAACUUCAAAAUAUACAAAAACAUUCGAUAUCUAAAAGCUAUGUUGCAUCAAUAUUGUUUUUUUAAGUACAUGUACCCCAUACUUAAAUCUAAUAUAUAUCCGAAUAGAGUAUUGAGAUAGGAUUGAACAUAUUAAACAAUACUCUAUCUAACACUUACAUUCAUCUUUUAAUUACCUAAACCUAAAAAAAUUAGAACUAAUAUUUUAAUUUAUGUUUGGUGCAAUAAUAUGUAAUUCUAUACAUUAUUGGUGAACCAAAUGAUCGCAUAACUUGGAUUUAUUUUUGAAAACUUUUAAUGACAUGAUAUAACCUAGUUGAUUGAUAUAUUGUCAUUACAUAAAAUAUAAACCAUCAAUAUUAGUAAACACAAUGACAUACAUCUCUUUAUAAUUUCCUGUGAAAGAGUAUUGUGUUUCUAUAUAAAAUAUAAUAAAUAUAUCAUCAAAACAUUAAGUAUUAAGAUUGUGCUUGGUUAGGUGAAAAGUGGAGGAAUAUGAGGAUGAAAUGGAAAAGUAAUAGUGUCAAGAGAAAUAUAUUUUCCAUUCAAUUUCCAUCUUUUCUACCAAACACAUCUAUGGCAAAAAAAUUUAUGUUUUCCAUCCUUUCAGUUUUUUUAUCCUAAUUUCUUUCCACUCUACCAAGAAAAGCCAAAAAAGGUUUUGUCAUUUUUAUUGGAUAUUUUUCAAAAAAUAAUAAAAAUAUUAAUAGUACAUAUUGAUAAAUUUAUGUAUGUAUUCUUACCUUUUAUUGUCGAUGAUCAUGCCUUCAAUCACUUUGGUUGCCUAAAAAGAAUCAAGAAUAGACAAUAAGAAGACAAAAUAAAUGGUCUAAAUUGUACAAAAAAAACUUUUGAAAAAUUACAUACGUGCUCAACAUUAUCACAAUCUUUUGGUCAAAAUAUAGUAAAUAAAAUAUUUUAAACAAAGUAAAACAUUUACUAAUGAGAGUAAUUCAAUAAAAUUAGACACUUGUAUUACAAAUCCUUAUUAAUAUUUAUAAUCAACAAAUGAAAAUUAUCUUAAAGUUACUCAAUGUUACUUAAGGGUUGAUACGUAAAUCGAUUAGAUUAAGCUUUGGAUUUACAUCAUAUAUUGAUAGAAAUAAAAUUUUGUAUGUAAUUUUUGUUGAAUGAUUUACCGUGUUUUUUACUAGAACAUGAUGGACAUCGCUUUCCUUCCACAAUCUACAACGUUUUCCAGGUUUAUCAACACAUUUUUCUUCAACAAUUUUUCUUCCCAUUUCUUGCAAUAAGGCAUGCAUCCUCAAAUAUUGGUUGUCAUCGCUGACUUUUAUAAGAGAUUUCUUAAUGAGAACAUCGAUUCCAAUAUUCGAAAAAAACUCACAACCAUCUAAUACUUUCAUUACCAAAUCUUUCUUCUCCCCGUUGAAAAAGCAUACUAUAUCUAGAAAUAUAUUCUUUUCCCUUUCUUCCAGUCCAUCAAAGUUGAUUCUUAGUGUGUCAAGAAUUUCUUUGUUAGAAUCUUGUUUAAGUCUUUCAAUUGCACUUCUCCAUUGAGCUAAAUCUCUACCGUACAAAAAAGAACCCAAGAUUUCAAGAGCUAAGGGGAGACCACCAGCGUAACGUACAACAUGUUUAGAGAGCUCAAUAAAAUCAUCUUUUAGUACUGUAUCACUAUCAAAAGCUUUCAAAUUGAAAAGCCUAUGUGCAUCGUUUGGAUUCAAUGUUGUAGGUUUAUACACAUCAUCGAUUCGAUAAGAUCGGAGCAAUUAUUCAUCUCUUGUUGUUACAAUGAUCCUACUCCCUAAAUUGAACCAAUUACGUCUUCCAACCAAGCAUUUCAAGUGUUGUACGCUAUCAACAUCAUCAAGAACAACAAGAACUUUUUUGCUAGACAAUCUACAGCUAAUUUUGGCAUUCCCUUCAUGAACAUUGAAAAAGUUGAGGCAUUCAUCUGGCAUGAUUUGAGAAAGAAGUUGUUUCUGUAAAGAAACAAGUCCAUGUUUGUUUGAAACUUCUCGAAUAUCAGCAAAAAAACAUUUACCUUCAAAAUGAGAUGAUAUUUGACUGCAAACAACCUUUGCAGGAGUUGUUUUACCGAUGCCACCUAUUCCGCAAAUUCCAAUGAUGCGGACAUCGUCUUCCCCAAUGUUUAUUUUCGAAUACAACUCCUCCAAACGUAAACUAAUUCCAAUACUCACCAUGAUCAUGAUCAAUUGGAUAUAUCUGAUCUAAUUUUGCUAAUAUCUUCUUAUCAAUGUCUCUGAUAAACUCUGGUUCAUGCCUACAAUGAAAUAAAAAAUCGUUGCUAUCUUUCAAAUGAUCUUUUUCAUUUUUAAUUCAACGAAUCAAGAAAUAUAAUAUAGCUGGAAGCAAACAAAAAGCAAGAAUAAGACAGUAAGAUAUAUUAUAACAUCAAAAUACAGAAGUUGCUCGUUAGAAUUCUUAGUUAAACACGAAAUCAUAAAAAAAUAACAUGCAAUAAAAUAAAAAACAAUCUUUUAGUCAUUAAAACUAGGAAAUAUGGAAGAAAAGAAAGAAAUACCUAUUAUUUAAAUGCCAUCCCGAGAUGUUAGCCACUUCAGUCGAAGCAUUUCGCCACUUUUGGAUCUUGUCUUUAUCUUUCUUGUAUCUUUCUUCGUGUUUGGCGAAGGCUUCUUCAACUUUUCCCUUCUUUUUUCUUAAAUCGGAUGGAUCCACGUCAUAGAAAAUUGGAAAUACUUCAUGACCCUUGUCAUUUUUCUGUUUAACAAUCUCCGCAAGCUCCUCCAAGCACCAACCUGAAAAGGCAUAGGUCUCCGAAAAAACGAUUACCGAGCACCAUGAUUGCUGAAUUGCUUUGAAGAGUUCCGGUGCGAUCUCUUCACCGGCCUCCAACUUUGGAUCGUCUCUAAAAGUGACAAUCCCACUUCUAUUUAGAGCAUCGUAGAGAUGAUCCGUAAAGUUCUUGCGGGUAUCUUCACCUCUAAAACUCAAGAAAACAUCGUAUUUCUUUCUAGAAAUGGAUGAGGAAGUCGAAAGUAACGACAACAUGAGGAUAUAUGAAAAGAAAAAUAUAUCUCAAUCUGGUUUUGAAAUUCAGAAAAAUAUAGAUGGGCCAAUGCACCAGAAAGAAACUAGAAACAUUAAGUAUAUGAGAAUGAAAAAGGAGAAAAACAGAUGAAGUUUCGAGGGAAAAACAAAGGAUUUUUGUAAGAAAUUUCUGUUUUACUUUUCGAAAUGAAUCUACCAUGAAAGGGAGUCGGUGUGGAAAUUCGGGGUUAUAGCUGUUGUUUCCGGGAAGAUUCCAUGAAGGUGAGAGUUGACAAAACGGAGCCUUCAAUGGGUUGGAUGGUUUGUGUUUUACUUUUUUUAUUUUUACAUUAUCAUAUCCACCUUAUAGUCAGCAGCUUCUAAUAUAAGAUAUGUGAUUUUAGAGAACUUUAAUAUUUAAUUAAUUUUUUUAAAUAUUACACUCUUAAUUAUAGUAAUUAUUAUAAGAUUUUUUAUUUAAAUUAUUGAAUAUAAGUAAAGAAUCUUAAUUUAAUAAUUUAAAUAUUAUAAUAAAUAUAUAUUGAAUCGAAUUGGAAAGCGCAUGUUCCAUUAAUGAAUUAUGCUCGGUUGUUACUUCAGAAUGGCUGAUAAAUAGGGGGCAUAGACUGUGGUCUUUACAGAAUUUAUUUGGGGAUAUCAACUGUGGUACUAGGCAGAUGGCUCAAUUUCAGGUUGCAGUUACUCAUCGACAAAGUAAUGGUACGGAAGAUGCUGUAUAUUGAGAUCUUCUUUUUUUAAUUUCUCAUGGUGAAUUGGAUAGAUGUUUUCUUGUACUUGUUGUGUACUGGUUUUUGUAUCUAGAUGUCAGUUGUGAUAUUGUUGUACUCAUGUUGCUCUUGAAAGAGUUGGUGGUUCCAACGUCUUUCUUGAAGUAUUUCUUCGAUUGAGCAAAAAAAAAAAUUUUUUUUAAAAGAUUAUAAUAGAUAUUUUUAAAAAUGAUAAUUAAAAUAUUUUUAACAUAUUUAACAUACAAUAUAAUUUUCCUUUAUAUAACUAAUGUAAAAUAAUAUUAUUUUUAAAUAUAAAUUUAGUAAUAUGAAACAAUAAAAAAUAUUUUCAGUCAGUUAAAAAUCAUCAACUUAAAUAUAAAUUUAGUAAUAUGUGGAUGUACUUGUUAUGAGCACGAGGAAGGAGAAAAACACACGAAACAACAAUCAACUUUUAUAAGAAAUUUGUGUAUACUUUCCCACCUUUUACUUUUCCAAAUGAAUCUAAGUUGACGAUAAUACCUAUUAAAGGGUGUAGGUGUGGAAAUUCCGGGCUAUAGAUGUUUCCUGGAAGACUACAAGACGGUGAGAGUUGGCAAAAUGUAGCCUUUUAUAGACCAAAUUGGGUUGGGUUUAGUCUGAGCCCAAUUAAAAUUUUAGACCCGUUUAUUAAAUUUAGGCUCAGUUUCAUCUAAAAAAUAAAUUUAAAUUUUUUCAUUCUCAAUUCAGAUAAAAAUAAUAAAAUUCGAGCUUGGCUUGUCUAUAUUAGAUUUUUAUAUUAUUUUUACAUGAAUUUUUUAAAAAUAAUAUAAUACAUUAAAAAUACUAAAAAUAUUAAAAUAAAUAUUUUCUAACAAAAUAAAAAUAAAUUAAAAAAUAUGUAUACUUAAAUAUUAAAUAUUAAUGUUAUUUAAGAACGAAAAAAAAAUUUAUUUGAACAAAGAACACUGUUAUUUAAGUUACAAAUAUGUAUUAUAUUAAUCUUAUCCUAAUAACGGUGUUAUAAUAGCAUGCUAUUGUAACGUUUUUAAGUAACAAAUACAAACAAUAUUUUUUUGUUUUUUAACCUUGUGAAGUUCUUAAUAACACUGCUAUUUAUUUAAUAACAUGCUAUAAUAAUAAUGUAAUAAUAUAUUAAUCCUAUUUGAAUCGGAUUUAAUAUAUUAGUAACACUAAAUUUUAAAAUAUAUAUAUGUUUAAAUAACCGUGUUAUUGUAACACUAAGAUAAGUACAACUUAACAAGUAAAUAACUUUAAAGUAGCAACAAAAUUAACAAUAAAAUAAGAGUUAUACAAUAUUCAAACAAUAAAAUAAGAGUUAUAUAAUAUUCAACCAAUAACAACAUAAUAGUAAAAUGGUAGCAAAAUAGUGAGAAAACAACUAAAAAAUAGCAACAAACCAGUAAAAAAUAAUAUUUUUUUCCAAAUUCUGGUCGGGCCGAGCUUAGGCCAAAAAAGCCUUACCUGAGGCCCGACCAAUUUUUUAAACGAGCAUUAUCUUUUUGUCCAAACCCAAUUUUCGGGUCUAUAUUUUUGUCCAAACUCUUCCACUUUUCGGGCAGACCUUUGGGUUGAGACGAGUAGUCCAACCCAUGGACAGGCCUAUCUACAAUUAUUAUUAAGUAAUAAGUAAAGUGUUGGAUGGUUUGUAUUUUACUUUUUUUUUUUUUUUGCAUUAUCAUAUCUACUUUAUGAUUACUAGCUUCUAAUGUCACAUAAGUUGGUCACAAAUGAAAAUGAAAUAGUUUUAACUCAGCCAAAAUUAUGACCUAAUUCUCAUUAAAGGAUUUCGUCUUAUUAUUACAUACUUCGUCACAAAAGUUAUCCAUUUUUUCCACAUUUUUGUCUCAAGUUGAUUAUAUUUACUUCAACCUUCAAAUUGUUAUCAAAAUGUAAAAAGGAAUGAAUUAAGUGACUAAAAUUUUAAAUGGUAUAACAAAAAAACUAUAUUAUCAACAUUUGAGAUAAGUAUAGAAUAUGAGCUCAUGUUCAAUAUGGAUACAAAUAAAAAUUUUAAUUUUUUUUUUGGUAGAUAAGAAGAUUAUGUCUCAUAGGCAAAUUGUUAAAGAUGACCAGCAACGCAACAACAAGGAUGUUUUGGUGCUUAAUCAUGCAGCUGUUUUUUUUUUUCAAACUAGUUUAGUUUAUUUGUAAUCAAUCUUGUUGGUGUAGAAAGACUAGUUAGUUUAUUUGUUUAUGUUUAGGUGAUGAUUUAGCUUAUAAGUCAACUUGUUUAUGUGUUCAAGUUAUGUUUUGUGAGUUUCAAUGUCAUUGGUGGGAGUUGUUAUGUAUUAGGCAAUUGUUUGUAACAAAAGUGAACAAUUGCCUUAAUGAAAAUCAUAUUAGCUACGAGUUUUUGCUAAUCAUCUUUCAUUCUUCUUCAAUUUUCUUUUCUUCUAUAUUUUUCUAUUUUGGUAGCAAAAACUCGACAAAUGUUAUCAAGAGUCUGUCAUCUUUGAGGGCCUUUGUUCUUUGAUGUUUGUUCCUUAUUGUUUGUUUGGAAAGAAAGAAACAUUCAUUGUUGUUUGUUUGAAAAGAAAGAAACAUAAGUUGUUUUUGUUACUAUAAAAAAAUUGAGUUUUUCACCUCUACCACCACCUAUUUUUGCAAGUGAAAACUACCACAUAUGGGUAGUGAAAAUGAAAACUUAUUUACAGGCUCAUGAUUUGUGGAGUGUGGUUGAGGCUGAUGCAGAAUCACCUCCAUUGAGAGCUAAUCCUACCAUAGCUUAAAUUAGACAAUAUAGUGAUGACUGUGCUAAGAAAUACAAGGCAAUGUCCUGCCUACAAAAUGGAGUAUCAGAUGUGAUCUUCACCAGAAUAUGACAUGUGACUUUCCAAAGCAGGCUUGAGAAAAGCUAAAGGAAGAGUUUUAGGGGUUUGAUAAAACAAGGCAACACUAGUUGAUAAAUUUGAUGAGAGACUUUGAAAAUUUAAAGAUGAAAGAGUCAUAAUCGAUCAAGCAAUAUUCUGAUAGGAUAAUGGCCACAGUCAACAAUAUCAGAUUGCUUGGAGAUGACUUCAGUGAUAGAAGAAUUGUUCAGAAAGUUAUCACAACUCUUCCAGAAAAGUAUGAGUCAAAGAUCUCUUCAUUGGAGGACUCGAGAGAUUUAUCAAUUAUCUCAUUGUCAAAGUUAAUAAAUUCUCUUUAUGUAUAAGAGUAAAGAAGGGCUAACAGAUUGGAGCUUUUCAGGCCGGAAGCAAGGAUGGCUCAACAUCAAAUUGUAAGGGAAAGAAACCUUAGUCAGAAAAGAAAGAGAAGCUAAAGAGAGAAGGUGGAAAGAAAAUGUUCCCACCAUGCACUCACUACAAGAAGUCCACACAUUUAGAAAGAUAUUAUUGGUAUAGGCCUGACAUCUAGUGUAAAAGUUGCAACCAACUAGGCCAUAUGGAGUAAGUUUGUAAAAAUAAGGAAAACCCAUAAUAAUAGCAGUAGAAUCAAGUUCAAGCUUAAGCUACUGAUGACAACCAAGUUCAAGAUGAUCAUGUUUUCACUACAUCCUAUUUUGCAACCUCCAGUAGGGUAAAAAAGGAUUGGCUAAUUGAUAGUGGCUGCAUACAUCAUAUGACAUUAGAUGAAAGAAUAUUCAAGGAGUUAAACAUCAGUUUUGUUUCAAAAGUUAGAAUUUGGAAUAGAAAUUUCAUUAAAGUCGAAGAGAGAGGAGAGGUCGUGGUCAACACUCACUAAGGUAUCAAAACAAUCUCAGAUGUCCUUUUUGAACCUGAAAUUGAUAAAAAUUUAUUUAGUAUUGGUCAGCUUAUAGUGAAAGGUUAUUCUCUCAUUUUCAAAAAUAAAGUCUAUGUAAGGUUAUUCUCUCAUUUUCAAAAAUAAAGUCUAUGUGAUUGUGGACUCAUUUGGUUAGGAGCUAGUAACAGUGGACAUGGUUGAUAGAUGUUUUAUUCUAGAUGUAAAUUAGUUAACAACGAAAGUUUAUGCUAGUCUAAUUGAUGAAUCAUGUUUAUGGCACAAAAUAUUAGGGCAUGUUAAUUACAGAUCACUUAGUUUGUUGCACAAGUUGGAUCUAGUUGAAAAUAUGUCUAAGGUUGAUGUUAAAGAUGAAGUUUGUGAGGUCUAGAGCUUGGGAAGCAAGCCAGAUUUAUCAUUUUUAGUCAACACAACUUGGAGAGCUCAUAAUAAGCUUCAACUGGUCCAUAAUGUGGACCCAUGAAGACUUCCUCUCUAAGUGACAAUAGGUAAUUUGUUUUAUUUAUUGAUGACUGCAUAAGGUUUUGUUGGGUAAAAUUUUUGAAGCAAAAAUAAGAGGUAGCUUAUUUCUUUUGCAAGUUUAAAUGCUUAAAUGAAAAUCGGGCAAACUAUAAGCUUAAGGUCUUAAGAUCAAACAAUGGCACUGAGCACUUGUCAGAAAAGUUUCAGAAGCUUUGCGUAGAGGCAGGAAUUUAGCAUCAACUGACUACAAUUUAUACACCUAAGCAGAAUGGUGUUUGUGAAAUAAAGAAUCGAAUAGUGUUGGAUAUGGCUAGGUGUUUGUUAUUUAAAAGCAAAUUGCCAAACACUUUUUGGGUUGAGCCAGUGAAUACCUCAGUGUAUUUGCUUAAUAGGUUACCAACUAAUGCAGUGAAAGGAAAGACACCUUUUAAAGCUUCGUUUGGACACAAACCAUCUAUUUCACAUUUGAAAGUGUUUGAUUGCAUCUAUUAUGCACUUUUACUAGCUAAAAAGAAAAGCAAGUUAGAGAGAAAGUCAAUGCUUGGAUUUUUUGUUGGCUACAAUAGCACAAAGAAAGAGUACAGGGUUUUUGAUCCUUCCACCAAUAAGAUUUUUGUGAGUAGGGAUAUGAAGUUUAAUGAAAAUAGUGGAUGGAAAUGGUAUGGCACAGAUGCAACUUUGCUUGAACAAGAUAAAAAAGAAAGUGGUCUACAGCUAGUUGAAAAUGAAAUUCAUUUUGAUGUAGGGUUUGAUGACAUACCUAUUAGGGGUACAAGGCCAAUCACUAACAUUUAUCAAAUGUGUGAUCUGGCCAUUUUGGAGCCUUAAAUUUUUUAUGAAGCUUCCAAAGAAGCUUGUUGGAAAGAAGCAAUGCAAGCAGAAAUGGACAUGAUACACAAGAAUGAUAGAUGGGAACUGGUUGAUAGGCCAGUCCAGAAAAGAAUCAUUGGCGUAAAAUGAGCAUUCAAGACCAAGUAUAAUGAAAAUAGGUCACGGAAUAAGUGCAAAGCAAGUUUAGCAGUGAAGGGACACAUCUAACACAUGGAGUCCAUUUUUUAGAAACAUUUGCACUAGUUGCAAGGUUAGACACUAUAAGGCUCCUAUUUGCUUUAGCAACUCAAAAAAUGUGGAAUAUAUACCAGUUGGAUGUAAAAUCUACCUUUUUGAAUGGUUUUUCUCAAGGAGGAGAUUUUUGUUGAACGACUAGAAGGGUUCAAAGUGAAUGGUAAAGAAUCCAAAGUUUGCAAGCUUAAGAAAGCCUUGUAUGGCCUAAAACAAGCUCCAAGGGCAUGAUAGAAUUGAUGCUUAUCUGCCACAGCUUGGGUUUUAAAAAAGUGUCGAAACCAUUUUUAAAAUCGAGUUUUAGGAAAAUGGGAAUCGACUUUAAAAAUGAAAACGGGAGUCACCACUAAUCUUUUUAGGUGUGAUUGGAUCACCUUAUAAAAUGUUUUGUUUUAAAACAUUAAUUUUGGUCUACGAAAGUCGAGAAAACGGAUUCGGGAGUCGGUUACGUACGAGUAAGGGUUAGCACCCUCGUAACGCCCAAAAAUUGGUACCUAAUUGAUUAUCAAGUGUCUUUAAUGUCGGAAAUUAAAAAAUUUUAAGAUGUAGUCCUCUUUAAAAUAUUUUAAUUUUGAAAAUUUGGGUUCACCCGUAUCAAAGUAUUGACACUAAGUUAACCUUUUUUGGAAAUUCUUAUCUCGAAACAACAAAACGCUAUAUCCAAUAAGUUAGGACAUAUUGCUUUAAAAUUCCAAGAUAGUGGCUUGCAUUUAGAAAACCUUUAAAAAAACUUAGAAGGGUACUUGAUUAUUCAAACUCAACGAGAAAAGUGGCAACCCAAUAAGUUAGGGCACUACUUUCUCGAAAUUUCCAAACACCAAGCAUUGCCUUUAUAUUUUUUUGAAAACUUUGGAGUCUCAUUUUUAAAAAAAAAUGUUGCAUAAGGAAUCACAUUAUCACUAUAGAAUAGAAUAUUGCAAUAAUAAGCGAAUAAAACAUGCAUUUUAACGAUACAAUAGCAAUAAUACAAAAAUCAUAUACUAGAUGCAUACAUUUUAGAAUUACAUAACAUCAUAUAUACAAAGAUACAUAUAACCUAUAUUGAAGAUGGAUAAGCAAAACAUACAAACAUACAUAGUAAUAAUUAAGAAAUGAUACAUGAUACACAAUUUAAAAGAAAUAUAAUAUCGAUGUACAUGUUCACAAAAUAUAACAUCAAGUAAUAAAUAUAAAAAAACACUUAACACACAUCAUACAUAAUAUAAAAACUACAUAAAAGAAUUAAUAUAUAUAAAAUAUAAUAUAAGGUGAAUAAUUGUUAACAAAAUAUACAUAUAAUACAAAUAAAAAUAUGACAUUUAAUAAUAAUUUUAAAAUAGUAUUUAAUUAUACAAUAUGUAAUAUAUAAUAACAGAAUUUAAAAAUAUAUUGUUUUAAAAAAAUAAUGUAUAAGAAUUUAUAUUUAUAAUAAAAUAAUUUUAGUGUAAGUUUAGCAUAAUAUAAAAUAAGUAAUUAAUGAUGAAAUAUACAUGUUAUACAAAUUAUAAUAUUAUAAUAUCCUCAAAAUAUGUAAUAAUAGAAUAUAAAUAAAGUAAUUAUUAAUAUAUAAAUAAAGAUAAGUAUAUAAUACAAGUUAAAUCCUUUAAUGAUAAUAACAUAUAGAUAAAAAAUAUAUAAUAGUAUAAAAAAAUGACAUAAUAAUAUAAAAUAAUAUAUAAUAUGUAUGUAAAAAUAAGGUAUAGUAUAUAUACAAAUAUUUAAUAUAUAAUAUAAGUAAAAAUAUAAUAACCAUAUAUAAAUAAUAAUGUAAAAUAAUAAUAAUAUAAAAUAACAUAUUGUUAAAAUGUAAGAUAAUAUAAAGAUAAAGAUAUUUAAAAAUUAAGUGGUAAAAAUAUAGUAUAGAUAUAGGAAAAUAAUAUACGAUAAAAAUAUAAGUAGUAUUUUUAAUAAUAAUAUAUGUAUAGCUUUUAAAAAUAAAUAAGUUAUAUAUAAAAUAAAAUAACAAAAUUUAAAAAUAGUAAAAACAAGGGUUAAAGUUGAAUUUAAAUAGACUUAUAAGGCUAAUUUGCAAAAUAGUAUAAGUUCUGGGCUUGAUUUGCAAGAAUUAAGACGACAAAGGACUCACUGGGCAAUUUGCCCUAAUCCUAAGCGACGUUGUUUCCAGAAUGCAAUAACUGUUGGGACUAAAUUAAAACUAAAACAAAAUAAUAGGGCCAAAUCAUAAAUAAAAUAAAGCGUAAUUAUAAACUAAAAAGGGUGGAAGGACCGAUUGGGUAAUUAACCCAAUUCUAAAAAAUACGCGGAUCAUCCCCGGGUAAUCGGGUCAACGCGCGGAUCCUGAGGCCUUUAAAUGACGUCGUUUUUAGGCUUAUUAACUUAAGCUAAAAUGGUGCCGUUCUGUUAAUGCUAUAUAAGCCAAUUUUUAGUUUUUGAAUCAUUUGAAAUCUGUUUUAAAAAAAAAAGAAAAAACUCUUUGAAGGAGAGUUGGGGAGGGGUAUUCGGAGGGUCACCGGACCUCCAUCUAGGGGUCUACAUGCGCUCACGCGCCCCCGUUGCCUCCACCGCACAUGGUGGUCAGAGGUUUAAAUACCUUUGUUCCCUCAAGCAAAACCCAGGUAACCUCUUUGUCUUUUUAACAUCCACAGUUUUUUACUAAAACAGUUCAUAUAUAUAUUCAAAAAUAAAACACGAGACACAUGAUUAAAUCACCUUUUCUAAAAACUGUUGGUAUUUCCUUGAACGAAUCUAUGUAAGUAGAUUUCUAUUCUGUAAAAAAGUCCCUUUACACUGUUCUGAUUCGGGCUUUUAUAGCCACUGUUGCUAUUACAUUUUUGGAAAGAAACCUUUUCUUCCAUGUUUAUUUUGUUUGCUGUUGCGUUUCUUUCCUUCUUUUAUAGGUAUCAUCAAGGAAUCCGGCAAUGACAGUGCUGGUGUGGAUUCUUGGUGUUGGUGAGGCGCUGAUUACGGAGGCAGAGCCUUGAGUGAUGGCCUCGAUUGGAGAGCUGGACAGACGCUCCCCGAACCUUCUAGAACCUGUUGCGGUGCGAGGGGAAAGAGCUAGGGUUGAAAACCCUAGCUGAUAAUUUUGGGUUUUUGGGCCUCUGUUGUUUGGGUCUAGUUUAGGUCUGGGCUUCGGGUGCAUUUGGGUUAAGGUUGUAAUUGUAAUGGGUCUAGGGUGUAAACGGGUUAAGGGAUAGUUUUAGGCCUGCUAGGUAGUAAUCGGUCUAUUUGGGUAUAACGGGCCUGAAGUAUUUGGGCCAAAAGGGUUUGAGCUAAAGGAUAUUGGGUUAGUUUAGGGUCUGUUGGGCUGGUUAUUUUAUUUGGUUUUGUAACCUGGACUGUUUUUUGAAUGGACUUAAAUAAAUAUUUAUUUAUUAUUUUGCUUUUGGGUUUUAAAACCCAGUCAAAUUUGGGCUACUACAGUUGCCCCUCUUUGCUCAUUGCUGUGUAACAGGAAUUGAGCAAAGACUCAGAAAGACCAAAUUUGACCGGUCUUAUCAUGGUCUUCAAUCUGCUUCUCGUAAACUUAUGACUGUCAUGUUGGUAUCUUCGAUCUGCUCUCCGCCAAACACAGAGACGCCAAAUUUGCUUCUUCGAUUGUUCCUUGUAAGCACCAGGGUACCAAACCAUCUUGGAUCUGCUUCAGCAUAAACAUCUGAAGGUGAGAUCUGCUAUGUAUCUGCUCUUCCUCAAAGUGAAGAACCAGACUUUGAUUCAUUCUCUGACAAUACAGAGAUGCCAAAUCAUCUUAGAUUUGCUUCAGCGUAAACACGUGAAAGCCAAAUCAGCUAUGUUUUCGAUUUGUUCCUUGUAAGCACAAGGAUGCCAAACCAUCUUGGAUCUACUUCAGUAUAAACAUCUGAAGGUUGGAUCUGCUAUGUGUCUGCCCUCCGUCGAAGUGGAGAUUCCAGACUUCGAUUUGUUCUCUGACAAUACAGAGAUGCCAAAUCAUCUUAAAUUUGUUUCAACGUAAGCACGUGAAAGCCAAAUCAGCUAUGGCUUCGAUUUGCUCCUUGUAAGCACAAGGAUGCCAAACCAUCUUGGAUCUACUUCAGUAUAAACAUCUGAAGGUUGGAUCUGCUAUGUGUCUGCCCUCCGUCGAAGUGGAGAUGCCAGACUUCGAUUUGUUCUCUGACAAUACAGAGAUGCCAAAUCAUCUUAGAUUUGCUUCAACGUAAACACGUGAAAGCCAAAUCAGCUAUGUUUUCGAUCUGCUCUCCGCCAAUACAGAGAUGCCAAAUCCGGUAUCUUUGAUCUGCUCUCUGACAAUACAAAGAUGCCAAAUCUGCUAUCUUCAACUCGUUCCCUAUAAACACAGGGAUGCCAUGCUGAAAUCUUCGAUCUGCUUCGCUGUAAGCACAUGAGUGUCAGAUCUGUUAUCUUCGAUCUGUUCCCUAUAAACAUAGGGAUGCCAAAUCUGCUAUCUUCAUCUUGUUCCCUAUAAACACAUGGAUGCCAUGCUGAAAUCCUCGAUCUACUUUGCUGUAAGCACAGGAGUGUCAGAUUUGUUAUCUUCGAUCUGUUCCCUAUAAACAUAGGGAUGCCAAAUCUGCUAUCUUCAACUUGUUCCCUAUAAACACAGGGAUGCCAUGCUGAAAUCUUUGAUCUACUUCGCUGUAAACACAGGAAUGUCAGAUCUGCUAUCUUCGAUCUGUUCCCUAUAAACAUAAGGAUGCCAAAUCUGCAAUCUUCAACUUGUUCCCUAUAAACACAGGGAUUCCAUGCCGAAAUCUUCGAUCUUCUUCGCUGUAAGCACAGGAAUGUCAGAUCUGCUAUCUUCGAUCUGUUCCCUAUAAACACAGGGAUGCCAAAUCUUGUUUCUUUGAUCUACAUUGUCCCAUAAAAGACAUAACCUGUAGAAUGCGUAUGAGUUCAUGCCUAAUAAUUAGGAUGCUAUGAUCGAAGUGAGUCAAAUUCUCCUAAUUAGACAUGUUAUAAUGCAAAAUGUUAUGAAAAUGAUUCCUAUUUUGGAUGUCAUCACUCAUUCCUUCAUCGAAGUUUAUCCUUACUUCUCUCGAAGUCUCAUUCCAACUCAACUUGUGGGUUUGUACCAUUCUUCAAAUGCUAUGACCUGCUGAAAAUGUCUGUAAGAUGAUCCUCUCCUAAGAUCGAAUCGUUUGAUUUGUUCAAUCAUCAUUUAGACUGAAGAAGAAAUUUCAGUUUCCCGGAGUACAUCCGACCCUCACAUAUGGGAAUUCCUUAAACAAUUGUCUUGUUUCAGUUUCUUUUAUUAUCUAGAAAUUUCCAGAGUAAUAUGCAAAACUUCAUUUGUGAAGAUAUUUUAGUUCAUCUAUCAUUAUUUCAAUGCAACAUGCUUUAUGAAUAAUAGGAGACAAAUAAAUUGAUCCUGAGGAUAAUUAGAUUUGGACAAAUUAUUGGAAGGAAUAUAAAAAGAUUAACUUGAGAACAUAUCUUUGCGAAGAAAAAGAAUCCAAAGAUAGUAAAUAGGACAGAAAUCAGAUGCCCCAGAUAUCGCCGCUUGAGCGUCUAUACACCAGCUCCAUGAAGGCUUUCUUAAGUUCAACAUGUGUUUAAAAGAUCCAAAGUAAUUCGUUGAUGCCUCGAUAUACUUCACUUCUCUUCGAAUCCGGUAUAGCAAAGUCACUGCAUUACUUUCCAAAUUUGAGCUGCCCUUUCGGGUUUUCAACUGAAAACCCCUUUUGUCUCAAGGCGCCCUUUGCGGGUUUUCACCUUGGCCUCUCCAUUUUUUCUUUUUUCUCUUUUUUAUUUUUAUUUUAUUUUAUUUUUUUCUCUUUUUCUUUUCUUUUUUUCCUUUCUUUUUCUUGAAAUAGAAGUCCCAAAGUACCCUUUGCAGGUUUUCACCUUGGCUUCCCUUCUCCUUCAGAUAAAGUACUCCUUGACCGAGUCCGAAUUCACUGGAUCAGAUAAAUUCUUCCUAUCCAUUUCUUGUCAAAAUCAGUGCACCUCUAGAGAAAGCCCUCUUUGCAACAUAUGGCCCUUCCCAAUUCGGCAUCCUUUUGCAUGGGAAGGAUCUCUUUCAGCACAAGGUUUCCUUUAUGAAAUUCUUUUGGACGAACCUUCUUUGUCAUAAGUCUGUGUCAUCCAUUCUUGGUACAUUUUCUUAGGAUGAAUACUUUCAAGUUAAGUUUACUAGAGGUAUUCAAUUCUUGACUCCAUCAAAUCUUGGAGGAAAAAUCUUGAUUCAUAAACCCAUGAGAAAGGGAUUGCCCUAGCAGCAGUCCUAGCUGUUGUUUGUCAAACCCUACAAAAAGAUGGUUCAAUGAUUCUCAGCAGACCUUGUUGACUUUAUCCUUCAACCUGGAAAGCUGAGGUACAGAGAUUACUCCCUGAGCAUACAUCCCACCAUGACUCAAUGAUGUUUCUGAAACAUCCCUAAUCUUCAUAAAUUGCCCCCAACUGUGAAGCUGCCAAAUGAGCGUAGCAAAUAGGAGCCAUAAAAAAUAUGGCUGUGGUGCUCCUUUGAUACAUAUAGGAUAGAGAAUGAACAAAAUCUUGCAGAUCAUCAGCCGAAAACCUAGCCUGGUCUAAGAGAACAUGAUAGUGGGUCUGCCUCGUGAUUCCAAUCAUUCCAGCAUGGGUACCAAGGUAAAAAUCAUUAUUCUUUGGAUGGCAUACUUUGUUGUCAAUGACAGUACCAUGUAGCACAUUGUCAAGAGAUCCCUGCUGAAAAAAACUUGGUAUGAUAGUUUUUCGUACAACAAUAACCACAAUCUUUAGGGUUCCACUUCUCGUCAAGGAACUUGCAAGCCUCAAUAACUUGAUCAAAACUUGAUUUAAUUGAGACUCGCUAACUCCAUCCCUAAAAAUAAUGAUUUGAUCAGGUUUCCUCUUCCGUGAACUUGUAUAGAAGUCUAAGAGAGCUUCCUUCAUGAUACUGUUAUCCACUUUGUCAGAAACUGGUUUUGAACAAAGAAUCUAUCAUUUUAAUCUUCAGAGAUUGUGUACGGCCUGAUGCCCUAUAGCUGGAAAUCAAUGGCCACCGCUUGGAGCUAACCAUCGCAACUAUUGACGGCACAUCAGACUGCUCAGGAAAGCCAAACAAUGUACCCAUUCCAAGGAUGAUGGUUGGAACCUUUGAAACAACUGGAAUUGAAGGUGUUUUCCCCAGCGUAAGCAUAGAGAGUAGGCUGUAGUUUCUUAUGCCAAUUUUUACCAGUCUCGGUCAUCUUCUAUAAUUUGUUUUCUUUUUCUUUUUCUUUUCUUUUGGCAACUUUUGUUGUCCUGUGGUAUGGCGCAUUAUCUUUGAAAAGACUGCAAACUUUUGGCAUUGUGCAGUUAUAUAUAAUCUUUUUUUUUGAAAUGGAUGAAUUUUGACUUUGUAAUAUUGGCCUAUGAAGCUAUCUCCCCCUCUUAAUGGAGUAGUUGACGUCCACAAAGAUGAGUCAUUGUCAACUUGAAACUUUUGACGAGCUCGGGCCCAUAACAUACAUGCCCCAUAAGUCUUGACUCCUUUAAAUUUGGCAUUCAUUGUACAACUGAUGCGAUCCCUUUCCAUGGUGGACCAACAGUGCCUCAAAACCUCAUGUUUAUCCUGGCAAUUGCAAAUCCUCCUGCAUGCGUUUUUGGACCACAUUUUUGAAUUCCCAUAAUAGUCUCAACAAGGUCUUGUUUUGUCUCCUCAGCUAAUUCCAAUUUCGCAAUCUUUCCUUCCUCUAAGGCUAUAUUUCCUACCACCACCUCAUGGGGUAAAAAAAACCAUUUUCAACAAAUUCAGAAACAAGUCACAAUUUCUGUCACCUUCAAAGUACUGAGAUUCCUCUAAACACAUAUCGCACUCAAAAGGAACUCUGAAUCUGUAGUAUCAUUCCGUGUCAUUGAUAUCUAGGGAUCUAUGAUAGGCACACAAAAGAAUAUACAAGGAACAAAUGAAUUCAAGAAUGACUAUUUACAUGAAAUGAAAAUUUAUAAAGAAUGUCAAAGGUCAAAAGAAUCAGAAUGAAAGAAUAUUUACUCGGAUAAAUAAUAAAAGUAUGUUUUAUUGAAAAUAAAAAUGUCUGGACAUGAGCCCACUUCUCAAAAAAAAUCUCAUUACUCCUAGGAUUUAGAGCAACAAGAGUGUUUUGAAUAUUACUCCGUAAAAUUCCUAAAGAUUACAGGAAGUUCUUCUGCAGUCCAAUUGUUUAAAGAACUUCCCGGUUCGUAAGGGCGAAUGCCCUCAAGGUUUCUUUGUUCAGUCCAUUUCUCAUGUAUGACAUUGAUGGGAUGAUUUUCAUUUCCAAACACCCCCUUCUCCGGGUAAGCUAUCCCUCCUGACACAAAAGUCAGGGAUAUGUAAGGGAACGUCGUUAAUUCCCAUUCAACUUCUUUUUCACUCAGCCGUGACCCUCUUCUCUCUCUCUCUUUUUCUUUCUCUUUUUAAUAACUUUAACUAAUUAGGGUCUUUUUAUAAUUUUGAAUGCAAAUGAUGCAAUGAAAUGCUAUAAGAUGCAAAUGCAUGAAUGCAAAAGGUAUCGAUCUCGAUUCAAUCUCAUUUAGAAAACUUUAUUUAGAAAAAAAAAUAUCUUUACAUAUAAAUGGAUUACAAAUACGCUUUCGCCCUAAUGCCCAAAAUUUUAAAAUAAACUCUUAGCCACGAUCUAAUUGUAUCUCAUAUUGGUGCUCAAUAUGUCAGCCUAUACCACCAAUGUCUGUAAAUAAUCAGCUACCUCCUGAGUUUGAGCUACGACCUCACUUGUGGGGUAAUCCGUGCAGCUAGGGAUACCUCCUCCAAUACCUGUGAAAUUGUUCUGAUUAUCCUGAGAGAGAAAAUUGUGAACAAGCAGGCAUCAUUGUUCUGCAGUAUGCUGCCUUAAAAUGAUAUCCUAUAUCCUCAAUGCUUCUUGAGAGUUUUCAGAUUUCUGCUUCCGCAGAGCAUUGCUUGUAUGGGUAUCCUCAUAGCAUAGCUAAUCUCUAAAGGUAUUUGUAUGAUACGGUCUUUUUUAAUCGCUUUCUUUCACGCUUACUUGAGCUAUCCAGGCCAUCGGGCUUGCAAGUACUCAAGCUUGUUGUUUGGUAGCGGUCCUAUAGUAAACGAGCUUUUUACCAUCAUAGGCAAAAUUCUUUCCAUCCAACUCAUUUUGUAGGUCUCAUGCACUCUAUCAAUCACUUUCCUUCCAAUACCCAUACCAUCCACAUGGCAACCGUCUUCAUAUGAAAGAGAAACGCUAUAAUGGUAGAAAUGUCCAUCAAUACUCCCACACUUAUUUUGAAUUGCUCAUUUAUCCUCCUGUCAAGCAAAUACUGCAAGUCCCCUUAAUUAUUGUAGAACAACUGCUUGGCUUCAUUACUCCAUUGAUCCCAUAUUUCUUUUAACUCCUAGAGAUUAUUUUGAUCCACGCUGAUGCGAGGGUAACCCCAUAAUUCUGAUGUGUAUCCUUCAGUGUUUCCUUUGACCAUUUAUGGACGUUAACGUUGCCCUCCAUUCUAUCAAGAAGUCCGUUCUCCAUAAUAAAACUUUUUAACUUAGAAACUGACCGUGAAUCGAUACCUUUUAAAUGCAAAAUGACAUGCACAAAAGAAAGAAAAUAGUCAGUAUCAUAUGAUAUUAAUAAACAUAAAGAUAACCUAAGUAUAAUUCUAUCUAUAUUGAGCUCUUACGAUUUUUCUAUAUGUGGUUUGUUUCUAAAGUUUGAGGUACCCGAACCAGCAGAUUCCUCGACCCUCACCCAUUAUAGGCUCAUUUGAAUCGAGUUCAGUUCAGAGGAAUACAUUUCCCUAUGGCUACACGGAGAUGAAAAUCUCACGAAACCAUAGGUACGGAUGUAUCCCGAAAGUGAUCCACUAUCCUGCACAGAAGCGAAAACCUCAUGAAGGCAUAGCUUCUCACUCCCACUUAAGGGUGUGACCACAACGGUCAUGCAAAUGCAAUGCGUAUCAGAAUAUAGCAACACAUGCAAUAAUACAAACACAUGUAAUGCAAAGAGGAUUAAAUUUUAAAAUUUUUAAUUUUCGAUAUUAAGACAAGAGAUAAUCAAUUACACGGCUUGACUCUCUUAUUAGUCCCCAGCGGAGUCGCCAAGCUGUCUAAACCAUUUUUAAAAUCGAGUUUUGGGAAAAUGGGAAUCGACUUUAAAAACGAAAACGGGAGUCGCCACCAAUCUUUUUAGGUGUGAUUGGAUCACCUUAUAAAAUGUUUUGUUUUAAAACAUUAAUUUUGGUCUACGAAAGUCGAGAAAACGGAUUCGGGAGUCGGUUACAUACGAGUAAGGGUUAGCACCCUCGUAACGCCCAAAAAUUGGUACCUAAUUGAUUAUCAAGUGUCCUUAAUGUCGGAAAUUAAAAAAUUUUAAGAUGUAGUCCUCUUUAAAAUAUUUUAAUUUUGAAAAUUGGGGUUCACCCGUAUCAAAGUAUUGACACUAAGUUAACCUUUUUUGGAAAUUCUUAUCUCGAAACAACAAAACGCUAUAUCCAAUAAGUUAGGACAUAUUGCUUUAAAAUUCCAAGAUAGUGGCUUGCAUUUAGAAAACCUUUAAAAAAACUUAGAAGGGUACUUGAUUAUUCGAACUCAACGAGAAAAGUGGCAACCAAUAAGUUAGGGCACUACUUUCUCGAAAUUUCCAAACACCAAGCAUUGCCUUUAUAUUUUUUUGAAAGCUUUGGAGUCUCAUUUUUUUUAAAAAAAUGUUGCAUAAGGAAUCACAUUAUCACUAUAGAAUAGAAUAUUGCAAUAAUAAGCGAAUAAAACAUGCAUUUUAACGAUACAAUAGCAAUAAUACAAAAAUCAUAUACUAGAUGCAUACAUGUUUAGAAUUACAUAACAUCAUAUAUACAAAGAUACAUAUAACCUAUAUUGAAUAUGGAUAAGCAAAACAUACAAACAUACAUAGUAAUAAUUAAGAAAUGAUACAUGAUACACAAUUUAAAAGAAAUAUAAUAUCGAUGUACAUGUUCACAAAAUAUAACAUCAAAUAAUAAAUAUAAAAUAACAUUUAACACACAUGAUACAUAAUAUAAAAAAUACAUAAAAGAAUUAAUAUAUAUAAAAUAUAAUAUAAGGUGAAUAAUUGUUAACAAAAUAUACAUAAAAUACAAAUAAAAAUAUGAUAUUUAAUAAUAAUUUUAAAAUAGUAUUUAAUUAUAAAAUAUGUAAUAUAUAAUAACAGAAUUUAAAAAUAUAUUGUUUUAGAAAAAUAAUGUAUAAGAAUUUAUAUUUAUAAUAAAAUAAUUUUAAUGUAAGUUUAGCAUAAUAUAAAAUAAGUAAUUAAUGAUGAAAUAUACAUGUUAUACAAAUUAUAAUAUUAUAAUAUCCUCAAAAUAUGUAAUAAUAGAAUAUGAAUAAAGUAAUUAUUAAUAUAUAAAUAAAGAUAAGUAUAUAAUACAAGUUAAAACCUUUAAUGAUAAUAACAUAUAGAUAAAAAAAAUAUAUAAUAGUAUAAAAAAAUGACAUAAUAAUAUAAAAUAAUAUAUAAUAUGUAUGUAAAAAUAAGGUAUAGUAUAUAUACAAAUAUUUAAUAUAUAAUAUAAGUAAAAAUAUAAUAACCAUAUAUAAAUAAUAAUGUAAAAUAAUAAUAAUAUAAAAUAACAUAUUGUUAAAAUGUAAGAUAAUAUAAAGAUAAAGAUAUUUAAAAAUUAAGUGGUAAAAAUAUAGUAUAGAUAUAUAGGAAAAUAAUAUGCGAUAAAAAUAUAAGUAGUAUUUUUAAUAAUAAUAUAUGUAUAGUUUUUAAAAAUAAAUAAGUUAUAUAUAAAAUAAAAUAACAAAAUUUAAAAAUAGUAAAAACAAGGGUUAAAUUUGAAUUUAAAUAGACUUAUAAGGCUAAUUUGCAAAAUAGUAUAAGUUCUGGGCUUGAUUUGCAAGAAUUAAGACGACAAAGGACUCACUGGGCAAUUUGCCCUAAUCCUAAGCGACGUUGUUUCCAGAAUGUAAAAACUGUUGGGAUUAAAUUAAAACUAAAACAAAAUAAUAGGGCCAAAUCAUAAAUAAAAUAAAGUGUAAUUAUAAACUAAAAAGGGUGGAAGGACCGAUUGGGUAAUUAACCCAAUUCUAAAAAAUGCGCGGAUCCUCCCCAGGUAAUCGAGUCAACGCGCGGAUCCUGAGGCCUUUAAACGACGUCGUUUUUAGGCUUAUUAACUUAAGCCAAAAUGGUGCCGUUCAUUUAAGGCUAUAUAAGCCAAUUUUUAGUUUUUGAAUCAUUUGAAAUAUGUUCUGAAAAAAAAAAGAGAAAAAGCUCUCUGAAAGAGAGUUGGGGAGGGGUAUUCGGAGGGUCACCGGACCUCCAUCCAGGGGUCUACACGCGCUCACGCGCCCCCGUUGCCUCCACCGUACAUUGUGGUCAGAGGUUUAAAUACCUUCGUUCCCUCAAGCAAAACCCAGGUAACCUCUUUGUCUUUUUAACAUUCAUAGUUUUUUACUAAAACAGUUCAUAUAUAUAUUAAAAAAUAAAACACGAGACACACGAUUAAAUCACCUUUUCUAGAAACUGUUGGUAUUUCCUUGAACGAAUCUGUGUAAGUAUAUUUCUAUUCUGUAAAAAAGGUCCCUUUACACUGUUUCGAUUCGGGCUUUUAGAGCCACUGUUGCUAUUACAUUUUUGGAAAGAAACCUUUUCUUCCAUAUUUGUUUUGUUUGCUGCUGUGUUUCUUUCCUUCUUUUGCAGGUAUCAUCAAGGAAUCCGGCAAUGACUGUGCUGGUGUGGAUUAUCGGUGUUGGUGAGGCGCUGAUUAUGGAGGCAGAACCUUGAGUGAUGGCCUCGAUUGGGGAGCUGGACAGACGCUCCCCCAACCUUCCAGAACCUGUUGCGGCACGAGGGGAAAGAGCUAGGGUUGAAAACCCUAGCUGAUAAUUUUGGGUUUUUGGGCCUCUGUUGUUUGGGUCUAGUUUAGGUCUGGGCUUCGGGUGUAUUUGGGUUAAGGUUGUAAUUGUAAUGGGUUAAGGGUGUAAACGGGUUAAGGGAUAGUUUUAGGCCUGCUAGGUAGUAACCGGUCUGUUUGGUAUAACGGGCCUGAAGUAUUUGGGCCAAAAGGGUUUAAGCUAAAGGGUAUUGGGUUAGUUUAGGGUCUGUUGGGCUGGUUAUUUUAUUUGGUUUGUAACCUGGACUAUUUUUUGAAUGGACUUAAAUAAAUAUUUAUUUAUUUAUUAUUUUGCUUUUGGGUUUUAAAACCCGGUCAAAUUUGGGCUACUACAAAGAGCAUCAAUGAGUCUACUCUUUAUGUAAAGAAAUAUGAGAAUAAGACCUUGUUGAUUGUGUCAUUGUAUGUAGAUGAUUUGAGAUGUCUAAUUUAGGGGAGAUGACUUACUUUCUUGGCAUAGAAGUAAUCUAGACUCAGCAUGCCUUUUAUAAGUCAACAAGCAUAUUUGCUUUGAAGAUUUUGAAUAAUUUCUUCAUCGGAAACUGCAAACCUGCUAGCAUUCCGGUGGCACUAAGUGAGAAGCUUUCUAGCAAAUGUGACUAUGAAAAAGUGGACGAGAAACGGAAUAGAAGACUUGUAGGUUGUCUGCUUUAUUUGAAAGCAUCAAGGUCUGAUAUUAUGUUUGCAGUCAAUCUUCUAUCAAGAUUUAUGCGCUGCUGUAAUGUUUCUUAUUCAAAGCAGCUAAGAGGGUCAUAAGAUAUGUCAAGGGAACUCUCAAUUAUGGGGUGAAAUUUGUGAAGACUGAAGAGCUCAAGUCGGUUGGAUAUUCAAAUUAUGAUUGGGCGGGCUUGGUUGAUGAUAUGAAGAGCACAUCAGGGCAUUUUUCACUCUAGGCUCAGGAGUUUUUUGUUGGAGCUCAAAGAAGCAAUAAGUGAUGACACAAUCAACAAUAGAAGCAGAGUACAUUGCAACUACUGUAGUUGUUAAUGAAGCCAUUUGGUUGCGAAAGCUUUUGUUUGAUUUGAAUUUAAGUCAAGGGGAAGCAACAGAUAUCAAUGUUGAUAAUCAGUUUGCUAUUGCAAUUGCAAAGAAUCCAGUGUUUUAUGGCAAAACAAUGCACUUUAAGAUUAGAUAUCAUUUUGUAAGGGAAGCUAAGCAAUCGAAGGAGGUCAACCUGAUUCAUUGCAGUUUAAAAGACCAAUUUGCUAACAUUUUAACCAAGCCUCUUGGGACUACUAUGUUUGAGAGUUUGAGAAGAAGUAUUGGUGUCUGCUGCAUAAAAGCCCAAGGAGGAGGGCUGAAGAUGGCCAACAAUACAAUAACAAGGAUGUUUUGGUGCUUAAUCAUGCAAUUGUUUUUGUUUUAUCUUUCAAAGUAGUCCAAUUUAUUUUGUAAUUAGUCUUGUUGAUGUACAAAGACUGGUUAGCUUAUUUGUUUAUGUUUAAAUGAUGAUUUAGCUCAUAAGUCAGCUUGUUUAUGUGUGCAAGUUAUGUUUUGUGAAUUUUAAUGUCAUUAGUGGGAGUUGUUAUGUAUUAGGUAAUUGUUUGUACCAAAAGUGACCAAUGCCUGGAUGAAAAUCAUAUCAGCUAAGAGUUUUUUCUGAUCAUCUUUCGUUCUUCUUCAGUUUUCUUUUCUUUCAUAUUUUUCUGUUUUAGUAGCAAAAACUCAACACAAAUAACUUUAAAAUAAAGAUGUAAACAUGCAUAAAAAACAUUACUAAGACGAGGUUGGUUAAGUAGUUUACACAGUUAAUGCUUCUUCCCCGAUUAGCCCAUUAUAAAAUUAAAAACUUUUUACAUCCGUUUUGGUUGCGGCCCUUCUUCCUCUGCUUCCUCGUAGAUAUUUCGUUUUCGUUUUAGGAGAGAAGUGCUACCAAUAAAUCCAUUGUUUUGAGCAGAGUGUUGGUGGAUGUGUUCAAAAUUUGGAGAAGAUGGAGUGCUAUGGCACUGCAACUCUUUUAUUUCUUACAAAUCUUUCUUAUACACUAUUCUAGCACCACACUUCUUCACCUUAACACUACUUCCAAUGAAAGACACCUCAAUCUCAUCACAUAUUCGAUCUGAGCUAUUUGUUGUCCAUAAAUUAUUGGUUUCACAGUCACCAUAUUUAUCCUCCGAAAAUGGAUCGAAUCUAUCACGUGACCAAUAAUAAAGAAAAAGGUGAUCUUUCAUUAUGGGCUGGCUAAAUCGUUUACCCACCACCCAUUCUAUCCAAUCAAUCUGUCGAGGAUUUUUACCACAAAAAAUAGAUCCAUUACAAUAGAUAAAUAUUCCACACUUGGUAUCCUGGUUGUCAUCCCUUGAAGCAUCAUUAUUAACAAAAAUGCAGCAACAAGCAACUCCAAUCCAUUCACUAUCUUCCCGAAGGGGUAUCUUAAUUGAAGAGUUAUUUUCUUGUUGACUAAACCAUUCUGGGAUUUCACUUCCGGGCAUAAUAAUCUUAAACCUUUUUCUUGAAUUUGCAAAUGCCUGCAAAAUAAAACACAAGUUGUUUGGUAACUAAAACCAUAAAUUCUCAAGUAUGAGAUUUGUAAGAGAGAAAAGAGAGAUUAAUCAACCUUAAGAAGUUUUUUCAGCAGUGUUAAUGCAUUCAUAUUCUCAGCCAAUUUGAAGCAGUUAAUGGCUUUAGUGCCAACCGAAUCCAAUAAAUUGAAUACUUUUGAUAGACUUGCAACUACUUCAAGUGAAGAACAACCAUCUAUCCACACAUCCUCUAUACUUGUUGGUAGCUCAGGCAACGAUUUAAGCAUCUUGCAAUCUGAAAAUCUAAUAGAAUAAAGCUUGGAAAGUCGAAUAAUAGAUGCAGGUAUGCUGAUGAAGUUGUUACCCCUAAGAAGAAGAUAUCUCAAAGAGGAUAGACCAGAAAUAUCACUUGGAAUAUCUCCUUCACCGAUAGUGCAGAUGUUGCAAUUUGACAAUUGAAGGAACUCGAGCUUUGAGAGUCAAGUAAGAGAUGCGGGUAUUCUGAUGAAAUUGUUAUCACUAAGAUCAAGACGUAUCAAAGAGGAUAGACCAGAAAUAUCACGUGGAAUAUCUCCUUCACAAAGAUUGCAAUCCCUUAGAUUUAGCUCUCUUAAUGAACUCAAAACUAGCAGCAAAGGCAACAUCCGAGGCAUGGGAUUCGUUCUUCUUCCUAGGAUUACCUUGAAAAGAGAAUACAAAUUUGGUCGUAACUUUUCUGGAUGCAAAUUCUCCGAUAAAUUUUCAACUUUACAACAACCGGAAAGAUCAAGAGUUUUUAGACGUUCCAUUUUCCCAUCAAUCUCCGGAAAUCUUACAAGACUUGAGCAACCCAAAAGAAUUAAUGUUUCAAGAGAUUCCAUUCCAAUUUUAGUCGGAAGACUCCUAAGACUUUUGCAAUAUCUUAAAUUCAAAAGUUUAAGACUCUUAAGCACUCCGAUUGAUGGAUGAACAUUCACUAAUUUGGUGCAACCUUCCAAAAUCAAAACUUCAAGAUUUGAUGCGGUUGUGAAGUCUGAUGUCUCGAUUAGGUUUUGGGACCCUUUGAGGUUCAUCAUUUUCAACUUAUACAAGGGCUGUUAAAGACAAUAAUAAAUUAGAGAAAUAAUGCUCAUUUUUUUUUCUUUACCUUAACCAAAGUUUAAUAAUUUAUAUUAAAAAAGCUAAAACACAAGGGUAAGAUGAGUUAAUUCUUACUCUAUUUCCCUUCCAUAGUUGUUUAAUGUGACUAUCUGGUAAAAGAAGUGCGAUAAGGUUGUCCGGUUGGAAGCUUGAAGGCAACGAUUUUAAAGGGCAUCCUUUCCAUUCUAAAAGCCGUAGCUCAUUAGAAAGAAAUUUGAGAUCAUCACAAUUUAAUAAGCAAAGCACUUUGAGUAAUCUCAAUUUUUUCAUCUUUGAGAAGGCAUAGACACUUAAGUUGAGCAUUUUACUCGAUUCCCUAAUAACCAUGUUUAAAUCAAAAAAAAGCUUUAGGAUAUACAAAAACAUUCAAAACCUAAAAGCUAUGUUGCAUAGACAUUGUUUUUUUCUUUUCAGUACCUAUAUCCAACACUUAUAUCUAAUGCAUAUCAAUAUCUGCAUAUUAAGAUACAAUCCUUUAAAAACUCUUUAAACGCAAGAAAAAAGCUUUUUUUUUAAAUUGAACAUACCCAUAUUAAAGACUUGUUGUAUAUAACAGUGAUAUCAAACAUCAAAUUACCUAAUCCUGACAAAAUUAUUGAAUAAAUAUUUUGAUUUAUAUUUAGUCCACAAGCAAUGCAUAAUUCUAUACAAGUUAAUGACACAUAAUUAAAAAUGAAACCCAUUUUCAUUAAAAAAAACUUUUGAUGAUAUGUAAUAAUCUAAUUCAUUGAUAUACACUAGUGCAUUAAAUAUAUACCAUUAAUUUUCUAAAAACACAUAAAUUUCUCAAUUCUUUUGAAAGAGUAAUAUGUUGCUAGAUAAAUUUCAUAAUUAAACAUUAAAAUAUUAAGUUUUAAAAAAGAUAAAAUAAUUAUUUACAGUACAAAAAGAUAUGUUUAUGAGUAUUUUCUUACCUUUUAUUAUUGAUGAUUAUACCUUCAAUUACUUCUGUAGCCUAAAAAAUUCAAGAACAAAAAAUAAGAAAACAAAAUAAAUGGUGCAUAAUGUAAGAUAAAAUUUUUGAAAAUUUACAUUUUUAUUUAGCUUUAUUAUCUCAAAAUAUAAUAAAUAAAGCAUUUUAAACAAAAAAAAAACAGCUUCUAAGGAAGCUAAUGCAAUGCAAUGCAAUGCAAUUAAAUAUUUAUUUCUACAAAUUCUUUGGUAUUUGUAAACAUCAAACAUAACUUAUUUCAAAAGUACUAAAUAUCACUUUUUAAGGCUAGUUGUAUCUACCAAUUAGACUAAGCUUUGAAUUUAUAUCAUAUAUUGAUUAGAUAUUCUAUAUAUAUAUAUAUUAGGUAAUUUUUGUUGAAUGACUUACAGUGUUUUUUGUUAAGAUAUGAUGAACGUCUGUUUCCUCCCACAAUCUGCAACGUUUUCCAGGUUCACCAACACAUUUCUCUCUAACAAUUUGUCUUCCCAAUUCUUGCAACAACUCAUGCAUCCACAAAUAUUGAUUAUCAACUUUUAUGAGAGAUUUUUUAAUGAGAACAUCAAUUCCAAUAUCUGGAAAAAACUCACAACCAUCCAAUACUUUGAUUACAAAAUCUUUCUUCUCCCCAUUGAAGAAGCAUGCUAUAUCUAAAAAUAUAUUCUUCUCCUUUUCUUCUAGUCCAUCAAAACUGAUUCGAAGUUUAUCGAGAAUUUCUUUAUUAGAAUCUCUUUUAAGUCUUUCAAUUGUACUUCUCCAUUGUGUCACAUCUCUACCACACAAAAAAGAACCCAAAACUUCAAUAGCUAAAGGAAGCCCACCAGCAUAAUUUACAACAUGUUCAGAAAGCUCAAUGAAAUCAUCUUUCAACACUGUAUAACUAUGGAAAGCUUUCAAAUUGAAAAGUUGAAGCGCAUCUUUGGUAUUUAAUGUUGUAGGCAUAUACACAUCAUCAACUUGGCAAGAUCGAAGCAAAUGUUCAUCUCUUGUUGUUAUAAUGAUUCUACUCCCUAAUCCGAACCAAUCAUGCCUUCCAACCAAGCAUUUUACGUGUUGUAUGUUAUCAACAUUAUCAAGAACAAUAAGAACGUUUUUGUGAGACAACCUAUGGCUAAUUAUGACAUUUCCUUCAUGAACAUCGAAAAAAUUGAAGCAUUCUUCAAGGAAGAUCUGUGAAAGAAGUUGUUUCUGUAAAGAAACUAGUCCACAUUUUUCUGAAACUUCUCGAAUAUCAGUAAGAAAGCUUUUACCUUCAAAAUAAGGUGACAUUUGAGUGUAAGCAGCUCUUGCGAGUGUCUUUUUACCGAUACUACCCAUUCCACAAAUUCCUAUAAUGCGGACAUCAUCUUCCCUAAUGUUUAUUUUCAAAUAUAAAUCCUUCAAGCGUACACUAAUUCCAACCAAGUCGCUAUAAGUAACUGGAUAUGUCUGACAAAGUGUUGUUGAUAUCUUCUUAAUAAUGUCUUUAAUAAAUUUUGAUUCAUGCCUACAAAGAAAAUAAAUAAAUUUUAAUUUUUUGAAUAAAUUUUUUUUGGUAUCUUUCAUAGUGACGGUGCCUAGUAGAGACCUAGGGGACAUGGUUCCCCUAAAAUGGUAAAUGUUCAACUUAGACCUUUAUAAUUUAUUAAAUUUUAAAUUAAUAAUGGUAAAAUUGAACUUUGGUCCUCCCAAAAAUGGAAAAAAAAUGAAUUUAACCUUUAAAAAUUAUAAAGAUAUAGACUACUAAAAAUGAUGAAAUUACUUUUUUAUUAUCAUAAAAAUAUACAAUUUAAUUCCAGUCCCCUAGAAAAACUUUUCUAGCUCCUCCACUGUUUCAGAUGCACUUUCUUUUUCAAUGGAUCAUGAAACAUAAUAUAGUUUGGAAGAAAACAACAACCAUGAAUAAGAAAGAAAGACCCAUUGUGGAACCAGAAUACAAAAUUUGCUCUUCUAUUGAAAUAUGACAUUUUUCAAUUAAACACAUAGGAUUAGGAAAUGUUAAGUAUGACUCCUAUUUCAGUCAAAUCUGAGAAAUAAUCUUCUAGUUAAACUCUAUUUAUUUGUUUCAAUCAAACAUUGAUUAGUUUAGAUUAUUUUAUUAUUAUUUGACCUAUGAAUUUAGCCUAUAAAUAGACUCUUUUACAACCUUAGAAAAUACACUCAUUAGAUAUUAGAACUCAUAACACAUUUAGAGAAUUUUGUGUUUACGUUUUGAGGGUUCUUUGUUUUUGGGGUUUAGUUUUUAUCUCCAUCUUUUGUACUCUUCGUUCUUUUGUCAUUAUAGUAAAAUUAUCUUUGCUCGUGGUUUUUUAUCCUUUUUGGAGAGGUUUUUCUACGUUAAAUUUGUGUGUUCAAUUAUCAAUUUAUUCUGCUAUUUUUUUUACUUGUUGCUUAAUCGGGUUAAUCCCAACAUGUGUUAUUAGAAAUAGUUCAAUUUUCAUAGAUCAACCCAUCUAGAUAUGGCAGCAACAAGGUUUGAAAUUGAGAAGUUCGAUGGUGAGACAAAUUUUAAUCUGUGGCAAGUUCGGAUGAUGGCAAUUCUAAUUCAAACCGGCUUGCAAAAGGUUGUUACCAGGAAAAAGCCUGAGAAUCUAAAUCAAACAUAAUGGGAAGAGCUUGAUGAAAAGGCCUUGUCUGCAAUCCAGUUGUGCCUUGCGAAUAUGGUAUUGCAGGAGGUAUUUAUGGAGAAAACCUCAUCCAUAUUGUAGAAAAGGUUAGAAACUCUUUAUGCGACUAAGUCUCUGGCUAACCAUUUACUGUUGAAACAAUGUUUAUUUACGUUUCGCAUGCACGAAGGUGAGCUUCUUAGAGAUCACAUUAGUCAAUUCAUUACUAUUUUAAAUGAUUUAAAGAAUGUUGAGGUUCAUAUUGAUGAUGAUGAUCAGACUAUACUAUUAUUGUGCUUUUUACCCCUUUCAUACAAGUCUUUCAGGGAGACCCUGAUUUAUGGCAUAGACAAACUCUCAUUCGAAGAUGUGAAGGGCCAUUUGUUGAAUAGAGACAAACUCGACAAUGAGUUUGGUUUGGAUAGCAAGGCCGAUAAGCAAGCUUCCGUUUUGAUAGCAUCAAAGAAACGAGAUAAAAGGUAUCGCUAUUGUAAAAUGUUAGGUCACGUCAAAGCAGAUUGUUAUAAACUGUAAAAUAAAAGAGUUUUCGAGAGUAAUGAGGAAGAUGUAGCUGGUGCUAAUUUGGCUGAUGAAAGCAAUGAUGAUUUCUUGUUAGUGUCAACAAGUGAUAACUCUAAGCUCAUGUCCGAGUGGAUCCCAGAUUCGGGAUGUUCUUUCCACAUGUGUCCCAAUAGAAAAUGGUUCUCCACAUAUACUUCAGUUGAAGGUGGAGUUGUGCGCAUAGGAAACAAUUCAUCUAGUAAGGUAAUUGGUAUUGGUACUGUUAAAAUUAGGAUACACGAUGGGACAAUUAAGACACUCUCAGUUGUCAGGUAUGUACCUGAUUUACGAAAGAACCUCAUCUCCUUAAGUAUUUUAGACUUGAAAGGAUACAAAAUCAACAUCGAGUCGAGAGAUAUUAAAGUAUCUCGUGGAGCUCUCGUUUUGUUAAAAGGUAAAAGAACCGAUAGUCUUUAUAUUCUAGAAGGUUCUACAGUGACCGGUGAAAUCGGACGUCCCUCAUCCAUUACGGAGUUGAAGUCAACUCGUUUGGAGCGGAGGCAACUUAGUCAUAGGAGGGAAAAAGAUAUGACCGUUUCGUUGAAGAGAGGUUCUCUUUUGGAUGCAGGUUUUGAAAAGUUAGGGCACUGUGUUCAUGAAAAUCAAACCCGGGUUAGUUUUGAUUUGGCAGUGUACAAGUCGAAGGCUAGAAGUCUUCCAGUUUCUAAGCACAGAUUCGACUUAGUUAAUUCCUUAUAUAGUUCAAGAUAGGCUCGUAGCGGGCUUUGGUAAAGAUGGGGUUGUGGAAAUAUGAGUCAAGGUGGAGAUUUGUUAAGUAUGACUCAUAUUUCAGUCAAAUUUGAGAAAUAAUCUUCUAGUUAAACUUUGUUUAAUUAUUUCAAUCAAACAUUGAUUAGUUUAAAUUAUUUAUUAUUAUUUGACCUAUGAAUUUAGCCUAUAAAUAGACUCUUUUACAACCUUAAAAAAUACACUCAUUAGAUAUUAGAACUCAUAAAACCUUAGAAAAUACACUUAUUAGAUAUUAGAACUCAUAACACAUUUAGAGAAUUUUGUGUUUAUGUUUUGAGGGUUCUUUGUUUUUGGGGUAUAGGUUUUAUUUUCAUCUUUUGUACUCUUCGUUUUUUUGUCAUUAUAGUAAAAUUAUCUUUGCCAGUGAUUUUUUAUCCUCUUUGGAAGGGUUUUUCCACGUUAAAUUUGUGUGUUCAAUUUAUCAAUUUAUUCCGCUAUUUUUUUUCUUGUUACUUAAUCAGAUCAAUUCUAACACGAAAAAAAGUUAUAUAUAUCCGAAAAACUAGAAAAUAGAGAAGAAAAGAAAGAGUUACCCGUUAUUUAAAUGCCAUCCCUUUAUUCCAGCCACUUGAAUUAAAGCAUUUCGCCACCUUUGGAUCUUCUCACUAUCUUCUUUGUAUCUCUCUUCAUGUCUGGCAAAGGCUUCUUCCACUUUCUCUUUUUGUUUUCUUAAAUUAGAUGGAUCAACAUCAUAAAAAAUUGGAAACACUUUAUGGCCGUCGUUGUUAUGUCGUUUAACAAUCUCAGCAAGCUCCUCCAAGCACCAACUUGAAAAGGCAUAAGUUUGUGAAAAAACGAUUAUCGAGCACCAUGAUUCCUGAAUUGCUUUAAAGAGUUCUGGCGCGAUCUCUUCACCGGCCUCCAGCUUUGGAUCAUCCCUGAAAGUAACGAUCCCACUCCUACUUAGAGCAUCAUAGAGAUGAUCGGUAAAGUUGUUGCGGGUAUCUUCACCUCUAAAACUCAAGAAAACAUCAUAUUUCUUUCUAGAAAUGGAGGAAGAAGUUGAAGGUAAUGACGACAUGACGAUGUACGAGAAAGAUGAUAUAUAUAUGUGUGUGUGGAUGUAGUGUUGAAAAUCAGAAAACUGAUCGCUCAAUACGCCAGAAAGAAACUAGAAUGAAUAACUAUAUAUGAGCAUGGAGGAGGAUAAAAACAGAUGCAAUUUUCCAAAUGAAUGCGCGUAGGUGUGGAAAUUGGAGUGAUGCAUGUGAAUCCAAGAAGGUGGGAGUGCCUACAAUAUUAUUCAAGUAAAGUGUUGGACGAUUUUUGUUGUACUUACUUUCACAUAAACCUGCCUAAGAAGAUAGAAUGAGAGGGCCCAACGUUGCUUGUUAGGAUUCUAUUCAUGCAUUAAUACAAAUUACAAAGACUUUGACUUACACAAUUUAUUGUUGGACGCUCCUGUCCUUUUCUCAUCACAAAAGAGACUAAAUACAAAGUAUAUGCUUGAAGAAAAGUAUUUUUAUCAAAUUAUAUUUAUUUAUUUCUUAUUUUUUUCAUAAAUUUUCGUUAAUAAUAUGGUUAUGAAAUUAAAUAUUAUUCUUUAAGAAUUCAUGUUUGAAUAGAAGAAAAUGUAAAAACCAAUGUAUACUCAACGCAUGAAAACACCAAUGUAGGUUCAUCCAACCAAAUCAUGUGACGAAUUUUCAAAUAAGAUGUUGGAAAAAGUGGUCAUUCUUUUAAUUCGUGUUUCCUAUAUGGGUUAAUAGAAAGCAACUGGGAGCAACCGUGAAGAAUUAGUCAAACAUGUUUCAAUCAACCAAGGUCAAACAUGUUUCAGUCUCCUUUUUCUGGAUGUGAAAACCUAAGUCUUGCGUUUUUUAAUUUUAAUUUUUUUUUAAAAAUAUUUUUAUAUUUUUUGAAAAUAAAUUAUCACUUUUUCAAAAAUUUUAAGAAUAUUUGUAUAAUUAUUUUUUAAAAAGGUUUGAAUUUUUUUUAUUUUUAUUGAUGUUGCUAGGGGUGUGCAAAUUUCAGAUAAAACCGAAUUAAUUCGGUUAACCGACCGAAUUCGGUUAAUCGGUUGAUUAACCGACUAAAUUCGGUUAAUCGGUUGAUUAACCGAAUUAAUUCGGUCGGGGUCAGUUAAUAAUUUUUUAGAAGUUCGGUUAACAGUUAAUUCGGUUCGAAAUGGGUUAGUUAACCGAAUUAACCAAAUUUAGUAAAUACUAUUAUAAUAUAUAAGUAUUCGGUCUAUUCAGUUCGGUUAAUUUUUUGGAAAUAUAAAUUAAUUGGUUGGUUAAGUCAGUUAAUUUUUUAUAUGCUUUAUACUUAUAUUUAUUUUAACCAAAAAUAAAAAAUAUAUAAAUUUCGGUUAAUUAAGUUAACCGACUGAAUUAACAGAAAAAGUUCGGUUUAGUUAGCGGUUAAGGAUUUAAAAGGGUCGAUUAAUUUGGUUAAUGGUAGUUCGGGUCGAUUAACCGGUCGGUUAACCGAUUGAACACCCCUAAAUGUUGCAACAGUUCCAUGUCAGCAACUAUCGUUGAUAUAGAGCACCACAUCAGCGCUAUAAUGGUCAACAUUAGUCAAAGGAUCUAUUUGACCAGCUUUGUUAGUUCAAGGGCUUAAUUGAGUGCAAAAAGUUCACAAUGGCUUAAUUGAUUUUUGCACCCAAUUGAGCCCUUUAACUAACAAAACUAGUCAAAUAGCCCCUUUGACUGAUGUUGCUCUUUUGUAUUUAAUAGCAACGCUUAUAUGGCUGUUAACAGAUGUUAUGUAUGCAAAAACAAUAAAAAAUUCAAAUCAUAAAAAAUAUUUUAAAUAUAAGUACACAAUGAACUUGGACACGCAUGUGUCUAGAUUCUUUCUACAAUCAUAAAAAAUUCUAAAAAAUAUUAAAUUCGUUAAAAAGUAUAAUAAUGAUUAGAACUUAAUUAAAAUCAAUAAAUUGAAAAAUGAGAAGCAAUAAUUAACAAAUAAAUUGUUAAUCUGGAUUUUAUGAUAUAAGUUGUUUAUGCUUGUUUUCUUUUUUAAAAUAAAAAACAAUAAACUAUUUUUUAAAAAGUUUUAUGAAUCUUAAUUAAUUUCUAUUUUUUUUAUAAUUUUUUAAAACAAUUCUAAUUGUUUAUGUUUUUAAAAUUCUAGAACAUGUAUGAACAAAUGGGUGUUCAGAUUCAAAUGAAUCUGGACAACCAUUUGUUUAGAUUCAUUGUGUGUUUAUUUUAAAAAUAAUUUUAUUUAUUUUUAAAUUUUUUUUGUUGAUAUGGCACUAUCACAUAAUCAAUCAGCAAUGAAGUGGCACUUCCAUGUCAGCAAUCAAUGAUGGCAUUGCACUACCACAUCAGCAAAUGGUGUUGAUGUGGCAUCUAUUAACGACGACAUCAGCAUUGCUGUUAAAUACUAAUGGUUAACCUCAGUCAAAGGGUCUAUUUAACCAAUUUUGAUAGUUCAGAGGCUCAAUUGGGUAAAAAAAGUUCAGGGGGGCUUAAUUGAUUUUUUAAAAAAAUACAAUGGCUUAUAAUACCAUUAAGACUAAAAAUUUAGUAAUCAUUUAUUUCUUUUAGAAUUUUAUAAUUAUCUUUGCUCUAUUUUAAUAAAGAAAUGUAAUUAAAUCUUAUUAUAUUUUAAAAAAUAUAUAAAUUUAAUUUUAUUAACGUUAUUAAUAUAUGUAUUUAUUUAAAAAGAUAUUUUAAGUUUAACAAUUUACUACAAUGUAUGUUUAAUAUUAGAACAUAAAAGGCUAAUUUAAUUAAGUAAAUAUUUUAAAAUAAAGAGAUUAUUUGAUAGUUUGAUGAGUUACUCAUUCAAUAUAUAAUACUUACUAAAUUUAGGGUUUUUAAAAGAAGCCUUAGAAUCUAUAAUAAUAAAAUUAUAUGGUUAACUGUAGAUGUGCUCAUUGGUCAGGUUAGGUCGGGUCCAUCCAAAAUUUUAGAGCCGUUUGUUAGGCCCCAGCUCAGGGCCAACUCGAAAAAUGAGCCUAAAAUUUUGUUCAAUCCCGACCUAGAUAAAAAUGUUAAAACACAGGCCUGACCUAUAUUAAUUUUUUAUAUAAAUUUUUAAAUAUAUAUAAUACAUAAAAAUACUAAAAAAUUAAAAUAAAUAUUUCCCAACAAAUUGAAAAUAAAUUUAAAAAAUAUAUAUUUAUAGUUAAAUAACACUAAGAUAGGUGCAACUUAACAAGCAAAUAUCUCUAAAAUAGUAACAAAAUUAACAAUAAAAUAAGAGUUAUACAAUAACAACAAAAUAAUAGGAACAUAUUAGUGAAAUGGUAAGAAAAUAGUGAAAAAAAAAACAAGAUAAUAGGAAUAUACAAAGUUCUCCUGAAAUUCUCGCAAAACUCUCUCUUAAUUGUGUUGUUGAACCUUGUCUCUCUAAGGAUGCUAAAAGUCCUAUUUAUAGGCUAGAAUUCAUGGCUAAUCAAAUUAGAAAUUCUCUAGAGUUAUUAGAGUUUGAUUGGGAAAAGAUAAUAGAGUUUAACUAGGAGAAGAAACUUGGUUUAGUAGGGAACACGUUGUCACACCGUGAUGUCGCUCAUCGGCUCGUCAGGAUGUCAGCUCUCCCUCAUCAUGACGCCUUCUCUAUUUUAGACUAAAUGUGAGGCACACUCUACAAAUCUCCACCUUGACUCGUAUUUCUAAAAACUCCUUCUUUGUCGAGCCCUGUUAUGGGCCUAAAUUAAUCUUUGCCGGAUACUUAACAAGUCUAGGUAGUGCUUGAACUCCUGAACAAAGUGAUACUAAAUGUCUAUGUGAUUUGUUCUUUCAUGAUGCAUCUGAUCCUUAGUGAGAUGUAUGACACUUUAACUAUCACGAUAUACAAUAGUCUUUUCACUUUUAUCAACCAACUCCCAAAGUAGAUCUCUCAACUAAAUGAUCUCUUUCACAACCUCUAUGAUAGCUAUAUAUUCUGCCUCUAUAGUUGAUAAUGUCAUAGUCAUUUGUAGAGUGGAUUUCUAGCUAAUUGUACAAUUGCAAAAAGCGAACAGAUAACCUAUGAGAAAUCUACUUUUGUCUAAGUCUCCUGCAUAGUUCGAGUCUACAUAGUCUACUAGACCUUUUGAACAUUUUCCAAAUUCCAAAAAAGUAUUAGAUGUCCCCCUCAAAUAUCUAAGAAUCCACUUAACAACUUGUAAGUGUAAUUUGUCAAGUUUGGCCAUGUAUCUACUUACUGCUAACAACAUAUGAAAUAUUGGGACAAAUACAAACCAUUACAUACAUUAAACUUCCAACUGCACGGGAAUAAGGAACCAAGGACAUAUACCUUUCUUCGUCUUCUAUUUUUGGUAAGUCUAAAGUCGAAAGUCUAAACUAUGCAGCUAAGAGUGUACUAACUAGUUUAGAAUCUUGCAUUCUAAACCACUCGAGAAUUCUUUUGAUGUAUUUCUGUUGUGAUGGAAGUAGCUUCUCGGAGUGUCUAUCUCUCAAAAUUUUCAUCCCUAAAAUUUUCUUGGUUGCACCAGGAUCCUUCAUUUCAAACUUAGAGUUAAGCAUGGUUUUAACUCGGUUUAUUUCUGAUGGAUCCUUGGUUGCAAUUAACAUAUCGUCAACAUAAAAUAGCAAAUAAAUAAAUUAUCCAUCAUCUAAACAUUGUAGAUACAUACAACUGUCAUACUUACUCUGAAUGAAACCAAUUCUUAACAUGAAGGACUUGAACUUCUUAUACCAUUACCGAGGAGACUGCUUCAGACCGUAUAAUAAUUUUUAAAAAGGCAAGCAUGGUCUUCCUUGCCUUCAAUCCUAAAGCCUUUCGGUUGCUAUAUGUAAAUGUCCUCCUUUAUGUCGCCAUGAAAGAAUGCAAUUUUCACAUCUAAUUGUUCUAAUUCAAGAUUGUGUAAUGCAACAAGAGCUAACAAUGCUCGAAUGGAUGUAUGCUUAACAACUGGAGAGAAAACAUCAUGAAAAUUAACUCCCUCCACUUGACUAUAACCCUUUGCGACCAACCUCGCGUUAUAUCUCAUGUCAUCUUGACAUAAUCCUUUCUUCUUUUUGAACAUCCUUUUACAACCAAUUAUUUUCUUUUUAGUGGGUGGUUUAAUGACUUUCCAAGUCUCGUUCUUAUUAAGGGACUCUAUCCCUUCUUCCAUAACAAUAAGACAUUUGUUGGAAUCAGAAGUUCGAACUACCAUUAUCCGUAUAACCAUUUUACAGACUUUCCAAUCUACUCUUCUAGUCAGGUCUUCCACUACUUGAAGAUCCCAAAGACUUCAUUAUUAUGCUUCAGGAAAUAUACAUAAACUUUCCUAAAGUGGUCGUCAAUAAAAGUUAGAAGAUAUUUGCUACCACCUUUAGAGAUGACUGGAGCCGAACCCCAUAAAUUGGAUUGAAUGUAGUCAAGGGUCCCUUUUGUCCUGUGUACUACUGAAUCGAAGCUGACUUGAGUUUGCUUCCCAUAAAUUCAAUGCUCACAAAAAUCUAACUUUCCAACUGCGGUGCUUGUGAGAAGACCUUUUUCACUCAAAAUGAUCAUACAUUUUUCGCUUAUAUGAUCGAGUUGCGUGUGACAUAACUGAGUUGAAUUAUAAUCCAUAAAGAGGAAAUUUUGUCAUGUUAUUGUGACAUCAUGGGAGUCCUUGUCGUGCCAUGGUGAUGAUUUCACCUUUAUUUCUGUAAUUGUUAUUGAACCAGUCACCGUUAAACCUUACAAAAUGUAUAAGCUAUCGAUCUUGCAACCAUUCGAAUCUAGAAUACCCAAAGGGACAAGAUUCUUAUUUAAAUCAGGCAUGUGCCUGAUAUCUAAUAAUGUUCUGAAUAUCCCGUCAUGCAUCCUAAUCUGAAUGGUACCAAUGUCGGUUAUUUUGUAAGGUGAGUUAUUUCCUACAAGCACAAUUCCACCUUCAACCAAACUAUAUGUGGAGAAUCAGUCCCUAUUGUGACACAUAUGGUAGGAACACCCUGAAUCCGAAAUCCACUCAUAUGUGAACUUAGACCUUUCGAUCGUUGACACUAACAAAAAAUCAUCACCUUUAACCUUGGCUACACUAGCUCUGCCUUUUACUUCACUUUCUUGUCAUUUUCAUCGGCUCUCUUAUUUUUAUUCUGAAGUUUAUAGCAUUCUACUUUGAUGUGACCCAUCUUUUUGCAGUAGCCACAUUGUUUGUUGUGGUUUCUUAAUUUCAAUCUUGCCCUAGAUCCUUUUUGACCCAAAUCCUUAGACUGUUGCCUUCCUCUAGCAACCAAAACUGAGGUUUUUCCAUUUGACUUGAUCUUUGAAUCUAACUUGUUGUCAAUUUAUCCUUACUCAAUAGGUUUCCCUUCACGUCCUCAAACGAGUCUCUCUCUAUCAUAAAUUAGGGUUUCCUUGAAAUAUUUGUAUGAAUGGGGCAAAGAAAAAGGCAAUAACAUUGUUUGAUCUUAAUAAUCUAUGUUGUCCUCAACAUUCUUCAGGUCAUUCAGGAGAGUAACAAAUUUACUAAUGUGAGCCUUAAUAGACUCGCCUUCGGCCAUACAGAACGUGUAUAAUCACUAUUUUAAAACCAAGCAAUUUGCGAGAGAUAUUGUCUUAUAAAGUGCUUCUAAUUUUCUCCAUACAGUUGUUGUCGUUUUCUUUGUAAGUAGCUUCUGCGACAUGUUGUUCGUGAGGCACAACUGAAUUGUUGACAAUGUUUGCUCAUCAAGCUCCUCUCAUUCUACCUGAUUCGCAUCUGCGGGCUUCUUCCUUUUAAUGGCCUUUUUUAAAUCAUUCUGAACUAGAAUUGUCGUCAUAUGAACUUGUCACAAACUAAAAUUUGUGAUCCCAUCGAACUUCUCAAUAUUGUACCUCAUCAUCAACUCUGAAUGGGCUGAAUGUGAAAACCAUACCAAACUUUGAUACCAGUUUAUUGGGUUAAACUCGAAUUAUGCAACGAAUAAGAACGAAAAACAAGAAAAUUGGGCACCCAAAUAUUUACGUGGAAGAAAUCCACCCAAUAGGAUAAAAAAUCACAAGCAAAGAAAAUUUCUCUAAAAUAAAAAAAUCGAAAAGGAGUACAAGAUGGAGAAAUAAAAUCAAACUCGAAUCCAAAAUAAAAAGUUCUCUUGAAAUUCCCGUAAAACUCUCUUCAUUGUGUUGUUGAACCUUGUCUCUCCAGGGGGUGCUAAAAGCCCUAUUAUAAGCUAAAAUUUGUGGCUAAUAUGAUUAGAAUAUCCUUAAGAGUUAUUAGAGCUUGACUGGGAAAAGAUAGCAGAGUUUAACUAGGAAAAGAAACCCGAUUUAGUAGGGAACACGUCAACAUAUCGUGACAUCGCUUAACGGCUCAUUGUGAUAUCGCUUAUCGCGUCGUUGAGACGAUGAGUUCUUUUCAUCAAGAUGUCGUGUGUUGCCGUCGGUAUGUUAGCUCUUUCUCGUCACGAUGUCGUAUCUUUUUUGGACUAAAUUAACGUGAGGCACACUGUACAAUUUGCACGUUAUUAUAACUUUGAAACUAAAAGCAAAUACAUUAUAAUUUGAUCGCCAUAUUUGGACUCCACUAACAAUAUUUUAUGGUCGGCAGGGCAUUAUAAUGAUUUAAUUGACAAUUAUAAUUCUUGCUUUAGUCAAGACUAAAUCUUGGUGGCUUUUUUAAUCAAAGAAAAAAUUUUGAGAAAUCCAAUUGAUGUAGUUUAGCCUAAGAACUACAAGCAACGAUACACCCAAAAACUCGAAUAUCACAAUAGAAUCGAAAAGCUCCCUAAUAAAACUCUCAAAACCCAUGGGUCACCAAAUUUUCAAUUAAAACAUCAAAUUUCUUCCAACUUUGAACCAAGUCAUGGAGCACAAGUCUUAUUAAAACCCAAUAAUUGACAACAUAAAAGAGAAAACACUCCCAUUCAAAAGAAAAAAAAGGUAAGAGCUAAACAAAUCUAUUCUUGACAUUUUUGAGCUCCUAGGUAAAACAAUAAAAUAGAGUUUUAGAUUCCUUAAAAGUUGGUAAAAAAAAAUUUGGGCCCUUAAAAGCUAAAAGAAAAUAUUUUGGAACCCCUUAAAAGUUGAUAAUUUUUUUUACCUUUAAAAGUUUUAAAAAAAUUUGUUCUCCUUAAAAACUGGAAAAUAAUAUUUUAAACCCCUUUUAUCCUUGGGUCUUGAGCGGCCGCUCCUCCACACGACCCCAGGACCAAUCCUAAAGCUAAACCAAAAUGUUUACAACCAAUGAAUCUAAAACCAAUCAAAAUAAGCACCAUAAAACCUACUACUCGGAAACUGAGCACCAAGACAUACAAAUAGAUGCAGGAGCAUAACAAAUGUCACCACCAUGCACCCCAUAAUUCUUUUGAGUCACUAUAGUUGAAAAUAAAAAUUGAUGAUCAUAACUCUCUUUUUCCUCGUUCCUUGAAUUUCACCACUACAUACCUUCAAUUAAUACCCAACUUGGACUGAAAAAUUCAGCACUCAAUGUUCAUAUUGUUCAUACGAAGAGGUAAAAAACGGCAUCUUUUCGACAACUCAAAUCUGGACCCCUAAUCAUAAACCAUCUUACACGUCACUCUCGAAACCAAACAGCACUUUCUCAUAAAGACAAUGCCAAAAAAAAAAUGCUGAAAACAUCAAAAUGACACCACUCAAUCUUCUCAUACCACUAAUAUCACCAAGCAAUUCUCAUCUCGCCCUUAGUGUUCCAAUAUUUUCAUACAACAACCUAAGAGAAGAACAACAUAAUUUACAAAACAUAACAGCUUCACCCUGAAAACAAAACCCAAUAUCCCCAUCCUAAGUACUCAACAAAAGAUAACUAAUAUCCCCCAUUUUGACUCCAAAAAUAGACCAUUGAGGAUGAAAAUUCUCAAGAAAACAAAAAACUAAAGACCAAUUUCAUUAAUAAUCUAGUUCAAAAAUUGGCGAACUGUGAGUCUUAUGGUACAAACAAAUUAUGAAUAAGCUGACCUUUUUUUGUUAAUAACUCUCGAACUGCUCCUUUAUUAAGUUACAUAGUUAUGCAAUUGACUUUGACCUUCUAAAAUUACAAAUAUAAUUAUCAGCACCAAAGACAAAUGGUUCAAAUGUAGAAGGUAUGCAUACACACAUAUAAUGGAAUUUUAUAUCUAAAACAAAUAUAUUUAAAUAAGUCAUUAUACUUUUGUCACAUCGAAAAUAAGCCCUUCUACUUAAACUCAUUUUCAAUUUCAAUAAAACAUACAUAUAUAUAUCUUGGAAGUCUUUCUGAAAUGUGUUGUAGUUCUUUAUUUAUGAUGGACUAAGAUUUGAUAACUGCCGAUCUGCAAAUAUAUUGCAUUAAGGGGUAGUUCUACAAGCAUUUCAUCAGUUAGGGCAUUUAAUCCUAAGGUCAGAAUACGUAAGGGAACCAUUUACAAUAUGCUCAUCAGUCAACUGCAUCUUUACAAACUUUGGGUUUUCAAAAGUGCAAUCUCGUUAAACAAAUCUGAUUUGUCAUUCUCCUAUUAAAAAAUUAUAAAGAUGACAUGAAAUCACAGUUUCAUACAAUCCCUUCUCUAACUCAAAGACCUAAUUGUUAGCCAAAGGAAACUUUGGAUUGUAAUUCGAAUAUAACCUCUCCUUUUGAGACAUACCAAGAAACACACAUCCAUCAAGUCAAAAAAAAUAUGCUUACAAGACAACCCAAACAAAACGAAGCCAAAGAGAUCAUAAGAGCAAACGAUCUCCAUCAAACUUUCCACAUCCAUAAGACAUCUCCUUGAUACAAUUAUAAUUAAAGGUAGAAUCACCAAUGAAAUCACUUCAACUUGAAAAAUGUCUGCUGAACAACUCACCUUGCAACAACCCAAGAAACCAAUCCAAUAAAACACCUUCAAAACUUGAACAAAAUUUGGCAGAUCAGAACACCAAAACCCAAAAAUCACUGUAUUCGAAUCCUAAAGCAACUAAAAGAAAUCGGUAAAUUAGCUCCCUCAAAAAGAACGUAUCCGACCUCCUAUUGUUGAAAAGUGGCCAACCAUGCUAUUGUUAUGUUUUUGCUAAAGUGCAUGCAGGCUAUUUGCAUGUUGCAGCUUUUGUGCAUGCUGCAUUAACAAGUUUAUUGUUUAGUUACGUUGUAAUUAAACUUAGUUGAAAAUGAACAAGCUGAUGAAAGUUUGAAGUGUUUAGGUAGUUGAAUGACUAGUUUAGGUGGCUUGUUUACGUGCACAAGCAAUGUUUUACAAGUUACUAGGCUACUUAGUGGUAGUAGGCAGUAUUUAGUGAUGUAUUUGGUUAUAAAUGUAUUGUUUUUUCUGGUUGAAUGAAUGAGAAAAAUGAGCUAUCAGCCAUAAGCUCCCUUGCUGCACGAUUGUGAGCAAGUAAAAAUAUUUCUUGCAUCUUGCUGUCUUGUUCUAUUCUCUGUUUUCUUCCUCUGCUUCUCCAAAUCGUCAACACCUAUAGAUCCAAAUUCAAUCUCCUUUCUUCAAUUGGCCUCAAUUUCUUUUCAUCCCGAUAACUUGCAAGUCCAACUUUUUGCUCAGUUCCCACGCCUCUGUCAGUUCCUUCCACAUCAUCUUCUUUCGGUUUUGAAAAUCAGAGUUAGAUAAAUGACUCAUUUGCGGACUUUCCCCAAAAGAUUAUGGUUUCGAAAAUUUAUUCUUACAACUCCUUCCUUUCACUUUAUUUUUAAUCCCAAGUUUCGCAGUUCUUUAUUGCUCCUAGUUCAAAUAGAGAUCUAACUUUCCUUGUUUUAAUUUUAUUGAACCCUACCUAGUCUCAAUCCUUGUGUCCGCCUUACGAUUGAAACUCGAAGUAGAAACAUUUGCUAGAUUCACCCCUUCAUGAUGUUGAACUUCAACACUGUCACCCAUAUUGCAUCCAUCAUCAAGGGAUGGGCUACGAAUAUCAUCAACACCCAAUUCCAGUCCUAUAUCAUCAGCCCGAUUCAAAGGUGUGCGCGGAACACAUUUUGUUAACCCAAUACAAGAAUCCACUUGAACCAAAUAUGUUGUUAAGCCCAUACCCCUUCAUCAUCAUCCACUUGAAUCAUAAGUCCAUCUUCAACAAAAUCUUAAAUUUCCAAAUCCUCGUUGCGUGGGUCUAUUGACUUUAUCAAUACCCAUUUUCCCAAAAACCUCCACUGACUAUGUACCUAUAUUAGAAUGGCCUUGGUCACAUUAUCAUCUACUAUAUUUACAAUGCCAUUAGUGUCCCACUUUGCCCUUUUUUCGAGAACCUCACUGUUUCCAUCACAACUAAUGUUCUUUAUCAUUUCGUCAAUACCAAGAGCCACCCUAUUCGCCGAUAUUCCUAACAUGCCUUCACUGCCAUGCUCGAUUUCCCAACUCAUCUCAUUAAAUGGCAUCAUCAUCAUCCCAUUCUCAAAGUCUUCUUCUUUUAUUUUUCUUCCUGAAACCGGUGACUCAUCACCUUCUUCUAAAGACAGACAAUCAAAUUCAGAGGACUCAUCAGAGAUCGAUGUUAAGGGAAUUUACUGAUAUCCUUUUGCUUUAUCAGACCCUAAGAACAUACCUGACGCCUCAGAGGCUCUAACACGAAAACCAUCUUCCAAAUUGAAGCAACUCAAUCCUCUGUAACAUUUUACUAUAAUCCUCCAUCAUCCUUUUAUUCGAACCCAAAGACACUAACGACCCCCAAGUCUCCGCAAUUCUUUUAUAGUGGCACAUAUGAAUUGGGACACCGUAAACCUCCACCCACACCGUCCUGUUAGUGGUGGUAGAAAACUUAGACCACGAAACAAUGUCGAUGAAGCAUUCACGAAGACAAGGCCAUUGAAGUUCUUCCAAUCUUGCUCUCAAGCCGUUGUCUUGAAUAGAGACCAGGAACUGAUCACCUGAGAUUUAUUGUGCCAAUUAGACAUUUUUCCAACUUAGUAACCUCUUCAUCAUCUACAUGACCCACAAUUUUCUUCAUACAAGUCAAUUCGCCAUCGUCCCUUAAAAUACAAACGUUUUCUCCUUCUGCACGAUUCGAAUUGCAUAUUCCUUGCUAGAAUGCUUGCUUUCUUCAGAAACUUCUUUUUGAGUCUAUUUACCUCCUGAGUACUUAAAGCACUUCCUACUCCCUAUUUGCAUCUUACCAGCCUAUUGCCUUCACCUUUCCCAUCCACUCUUCUCCAAAAUGCUUCUCUCCCAUUAAAUUUGGCAAUAUUGACCCUCAAUCAACAACCCCAAAUCCAUAGACCAUUGAUUCCUCUCACCAGUUUUUUAGCUUCCGUAAAACUAGUCACUUGUACAAAUGUAAAUAUUUGUCCUUUUCUAUGACUUUUCUGAGGCACAGAGAGGUCCUCACCAUAUUUUUUGCACUUUCCACGAUACCAUCGCCAAUUUAUGAAAUCCGGUGAAUUUUCAAUGUGUACGGAAACCAGCAUAUCCUUCUUAUUAAAAUUUGUCUAUUAAUAUAUAAUUACAUGUAUCUUUCUCCAAGAAACAAAAAUAUUGGGAUAUUAUUAGGAAAGAACAAUGAAUUUUUUUAGGCUUAACGUAUAGAUUAUUACCUGAGUUUGAUAAUUUUUUUUAAUGUAGCCUCUGUGUUUUUUUUGUUCAACGUGAUGCAUAUAUUUGAUAAAAAUUACACAUUUUUCUAAAAAUGAUUAUGUAACUUUUUAAUACUUAAUUUAAGUUUAUAGUUGAUUUGCAUCAAAUAAACUCUACACACCGAAUUAAAUUACAUUCAUCAAACUAUAUUUGACAAACUAAAUAUAGAAUCAUGACAACUUCAAACCUAAUAAUAUUAACCAUUAAGUUUCAUCAAAUCAACUUUAAAAUUUAAGUUAAACACUAAAAAAUUAAAAUCGUUAUCUUUAAAUCUCAAAAUAAUUUAACUUUUUUCAAAUCCAAGUCUUAGAUUGGACCGAAAAAUAACAUAAAUAUCACAUUAAAAAAUAUUAAAAUCGAGUAUCAAAUUAUAGAUUAAACCAAAUUUUAUGGCAAAUAUGAGUCCAAAUAUUGGUUAAGUUGCAAAAAUAAAAGAGAAGUUUUAAGGUUUUUAAAAAAUUGAAGAAAACUCGAAUUAAAAAUUUCAAGCCUCUUCAAAUCUCCUCUGAAAAAAAAAUCUCAAGCAAUAAAAUUGAUUUUUUUAAAGUUAAAACUUAUAUUAUUUAGGUUUAAAUAUUUGUUUUGUAAUUUAACUUAAUUUUUGGAGUUUUUUUAUAGUAUUAAGGAAAUUGCUUGCCUUUUAGGCGAUAAGAAGAAAUAACUUCGCCAUGUUGUCAUCCAAUAUCGAUGGCCCCCUAAAUUUUAAUUUUCUAAAUUAUCAACCAGCAUGGUGUUUUUUUUGGUAAAACAAUGAUUAAAAUCUAAGCUAUUUUUUAGGUAAACAAUGAACAAAAGAGAUGAUUUCCCCUUAAUUCACGUUUGAGUAACACAAUACUUAAUAUCAGAACAAUAGUCACAUAAUAUUUUCAUGCAUUUUGAUGAGAUAAACAUAAAAUCCUAUAAGAAACGUUAUCACCCUUACCUUAACCUUACUCAAAAUCUGUAACUCUUUUUUUCUCUCUUUUCAAAUAUGUAUUCUAGCUAACAUCACAAGAAACUUAUGCCAUGGAGUCACUCAUGAAGGAAAUUUGGAAUUUAAAGCUUGGGAUUGUUAGAAAUGAUGGAAAGGACAUAAAUGUAAGAAAAUGAAUAUUUUCUAUGGAUGGAGAAGGAGAGUGGUGUGAGAGGAGACGGAAAUGAUGAUGGAAAGUUUUCUACAUCUUUACACGAAAGUAUCUACUAAAUUUUAUAUUUUAAAAUACUAAUAAAAAAAUAAAAAAAUUCAAGUCAUCGUCAUCCAAACAAGUGGACCACAUUCAAAUUUAAUUUCAUCCACAAACUCAUCUACCCUUUUGGACUAAAUUGCUCUUCAAGUCCUUCAUCUUUUUCUCAUCCAUUGAAUCUAGUAAUUUCUUAUUUAUAAUUUACACUAUUACCUAACACUUCUUUCACUUUUAUAAUUUAGUCCAUACCUUAAAUUAAUUUCCCUUAAUUCAAAAGCCUUUUUAAUUACUUAUGAAAUCCAACUACCUUCUCCAUUAAUACUAAAAAUCUUAUUUUAUCUGCUUCAAAAAUCUUAACACGUGCACAACUCGAAAUGGCACCGUUCCCAUCUUGAGAGGUGUUGGGGAUGUUACAAACUAGCCACCAAAAAAAUACGACAACCCAUUUUUCAUAUACCAUCAUUGGUAGUAGAUUGAGGGCAUGAAAUCCCCCGUACAAGAUUCCAUCAAAGGCUUCCUUUCCAUUCGGGAAUUCCACAUUACAAUCCACUAUCGAUGCUCCAAUGUUCAAUUCUUUGCAUCUUUUCUCUUCUUAUUAAUGCCAUGGACAUUAUCAAAAUUGACUGGAACAUUCGGAACAUCUUGCUUACACCUAAAUUGUUGCAAAACCUAAUCACCAUUGUACCACUCAAUAGUUGAAAAAUUCAAAACAGGUGUGUUAAUGCACCACACGUAUGAAUGGUGGUAAGCCGACUGGAGAAUUUAGUUUGUCUCACCCAAUCCCCAUUGUACCACUUAAUUAGCAUUUUGUGUUAAAAAAUCCAUAAUUUGACUCAAAAUAAAAUGUUGAGGGCCACAUUGCUAAAAAGAAAAUAAUAAGGGUCAUAUAGUCAAAUUUUAUAAACGCCAUUAAACCUAAUGAUAGGUGCUAAAAGUAACAUGUUUUAAUUUCGUUCUUAAUGCAUUUUUGGAUGAUUAUUUGAUGUAAAAUGGUAAAUUUUAUGGUCCUAAUCCUUUAAAUUCAUGUUUUUAUACUUAGGAGAGCAUUUGGGAGUAAAAAGAGCGAAAAUUAGAAAAUCGGAGUAAGUUUCAGGAGUCACGCGGGCUGCCACACAACCAUGUGUCAAACCGUGUUGAAAUCGCGAAUUGCACUCCAAACUUUUGGGAAAAUACGUUUUUUAGGCAUUUUAAGACCUAUAUAAGACAAAAAUAAGAUGGGAGAGAGUCGUCAUAAAAUACUCAAGAAAAAAACUCAAAAAACACCAUUGAAGCCGACUCUAAAGUAGAUUUCUAUCGAGAUUGAAGAUCUCUUUUUGAUUUUUUUGAAGUUUAUUAUGAGUUUCUUUGUUUCUUAUGGUUAUACUAUCUUCUGAAUUUUUUUAUUUGCAAUUAUAAACUAAUUUUCUAAAUACCCAGGGGAGAUGAAUGUUAUGAUGAAUUCUAUCUUUUGAUUUCUAUUUUACACAAUAAAUACUUGAAUCUUUCUCAAUUAUAUGUGCUUAAUUCUUGGUUUAAUAUUUUCGGACUAUUAAUCCAUGUUUGGUGUGCUUAAAUCAAAGGAGGAAAAGUUUUUGUUUAAGAGUAGAUAUAGCAUAAUUAAGUGUUGUAUGCAAUACUAGAAAUAGGACGACAUAAAUCUACCGGAUUAGAGUCAAAUCUAAUAGGGGGAUCAAUGGAUCGAGUUAAUGCGAUAAUAGGGGUUUUAAUUAGAAAGAAAUUUCAAUUAAUCAACCUAGAGUCAGUUGUUUUUACUCUCGAAAGAGAUAUUAGUAUAAUUUAGGGAUUUCUACGGAUCAAGAUACUAAGUAAAGAAAUUGCAUAAUAUAGAUUGAUAAUGACAGAUGAAGUCUAGGUGGAUUCUUUCCUGCAUAUUAUUUCGCUUCUUGGUUGUUAAUCAUUUAUUUUUCUAAUUCAUUCUUUAUCGUGAUCCUUCGUUAAUUAAUUUAGUUAAUUUUAGUUUUAAUCAAUCUAUCCAAUUUGUCGGUUAAAUAAUAGAAAGACAGUAAUUAUUAGUACUUUUAAUCCUCGUGGGAACAAUAUCUUUGCUCACAGUAACUAUAUUAUUAAUUGAUAGAUGCACUUAUUUUAAUCAAAUUUUUAGUUAAUUUACGACUGCAUCACCUAAUUUAAAAAAUUACUAUUUGAAUUACAUUUUACAAACAACAAAUUUAAAAAGUUAGGUUUAAAAUAGUAUAACUUGCAUUACAUUACAUUACAUGUAAAAAGCAACUAAUUAUAUAAUAUCAUAAUCUAUUUCUCGAAAUCCUAAUUGCCUAAAUUCAUUGAGCCUAUAAAUGCUAAAGUGUCCACUUCCAUUUCAACUUGACUUUUGUUGGUCCCUCACUUGUAUGAUCCUUUGAGCCAACCAUGCUUCUAUUGGUCUAGGGACAAACAUAAAACACCAAGAUUAUUUUUGUUGCAUUUAGAUCAUUUAUAUCACUACUAUAUUAACUUACCUCAAAUUGAAAAUUUUUUAUUGAUAUAGAAAACACAACCGUUAAAAAUCUAAUUCAUGUCGACCAAAAAUCAUAAAUACUUAAUAAAAAUAAUAUACCAAAGAGUAAUUGGAAUAAUAUUAUUUGUAAUUCAAGUCACGAAAUUUAAAUGGUAAUUUUAUUAGAAGGAAAUAAAGCUAUUUAAAUACUAUUAAGGACUAUAUUUAAUCUUCCAAAUAUAUAUAAAAAAAUUGACUAAUUAAAUUGAACACAUAAAUUGAUCUUAAAUAAAAAUGGAAUGAUUUUUAAGGGUACCCAAAUUAUAAUUCAAUCCUCAUUAAAGGGUUUUCACCUUAUUAUUACCUGCUUUGUCACCGAAGCAUUUGGGAUUUGUACAAAAUAUGAGUAUGAAUAAAAGAUUAAUUUUUUUUCAUAUAUAAUAGAAGAAUCAUAUCUCAUAUCCAAAUAAGUCUAGAAUGAUUAUUUUAAAUGAAAUAAAAAAUGGAAAAACGUAAAUGUGUAAAAAAUAAAUUAAUAGGACAAGGUGAGAUAAGUAGUUUACACAGUUAAUGCUUCUUCUCCGAGUGGCCCAUUAUAAAAUUGAAAAUUUUUUGCAUCCAUUUUGGUUGCGGCCCUUCUUCCUCCGCUUCCUCGUAGAUAUUACGUUUUGGUUUUGUGUAAGAAAUGCUACCUACUGAUCCAUUGUUGCGAGCAGAGUGUUGGUGGAUGUGUUCAAAUUUUGGAGAAAAUUGAGUGCUAUGGCACUGCAACUCAUUUAUUUCUUCCAAAUCUUUCUUAUACACUAUUCUAAAAGCACACUUCUUCACCUUAACACUGCUUCCACUGAAAGACACGUCAAGCUCAUCAUCGCAUAAAUGAUUGGUUUCACAGUCACCAUAUUCAUCCUCCAAUAAAAAUGGAUAUAAUUUAUCACGCGACCAAUAACGAAGAAAAAGGUGAUCUUUCGUUACGGGCUCGUUAAAUCGUUUACCCAUAUUCAAGCGUUUCCGACUAAUCUCCCAACAAUUGACAGAUGCUGUACAAUUGAGAAGUUCGACCUCCUUUGAAGCAUCAUUAUUAACAAAAAUGCAGCAACAAGCAACUCCAAUCCAUUCUGUUGCGCGGAAGCGUGUGAAAGAGUAAAAAUAUUAUACUGAAAAAUCACACUAAGUUCAAUUCCCAAGAAAAAGAGGUAGAUCACGAAGAUCACUUAAAUACCAAGUCUUUCCUAGCCAAAAUAUCCCUUUAUCGUAAUUUAAUAGCACAAUAAAUCACUACAAUCACAUUCACAAAAUAUGCAAAAUAAAAAAUAAAGAACACCCGAAUUUUAACGAGGUUCAGCAAAUUUUGCCUACGUUCUCGGGCACUACCAAAUAUAUUUCACUCCAAAAAUUACAAGUGAAAUUUACAAAUAGGGAGAGAGAAUAAUGCCUUAAGUAGAGAAUGGCAAUUAUGGGAUGAAGAAAGUAAGAAAUGGUUAGACCUAUUUAUAGUUGAGGUUCAAUGAUCAACUUGCAAUGUCCCUAUACAAUUAGGGACCAAAAUUGUAAUUAUCCCAUGCCAACUUUUAACCCAACUUAUCAACCAAUAUUACUUUCUACUUUCGGUGCCCACCCCAUUUGACUUUUCAAACAAUGGUGGGUUCCAAUACAUUCACUAUCUUUCCGAAGGUUGAUAGGUAGGAAUAUUUUAACAGAAUCAAUUGAAGAGUCGCUUUUUUGUUGGCUAAACCAUUCUGAGAUUCCACUUCCGGGCAUAAUAAUAUCAAACCAUUCUGGGAUUUCACUUCCAGGCAUAGUAAUAUCAAACAUUUUCCU
rnacentral:lncRNA from 1 species